rnacentral:lncRNA from 1 species
GCUUUUGACACUUUGUCCUGCACACAGAUGUUCAAAUCAUCCAUAACUAUAUAGCAAUGAUUAUCCCUGCAUAACUUGUUGAAAGAAAGCAGGUUCACUGCUAAGCUUGGAACAUGAAGCACAUUAUUAAGACAAAAAGUAUGUUUAUCAGGAGUAAGAGAAGAGGAUCCGAUGUGUUUUAUUUUCAGACCUUCAGCAUUUCCAAUAGUGAUUGAAUUUGAAGACUCAAAAGGUUGUGCAAGAGUAAGAUUCCUUAUAUCAGCUGUCAUACACUACAACAAUUCUCACCAAAGGCCACAUACAACAAAUGUGGUAAAUAUGGUCAAAAGCCACACAUGUUCGUGUCAAAACCCCAUUUUGCCACACUACAGCCACAUAUUUUAGGUAUGUGGUGUAUAGAGCCGUUGCAAUGAGAGAAACAGCCACAUUUAAAUUAGAAUGUGGGUGAUAAUGGAUUCUGACCAUUGUGGGCCCAGUAAUGUCAAUGGUGGGUAGAAAUCAUUAUUAUAAUUGUUUUUUCUUUUCCUUUUUUUAAUUGUUUCUGGUCCAUUUUCCAGUCUUUCUGGGGAUAUGGUUCAUAUCGAUCUGAAUGUGAUUUCAUCUCUCUGGGGAUGGAUGGGUUCAGUGAUGAUCUUUAGUUGAGUCAUUGUCAUAGUAUCUGCUAGUGUGACGAAUUUUGAGAUCGAUGAUAUGCAUAGACUCCCAUCAUUGAAACGCUAAGCAACAUUCAGAUAAGGUCGACAUUCUGAGGUUCUUUCAAUUUUACUUGGUGUGCAUCAUGACGACCAUCCUUGCAUACAUAGAACAAUGAGUGUGUUAACUCAGAGCAGAGACUUCUCAAGUUAUCAAAUCUGUCAAAAUCAUAUAGGUUCAGUUAACAUCGAAGCAAAAUGAAUAGAUAUAGCUAGCAAAGACAAAAAAAUUUACAACAUAACCCAAACCUGAUAUCAUACAGCGAAGAACAAUAGUUUGGUCCCAGAUCUAGGAGGCGGAGAAUACAUAGCUACCAUGAGUCCAUCACGUUGAAUCCACCCACUUCAUCCAUAACAACCAAAUCAAGAGAAAAGAUCGAAGAAACCCAUUUAAUUUCCAGCAUUUAAAUCCAUAAUUGAAAACGAAAAAAAUACCUUGUACCUAUAUUAAGUCAAGGAUUCAAGAAUGGCCGGCAACACUUCUUUCCUCAGAUCUGGUUUUCCAAACUUCACAGAGGCUAUCACCACCAGGUCAGUGACGCUCAAGCAACAUCAGAUAGUUGAGAUUGCCCUCUUUCCCCUUCAUGGAUGAUUCAUUGGAUGAUAAAUGGAUGGUUAGAGUGAGAUCAGAGCUUGAAGAUAAGAUAAAAGAAAGGAGAGAAGAGAGAGAAGAGAGAGAAGAGAUGAGAGAAGAAGAAACGAGUCGGACCAAUUUUUAUCAAACAUCAAUAUAAAAUCUUAAAAUAAAUACCCACUCAUGAAUAAAAAAGGUAAAAGUAUUUAUUGACAAGAAAAAAAAAAUUUAAUUGAAGCCUGGCCUUUUUAUGUACGUGGUUUUAGGAAUACAAUUUGAAUAACUAUAAAAUAUUAUAUUUGUAUACAGAAAAACAAUAAAUUAUUGCAUUGCCACACUUUGGUAUAAGAAAGUGUGGUUCGUGAGAGAAACAGACACCACCUGCCCCAGUCUCCACAUUUGCUCAUGUUUGUAGCAAUGUCAAAUGUGGCUGUUGCCCCUAGUUGUUGUGGUGGUUGCUCCUGUAUCACGAAUCCAGACAUCAUUGCAAGAAUAAUGAGGACCGCCUCCACAUGAUUGAGCAGUCAUUGCUGUGAGACUUGGCGGAGGAUGAGUACCCUGAAAAGCAUAGUUGCUUCUCUGACCACAGUUAAGAGCUACAUGACCCUUAAUCCCACAAAUUUGACAGGCAACUACUGCACUAUCUCCAGUAGAAGAAGAACCAACUCGAAGAGGAUAGUUGACAGCAGUGUGACCUCUUUGGCUACACAAUUGACACUCAGGAGAAACACCAUUCAUAUUUCUUGAGACACUAUACUGAGGAGUACCAUUUUCAUUUCUUGGGCCACCAUACUAAGGUCUAUAGAAAGGAGAAGCUGGAUUAUUGAAGCAUCUGCGAGCAAUAUGACCCUUUCUGUUACAGAAAGUACAAGUGGCAUUCUGAAAACACUCUGAAGCAACAUGAUCACUUCUAUUACAGAUUGGACAAGACAUAGCACCUCCCCCAAAAUUCUUAUACCCUCCACUGAAUUGAGAUGUGCCACUGUCUCCUCCAACAUUUUUAUAUCCUCCACCAUUACUGCCAUCACCAACAAAAUUCUUAUACCCUCCACUGCUAGACUCAUUGUGUCCUCCAUUCCAAGACACAUGUUUAUCAUUUUCUCCAUGCCAACUGCCCUUACCCUUGUCAUUGAAAUGACUAGAACUGCCCUUGUAAGACGUACCUCUAGCUGACAUUGCAGUCAUAGAACUAAGAGGAGAAGUUGAGAAGAGAGAUUCUAUAUCUCUCUCUGCAGCAAUAAGCUGAGCUCGAAAAUCUUUAAGAGAGAUAGGAGUAUCUCGAGCCCUGAUCACAGUCUUUAUCAUUGAAUACUCAUCAGGCAAGCCAUUCAGAGUUACAACAAUAAUAUCUUCAUCCACAAUUUGUACUCCCAUUGAACCUAGCUGAUCUCUAGCAUGCUUGAUUCGAAGAAGAUACUUGUCAAUUGUAUCAGCUCCUUUUUUAAUAGUCUGCAAAUCAGUCUUUAGUUGCAUGAUAUUAGCUCUAGAGUCUGUUGAAAACUGUUCCAACAAAGCACUCCAUGCCUCAUGAGCAGACCUGCUACCCACAAUUACAUCCAUUGUGUCAUCAUCAAAAGUAGCCAUCAGAAGGCCUAGCAAAGCCUUAUCACACAUUUUCCACUGCUUAUAAGCUGAAGUGACUUCAUUCGUGACAGUACCAUCUUCUGUGAGAGCAUAUCUAAGAGGACAAGGGUAAGUACCAUUGAAGUAGCAGAACAGAUCAUUUCCCUCCAAGACCGACUAAAACUGAUAACUCCAUUUAACAAAAUUUGUUUCACUGAGCUUCACUGUGAUCAUACUCAGCAAUGAAUUAAUCUCUGAUUGAGUAGCAAAAGGAGACUGACUAGUAGAUGUAGUCGAAGCCAUUACUCAAAUAUGAAGAAACAAGCACAGAGAUAACUCACAAACUCUAUUCAAUCAAACAACACCGAGUUCAACAACACCAAGUUCAUCAUUCAAACAAAUAGUCUUCAUAACAACUAUAGAAACUUCUGCAUAAAGACCUACUUUCCAGAAUCACAAUCUUUAGGAUCUAUUCCACCAACCUUCUACUCUUCACAAUCCACAAAACGUCUACUCUUUACUAAAACAACUACCUCCGCAGAAAUAAGAUCUACUCCACUGAAACAACUACCUCCCCAAGAAAAUACUCUACUGCAACAACUACUUCCACAGGAAAAUACUCUACUCCACUGAAAAACAACUACCUCCACAUAAAACAAGAUCUACUCCACUGAAAAACUUAUUACAGCGAUAUUUCACCAUUCUACCAACACAUAGCAACGAGUACAAGAAUUCAAAAACCAAAGCAUAAUCUGAAGGCGACUUGAUCAAAACAGGCAUCUCACUACAAAUCGAGUUAGAUUUAGAGCUACAGACUCCAACAAAUAGAUCGCACAGAGAUCUCAAGCAUCAAGAGCAAGAAUGGCUACAUAAACAUCAGCUAGAGCUUCGAUCGUACACAGUGGCGUAGCUAGAAACUCGAUUUAGAAGGGUCAAGACUUAAGUGACUAAUAAGUUAAGGAUUAAAUUCAGUUUGCCCUCUCGUGCUUUAGGUCAAUAAUCAGUUUGGUAUCAUAUUUUUUUUUAAUAACGUUGGUCCUUGUACUCUCAAAUGACAUCAUCUAAGUCCAAAAUUUGAAUUUUAAUGCAAAAAUGGGUGAGUUUGGUCCUUGAAAAAUGACUUUUUUUCAUCGUUAGAAUGUUUAUUUGUCCUAUUUGUAGGUUAAAAAACUCAAAUGUGGAUCUCUAUGUCAGUUUCAAGUCAGCAAAUAAUAUUAUUUUUGAAGCCAUAUUAAAAUUUUGGACUUAGUUGAUGAUGUUUGAGAGUACAAGGACCAACGUUAUUAAAAAAAAAGAUAUGGGACAAAACUAAUUAUUGACCUAAUACGAGGGGGCAAACUUAAUUUAAUCCUUAAAUUAAUUAAGACAAAAUAUCAAUACGUAGUCGUUUCAUAGAAAAUCUUUUAAUCGUUGGUUUAUACCUAACAUUAUAAAUUACCUCAUUAGAUUGAUUCAUGAGAGAAAUAUCGAUUAUGAAUUCCUUUUUCCUUUGUAUUUAUAGAAACUGUGAAGAAAUUUAUCAAACAUUACCAUUAGAAAUGAAAGUAAUGUCAUUUGUAGAAACUUAAUAGGAGGGUCAUUUCUAUUUUUCUAUACAGACCACUUAACUAAUUAACCAAAAAUUAUGUAUGAGAAAGGUCAACUGACCCUUCUCGCCCCCCUCUCCCUACGCCCAUGAUCGUACAUAAACAAAACAGAUCUAGGUUUUCGAGAUCAAAAACAAAAUUGAGCGGAAGCAAGAGCUAAAGCAAAUGAUAUCAAGCUCAAAACAAUCACAGAAUCAAGAGCCGAAGCUCUGAUACAAUGCUAACAUGGUAGACAUGAUAGAAACUCUAACAAAUCUAUCUGCUGAAAGAUGAAAAUACAGAGAGAAGUGAAGAGAAACCUGUAGAGCAAUUCUCAGAGUUCUUCAAUUAUGAAAGCGUAGCUAAGAUUACAACUCAUACAACUAUAUAUAGUUUUCUUAACAGAAAGAAUAAAACUUCUACUUAUUACAUCAUAAAAGAAGCUGAUAUUUUCCCAAGUCAAGUCAAUACUUCUCGAAGGAUGACAGCUGUACACCACUUACUGGAAGACUUAGCUGAAGCCUUAAUUAGGAUUAGUCCUAAUUAACAAGGAAUAAUGUCCAUUUGGUACUAAUUAUUGGGCUUUAUUGCCCAUUCUAAUAAAGACUUUUUCUCUAUGCCUAUUCUAAUAAUUCUUAAGAAAAAGACAAAUAUACCCUUAAUUAUCACACACACAUCUCUCUCGUUUCUUCCUCCUGAUCUGAAACAUUUUCUCUUUCUCUCCCUCUCUUCUCUCUCUCCCUCUCUCUCAUCCCUUCCGAUCAGAUCGUCAGAAAGCUUCUGGUCGACGAUCAUCGUCGAUGGGGGUGUCGCGGUUGGCAACCCGGUUGACGUGGCCAAGAUGAGGAUGCAGCGAAGCUCAUUCCGGCUUUGUUCCCCCGUUUCGGCUCCGCCAAUUUGGGAAUCGGACUCUGUUCCUGGCGUCGAGCUCCUCCGCCACAAUGUACUCGCAUUCUAGCUUCAUCGGAGACGAUCGGUCCUUCAUCUUCGUUGAAGAUGCCUUCGCAAACGAGAAGAUCGGCGGGGGUCAAGUCCAAGCAGCCGAGCUCCGACCUCCGAUCUUCAAAACCAGAGGCAUUGGCGAUGAGAGCCGAUCUCCGCCACGCACCACGGCAGCCUCCGAUCAUAGUUGGUUGUCCUCGCUUGGUCGCACGUCGUCAAUUUUCAAGAGACCGAUCGAGUUCUUCCGGGUAAUAAAGUUCUAUUGGAGUAAAAAAAAGUUCUACUGAGGGGUGAAAAGUUUAUUAUUAAAGUAAUAAAUGUAUUACUGGAGGUAAUACUGUUUUGUAAGUUUACUAGCCCCAGUAAAAUUUACUAGGGGUAGUAAAUUUUAUUUUUUGCAUCGAAGUUGAUUUUUCUCCGUUUUAAUGUGUACUUAUGGCCUUGGAGAUAUUAUUUUGCAAGCUUACUACCCCCAGUAUAAGUUUACUGGGGGUAAUAAACUUUAUUUUUUCGCAUCUAAGUUGUUCUUCCUCUGUUUUAGUGUGUAUUAUAGCAUUGAAAAUAUUUUUUUGCAAGUUUACUACCCCUAAUAAAAGUUUACUGGGGGUAGUAAAUUUAGUUUUUCAAAUCUAAAUUGUUCUUCCUCUGUUUUAGUGUGUAUUAUGGUCUUGAAAAUACUGUUUUGCAAGUUUACUACCCCCAGUAAAAGUUUACUAGGGGUAGUAAAUUUUAUUUUUUUCGCAUCUAAGUUGAUUUUUCUCCGUUUUAAUGUGUACUUAUAGCCUUGGAGAUAUUAUUUUGCAAGAUUACUACNNNNNNNNNNNNNNNNNNNNAAUGACACAAGACUAAGAACGCAUAAGAGCACAAACCUAAGAAUAAGAAAUUGAUAUUAUGCUACUAUCAAUCUAUCAUAGUCUAAACCUAAAGGAGUACGUAUGAACAGUUUUCAAGAGCACAUGAGCAAUCAAACCUUUAACAUUGUCUGUUGUCAAAAACUGGAAAAUCUGGAGUUUGUUAUGUCAAGAUUUGCUGACAGAUGGUUCGAAGGAUUCAAUUUGAGAUGUCCACUACUUGAGAGUUUGACAAUACAUUGUUGCAAGCCAUUGCAACGGACGCAGGUGGGGGCCAGUGCCACUGCCCCCACUCAACUUUUGAUGUCUGGGGUUUGAAGUCUUUUUUUUUAUAUAUUUUUUUUUUAAAAUUUGCUCUCCCCUGUACACUUUUGCUCUCCCUAACGUUCUGUAUCCCACUACUAUAUAUAUAUAUGGGAUCAGUAAUCACACCAAACAGGCCUAAAAUUGGAUGUUUAGAUAAGGAUUGAGCCCAAAAUUAAUUAGUAGAGUCCCACUUCGAACCCUAAAUUCUUGCAGAAUUGGGUGAUCAAUUUUCAUGUUUUUUUUUUCCUUAUCUGGGUUUUCAUUUUAAUGAAAGAUUAAUGAACGGUGAAUUUGGAAUCCCUUUAUUCUCUAUAAAAGGAACAAUGAGUCUCUUUAGAUGUGUUCAUAUUAGAUGUUUGAUGUGGAAAACCUGCAAUUUUAUAGUGUCUGAUUAGGAUUUCAUAUGAUUAGUGGAAAAAAAAACUUCAAUAUAUUCCAGAAUAGUAUAUUGAUUAACUAGCUGAAGAGCCACCAAAACGGAGAUCCGAGAGAAAGAGGAAAUGAACACUGAGCUGUUUCUAUAUGUUGUUUAGCCUCAAACUUUUUGCCCCCACUGACCUGACUUUUUGCGUCCGCCACUAAGCCAUUGGAAUAUAUCAAGGUGAUUAGUGAAAGCAUGCAUCGCUUCUUUUGGAUGAUGGAUGAAGUAUGGCUCCCUUUUCCCUGAAUGCUCCAAACCUAAUUAAAGGAAGCCAUCAUAGUACAAGAGUAUGCCUCGUACGUAUCAAAUUCCUAUCCACCACCAUUGCCUCAUAUUAGUGCUCCAGCAACUAAACGACUUGAGGACGAAACCUUGUUGUGGAUGGCGCCUUCAUUGAAGCCUUUGUCUAUCAAACACACGAGGUACCUAGUAGUGCCUUAAUCUGGGACUUUUAGGUAAAUUGUUCGAGCAUAGAAUUUUAUUGUUCAUAUGAACUUUUGUUUUUCAGAUUUUAAAUUCUGAUUUUUCCUUCAUUUUUAUAUUUUGUUUAGUUUGAUUUAUAAUAAAAUCAAUUAGGUAAUGCCACGUCACUUGCCACAUCAAUUAAUUAUAUGUUGAUAUCAUAUUUACAAUUGAUUUGGACUAUUGAAUGCUUUAAGAUCUAAUGGCCAGGAAAUAGUGUCAAAAUUUGUGUUAAAUUUGAUUUGAACCGGACCUUAUUCCUUAUAUAUUAAUAGUGCACUUUAGUUGGUGUACUAUUUCUAAAAUUUUCCCUUAACAUAAGCCAUCAGACUUUCUAAAGUGUGUGGUGAGAAUCUGGAAUCGUAUGUCAAAAUGAAAAGAGAAGAAAUAAUUCUCAAACACGAAGACUUUAUGUUAAAGGCAAGGAGAGAGGAAGGGCCAAAAAUAGCGGUGGUGGAUUUGAAGAAAGGGGGAGGUCUAAAUUCAAAGAAAAUGACAAAGAAAAGAAAGACGGUUGCUUCAUAUAUGGUAUUAUGGUAACAUGGUUUACCCAACCAUUGUAAAAGGAAUUGUAAAAUAUGGAAGGAGAAAAAAACGCAUAUGUUAGUGAAAGCUCUAAGUCAGUCAAUUUCGUUAUUAAAUAGUGAUGAUGGAGAACCUUUUGAAAUCUCAAUCAGCUCUAGCGCGCCCAAACAUUAGGCCUUGGAUACAACUUGCACAUUUCACAUGUGUGUGCACAGAUAAUUGCACAUUUCACUCAUUUUCUUUCUGCUACGACAUUACAUCUAACAGACGAAGGUGUCUCAAAUCACGUUCAUGUAGUAAUACAAACUUAUUGUCAAAAACAUAAAAUAGAGAAUGCAACUGUUUUACGUAAGGUGAUAGCCACGUGGUUGAAUUUGCUCAACAGUUGAAAAUGCAAUAUCAAUCUUUAAUUCUUGGCCUUACAACGAUCUCUAAUAUUUUAAAAGAGAUAUGACCGGAACACUUCAAUAGUUUCUUUUUCGAAAUAGCAAUGAUGAUCGCGCCUCAAGUUAUUCAUGCAACAUAUAUUGCAGUACACAACAAUGAUGUUGGUACGGUGAAAUUUGAACGUGUGGUUACACAACAAAGAACCAAGUAUAGCCUUUGUCGCAUAUUAUGGAAUUUCAUGGUCCUCUCAAGUUAACUUGAAGUGAUCUUGAAAUUCCAUCAGAGUGUCCAGAUGCUUCUCGUAAAAAAUUUCAUACAAAGGAGGUUAAUCUUACAGAGUAUCUUGCUCAAAUGUGGAAACUUGUAUUGUUGAUUUCAGGUGGUGGUAAAAUAACCCAACAAGAGAUUAUUAACUGAAAGAUAAAUGAGCAAGUGAAAAAUUUGAUUACAUGGCUGUAAAAGUUGCUUCCACAAAAAGAUGACAAAAAUUUCGUGAUCAGCAUGACGACUUCACAAUACAGAGCUAUGAGUGUGGAUUUAAAAGAGAAAGCAAUUAGAGCAUAUCCACCCUCUGGGUCUUCGUUGGGAAGGCCUGGGUCAUGGGCGAGACCUGGGUCGCCACGUGGCAGUGAUUUUGAGCUGCAGUUUUCACCCACGAUUUUUGUUUCUGGGUCGCCACGUGGCAGUGAUUGUUUAUUGAAUUUUAUAUUAGGUAUUAUUUUGAAUGUGAAUAAUGAUUUUAUAUAUUAAUAAAAUUAUGAUUAAAUAAACAAAAUGACAUAUUAAAAUUAAAUAUUUAUUUCAUGACUUAAAUUGACAUAUUAAGCCUAGAAAAAAAUAAAAUACAAUUAUUUAAAAAUAACACAAACAUAAUAUAAAACAAAUAAAAAAACCGCAAUCUAGAUAUCCAUGUUGCCUUGCACUUCCCAUAAAUGCUCGAUAAGAUCUUCUUGAAGGUUUAAGUGAUCGUACUGAUUCCUAAUUUCAUUGUACCACUCCAUGAAACCUUCAAAAGUAUGAGCAUCUCUACCAACUUCCUCAAAAUCUUGCCCGGUAGGUCCAUCCCAAACUUCAGCUAUCCUUGGCCUCGUAUUGUUGUCCUCUUCUUNNNNNNNNNNNNNNNNNNNNUAUAUAUAUAUAUAUAUAUAUAUAAUAAUUUAUCUUUGUUAACAAACUGGGUGUCUGGUUGAGUUGGUUUAGGGGACAUUUUUGUUUGAUGCGGCAAGCAGGUCAGUAGUUCGAGCGUAGGCCCCCUUGUCUGUUUUUUUAAUUUUUUUCCUUUUUUUUUUUUGCCCUUCUUCUAUUAGGUUUAGUCGUGAAAUUAAAAAAAAACCCUAUUCAAUUAUUGAUCACCUCAGUUUGAUUGCUGUUCCUCCGUCUCUCUACUCUCUGUUUCCUCUUAGUACUCAUACUUCUUAUCUUCAUCUUCAAAUUUCCCAACUCUAUCUCUUAAUUGGCUUUGUUUAUAUACUCAAACUCUCUUGUUCUAUUCCCUAAAGGUAUUCUUUUGAUUUCCUACAAUUUUAUACAUAAAUUGAAUAUACACAUAAUAAAUUUAACAACUUGUUCCUUGUAUUGGUUUGUAAAUUUAGAAGGGCCCCAAUUUUUUUCGCAUCGGGUCCUUCAAAACAUUGGACUGGCCCUGCUCCCUGUGCUUGCUCUUUUUAGUUUAUCUUGAUUUCCAUCGAUUUGUUCUUGAGGACACCCAAUUUGUCCUGUCUAUUGGUUUGAUAAGGAUGUAGAUCAGAGAUAUAAAAAUUAUGUUUUUUGGUAUUGCUUUAUGAAUGUUUGAUUGUGUUUUCUGUUUCCCUUGAUCUUGAGUUGAUUCAAAUUUUGUUCAUGUUGCAGUUUGUAAUGAACUAUAAUAGUGUAGUGGAAAAGGUUUUCAAUGUUGUUUUAUCAUCAAUUGCAUCUCUUUCUGCAGCAAUAUAGUCCAAAUAUAAAUGGCCUUAGCAACAAUUACAUUCCAUCUUGGGGUGAGUUUGAGAUUUUUACUGUUUGCUUCUCUUAUUCGUUGAUCUUUAUGUAGUCAUGAUGUUCUGGGUUCUAUUUGUUUCUUGAGAAAGCUGAGGAGAAUGGAGAAGAAAAAAGUUGAAAGCUUGAUUUAUUGUUGUUGAUUUCCAUUCGUGCUAUAAAUAUUUAGAAUAGCAAAACCUGUUUUCUGUUUGUGGAUUGAUAACAAUGAAGUUAUGUGUUUUCGCAGUGAUAGAUCUCAUGACAGAACCUGUGAUGAUGGUAUUUUCGUAUAUGUGUAGUGAUGUUUUCAUUAUUUAUUGAUUCUUUGAAUUCUCAGGAAACAAUAGUACAUGUGUAUUAUUUUGUUUUUAGAAAGCCAUUUUAGCAAAAAUGAGAGUAGAUAUCUAAAAAGGCUUAUAGUACUGUAUAAAUACAUAUUUAGAUUGGUAUGUUUUGGUAAAUCUGGGUGUUAAUCACUUACUACAAGGAAGAACAAAGUGAUAUAUGAUGCAUUACAUAUAGAAAUGAGCAUAAUGCAUCAAAUAGGAUUUCUUGACAGAUGAUAUAGGUGAACUAGACUGUCAGGAGUUUAUCAGGUCCCAAACUAGACCUCUUAGAGAGAUUUUCAUGACAAGUUGUAGGGUUGGGCAUGGGACGGGAUGAGACGGGAUUAGGGUCAUCCCACGGCCCGUCCCGGACAUUGCACACGGGACGGGAUCGGGGCAGGCCUUACAUUUUUAAGACUUGAUCCCACGCAAGUCCCGUCCCAAACGGGGCCGGGACGGGACGAGCCUAAUCCCACCAUCCCGUCCCAAUAUUACCUGAUAAUAAUAUAAAGAUUGCAUCAUAUGAAUCCAUAAUUCAUAACUAGAAUUCAACAAGUACUUAAGUUCACACAUCAUAAAGUUAAAAAAAAAAACAAAGAAUCUAGUGAAUCUGAAUAUCUGAGAGCACAACAAUACAGCUGCUACAACUACUUAAGUUCACAAUUGCUCCAAGCUGCUCCAAAUACAAACAAUUUCAACUCUAAUAAUCGAUGACAAUACCAGAGAAUGGACAUAGCAUAAUGAUAAGACGUAUUUGCACACGCAUCAAUUAACCCUGUCAACAAAUCAAUCGUAGUAUAAAGCAAGCAGGGAUCGUUCUAGACCGGGGAUCCAACUACAGGUAGAUCCAUCUAAUCUAAUAAAAAUGUACGAAAUAAGCAUAUNNNNNNNNNNNNNNNNNNNNGAGAGAGAGAGAGAAUAAUCUUGCCUGACGGAGGAAGCGGUGAGAAGGAGGCGCAGUGCUUGUUGCUGCUGCUUCGUUUGGAAGGAUUCACAAAAGUCGCACUGGUCCAAAGCGGAGGCUUGGGAAGAGGAAGCUGAGGAGGAAGCGGAGGCGAGGAGGAGGAAAGAGUGAAAGACUGAAAGACACAAAGAGCGAAAGAGUGAUAGACUGCAAGAGUGUUAGUAUUAGGGUUCAAAAAUGAAAAGCUGAGAUCAAAACAUCUAAAAAAAUCAAUGGCUGAUAUUACUCUAUAUUUUACACGGGACGGGACGGGCCUGACGGGCCUCAACUUUUCAGUCCAGCGUCCCAUCCCGUUGUUUUUCAACGGGAUGGGAUGGGACGGGCCUAGUGUUUUUAGACAUAGAUCCCGUCCCAUCCUGUCAAAUUUCGGGAUGGGACCGAGAUUUAGGUUUUUUAUGCCCACCCCUAACAAGUUGAAUUAGAAGGCAUGAUGGUACAAAAGGAGCACCCUUUUGUAAGUGCACACUUUAUGACCAUGGACAGGCUAGGAGCACCUUUUUGUGUAGGGAAUUGGGAGGUUAGGCUUCAAAGAUUGCUGGGUACACUCCUCAAGACAAGAUGGCCCUCAGGUACUCUUCAUGUUGUAUGGAAAUUUUCAGAUAAAUAAAAUAUGAAAUGUAUGUAUGUUCAGUGAUCUACAUGUAUGCAUGAAAUUCCUUAUAUAGCAUAACAGAACCUUAUGUUACAAAGAAUUAUCAUUUUUUUUAUAUUCAGGUUAUAGUCAACUCUAAAUAAUGUAUUUGUUACCGACAAGAAAAUAGCACUAGCAAUAUGUACAGCUAACACUGAGCCUUCAUUUAGAAUGGUUUUGGAGUUGUAAAGCUGAUCGAGUGUUGCUAUGGUAAGCUCUCUAUUUAUAACCUGAAGUUUGUAGUUUAUGGAUGUAUGUACCACAUGUAUGUCUAUCUGUGAGACUAUGAGACUGAGCUAAGGAUUGCAGAUUGCUCUAAAUUUUAUGGUUAAGUGUAUGGCUUAUAAUCUAAAAAUGUUGCUUCUUUGAUUGAUUUUGCAGACUCCUUUUGCGUGCAAUUAAUAAGUAUGUUAAAUGUGUAGAAAAUGUUGGUGUGUUAUGAAGAAUGCAGAAAAGAGAAUUAGGCGCCCUUACAUUGACACUGAGAGUUUGGUUUCAUGGAUUGCUAAUGUUGGUCACCUUAUGCUGCGGGUGUAGUAUGGCAUUGUUUCGAUCAAUAUACUAAGUUCUGUUGGUAAUUGAUUAUAUGAAAUGUAAAUUUGUAAAAAAAAUAUUGGUGAUUGGGUUUGAAAUAAAAAAGAAUAAUGCAAAUUUGAUAGACAUUUCUGUUGUCCCUUUUGCUGAGCACUACUAGAAUAAAAGACUUAGGCGACGAAAACAUUUUAGUCGCCUAGGUAAGUAGUUAGGCGUCGAAACCUUCAUUCGUCACCUAAAAGCACUUAGGUGACGAACCAAAUAAUGGUUCGUCACCUUAGAUUACCAAGGAGACAAAAGAAGGACUCGUACUAUUUUCGUCGCCUUAAUACACAUUAAGACUACGAAAAUGGUUUCACCGCCUAAACUAUCAACCACUGAGGCGACAAACAUAUUGUUUUGUUGCACAAGUUUAUCUUAGGCGACAAAAGUGGUUAUUUAUGCGAUGAAAAUAUUUCGUCGCCUAAGUAUACUCACUUUCAGUUUUCAGAUCUAAAACAGAAGGGAAAAAAUGGGAAAGCUACAAAAGUGGUUCCAGAUUAGUUUCCAAUUUUUAUCUUGAUGUAAUAUAACUACUAUUAUGUAUUUUUAUUUGGAACAUAUAUAUUUAUGUUUUUCCAAUGUUUUGAUAUUUAUGUUUUUAUUUGGUAUAACUUGUUUAAUAGGUUAUAUACGAGUGUACAUAUUUGUGAACCAACUAUAUAUAGGAAGCAAUAUUUUUAAAAAUCUUGUGAAAUAUGAUGUGAUAGGUAUGAUGAAAUACGACUAUGGUUGAAAAAUCACAUAUUUCCGGUAACGUUUGGUCAUUGAUAGAAGCGGUCAACCCUAUUUACGCUUAUGUUUCCCUAUGGGGAGCCUUAUCGUCGGGAGAUGAACGUCCCUAAAUUUUUCCAUAAGUGGUUAGAUCUCAUCAAUGUGAGAGUUUUGUGUGUGGAAGAAUCAACCAAACUAGGCCAUAUAGGGGUAUGUAAGAGUUUUUUGUGUAAUAAGUGGCGUUGGUUUAGGUUUGACCAUGUGGAUCGAGACCCAAACUUUAUCGAAAGUAGGUGAAUUUUUUUUCAUAACCGUAUUUAAGUAUAAUGAUCAUAUCAUACGGUUGAAUUUUCAUUUUGUGAAAUUUGGCUAUUAGAACCACAACGUGCCUACUAAUGUGGUAUAACUUAUUUAGUAGGUUGGAUGCAUGUGUACAUUUUUGGAACCAACUAUAUAUAGGAAGCAAUAUUUUAAAAAUCUUGUGAAAUAGGAUGUGAUCGGUAUGGUGAAAUACGGUUAUAGUUGAAAAAUCACAUAUUCGGAUUGGACCGAAUAGGAGCAGAUCGGAAUUGGGGCUGUAGUCGGUGGAGGGUUAGCAGUGGGUCGACAGAGCUGGAUCAGAGGUGCGGAGUUUAGGCGCCGUUGCUGAAUCAAAGGUGGAGACGCGCUGGAUCGGGAAGAGAAGGGCAGUGUAGGUAGCCUGAGUGCAGCUAGAUCGGGUAGAGUCGGGUUCGCUGCCGGUGGCUUUGGGAUCCAAAGAGAACCGGGUCGUCGGGGCAGUGCUCAAGGUUGGAGGCGUUGGGUUGGUGGAGGGUUUUGUGCAUGCAAACUGGGUAAGCUUGCCGGAUUUGGUGUGGUGGAAUUUGGGUAAGCUUGCCGGAUCAGGGAAGUUGGGUGCCCAGAGCAAAUUCUAGGUGGGACUGAGUUCUAUGGUGGAAUGGGUGGUGGGUUUCAGACCAAAAAAAAUUGAAAGGAAAAUAAAUAAAAAGGAAAAGCAAAGAAAUUGAAACUAAAAAAUAAAACUUAAAUAAUAAAAAUGAAAUUUAAUUAAUUAAUUUUAAAUUAUUCUAAAGAAUGUUAAAUUAUUUUAAAUACUUCAACUUUCGUCAACUAAGAACUUAGGAGAUGAAACUUAUUUUGUCGGCUAAGGGUUUCUUAGACGACGAAAUAUCAUUAUCCGUCGUUUACUUUCGACGCUUGAAUGUGUCUUUUUUCCUCACCUUAGACUUAUGCGACGAUACAUAAAUAGUCGCCUAAAUGGACACUCAGGCGACCAUUCUUUUUUAUUCGUCGCCUAAGUUCUUACGGGUACAUGCUGAUACGACGAUUGUUAGGCGACGAACCUUUCGUCGCGUGAAAACUUAGGAGACGAAAAUGAGCAUUUAGGCGACAAAACCUGUUCGUCACCUAAGUCCUUUAUUCUAGUAGUGGAGAAAGAAAAAAUGAGGUGAAUUUAGUUGUCACCGUGUGGAAGAUAGUAAUUGGGAGACAUUUUAAUACAAGUAAAGUGGUACAUAACAUCAUCCAUUUGUGUGGGACAAGUUGUAAUAUGAUUGCAAAGACCCACUGAAGAAACUUAGAUUAGGUUCUGACAUAGAUAUUCACGUCAGAAAUAUGAAACUUAACUAACUCUGUCAUUACUACAGAUUGUCUGUUGACUUUAUUAAUUCAUUAUAGUGUGCAUCAAAUAGAUGGUUCAAGUUCCUAUUAAAUGAAGAUAAUUUUUAUCAGUAAGUAAAAGGGGGACAUCUUAACUCAAUAUAACUUUGCUCCAUUAUUGUCAUUGUAGGGAAUGCCGGCCUCGAGGAAUGUUAGGAAGUUGUUGCGUCAUUGAUGGUUGCUGCAACAAGAUUUUUUGAUUUACCAGAGUUGCAUGACAUGAUGCAACUAUUUCAAGAAAGAUAUGUGAAUUUCUCUGGAUUACUGUGUAGAUAAAUAAGGUAAGUAUUUAUGGACCUACUUUUGAUUGGAAUUUUAAGAAUCGGUAACUACUGUGAAGCUGCCUAACUUAAUUUCUAAUUGUACUUGGGGAACUGUUGUUGUAAUUGUGACUCUUCUGUGAUUCUGGUAUGAAGAUGCUGUAUGACUCGUAAAUUUAGGAAGUAGCUUAGAGAAUUACCCUCAAGCCAAAAGUGUACAUCCGUUUCUUCCUUUUGUCUAUCUCUUAUAUUUGCAUCAAAUGUCAUCCUUAUCUUUACUAUUCAGACUUUUCAUUAAUUCAAUCAAAAGACACCGACUUAACUGAACUCAAGUCUUUUGCUUACUGACCGACAUACUUUCUGAUUUCUUUCCACACUCUUCUUAAAACUCAGAAAAGUUUAAGUCGGCUUGUGCCUCUUUUGUUUUCGUCUAGAGUAACCCAUAAUUCUGUGUUUUACUCUUUAUCUUGCUAGAAGGUAUGAAACUCAGUUUAAUAUUGGAUCUUCUGAGAUUUUCGGUUUUCUCAGUUCCAAGUCUUUCUUUGUCUCGCAUGCAUGUUCUAUAAACCUGUCCUAAUCCACAAGUUCUACUUUGAUAGAACAAUCAGAGGAUUUCGGACCUUCAAAUCGCUGAGCUUCUCCUUAUUUUGUAUCAACAUCAAAGCUUACUUUCUUUUGGUAAUAUGUUCUUUCACUCAUCAAGAUUUUUAUUGAUAUAAGUUUAAGGUUGUUAUGAGGUGCACUUUUGACUAACAGGUAGCUUUGGUAACUCUAUCUAGAUGCCUAGAACUGAAUUAGAUUGGGUUUCAUGUAGUGCACACAACAUGUUUGAUAGAAUGCCUCACAUACACAACAAAGCUGAACCAGUGGGCUUUUCCAUGAUUUUCGAAAAAUCUAUACUUCUUUGUUCAAUCUCAAUUUUUAACAGUUGAAAAUAAACUCUUCAAUAAUCAUUUUAAACUUGGUUUCAAGUAAAACGGGGUUGAUUUGAGAAACUUAUGCUAUUUUAAAGUUCAUACAGUGUUCCAGAAUUUUCUGCAGAAACUGCAUUUUCAGUCACUUUGGGUCUCUAUUAGACAAUGUAUUUCCACUCCAAACGAUUUGAAAUUUUGGGACAUUGUAGUUUUGCUUGUCUAUUUUGAUUUUGGAGAUUUUCAGCGGAAAGUAUAAAAAUAUCAAUUGUUAAUGAAUUUUUCUCUCUUACUACAUGUUCUCUGGAAAUUUCCCAAAUUGCAGCUCAGCGUUACAAAACAAUUGGUUUGAGAGCUUUUACCCUUUUUAUUAGUCUUCGAUCUUUAACAAGUUAAAUUGGAUAUGCAAAUCAUGCUUUGAACUUGUAUUUCAGUCCAAAAAGGGUCAAGGAAAAACUCCAUUUUCAACAAAGCAUUGUCUCUGUGUUAUGAUAAUCUGAUCACUAUUUUUCUUUUAGAACAAGCCCACACAUGAAAACUCUAGCUACUGCUGAUUCUUUGAAAAUGCGACUUUGAAUAAUGUUAGGACUAAUGAUGGUGAUGUACUACUUUCUAUAAUAGGAUCAAAGGCUCAAGUGGACUGAAGAUUGGUUCUUGGUACUUGUUGAAGGUUGUACAUAAGAAUUUCCAGCUAGGGGGUCUUCACUAGUUUGAGAUGUUUCUGAAAAUAUCUUUAUGUUUUUAUGCAUAAAAGUGCAUUAUUUUAUGUGAUGACUUGAGAGUAAAGGGAGCAUAACGACUACCUUAGGUUUUGAUCCCCUAAACCUCCUGAAGGGCUAUACAGACCGGAAGACGUCUAACAUUCUUGAGGUGUGGCGUCUCUCCUAGUUUUCAAAGGUAUGACGUCUAACAUCCUUGAGCUGUGGCGUCUAAACUCUCAUAGUUUUCAAACCUAGCUAGCGUUACUUCCUACUGAGCAUAUGAACAUGAGUGAUGCUCACCCCUAUACAUUCCAGGAUCUGUGCACGAGAUUGAAAAGGAGUGGACUUGAAGUGGUGGCCUUGGCAUUUUGCAGUUUUCUCCUUUCCUUGAGGUCUACUUCCUGUUUUGUUGUUAUGAUGUUUUAUAAAAUCUGAGCCUUUGUCACUUAUAUUUUUGGUGAAAAAUUAAAGUCAGCUUGUUGUAAAUAUGAUCUCAAAGUCAUUUUCGUGUGUGAUAGUUAUGUUAGUCUUAUCUGAAAUAGAAAUUCCAGUUUGUAAAUAAGUGUCAUGUAUAAUUAUAGCCAUGUCUCUUUUUAGUUUUCUUGUGUUCAUAAUGGUAUCCAGUAAACUUGCAUCCUUGUGUUGUUUUCUAAUCAUCUAUGUUAAGUUCAUUUCCUUUUGUUUAGAUUACACAGAUUUGGUAAAUGUUGUUUGUUUGAAAACUAUCUUAACGGGUCACUGGAACUUUCAAAUUCCAGAUAUACUCCCUCUCUAAAGGUUUCUAGCUGUUGGUUAUUUUAACAUUACUAAUCUAAAGUGAAUCAUUCUUGUGUUUUAGCAUUGUCUUAUCAAAAGGUCAAGAGGCUAUGAUUUCAAAUAAAAAAUUUUGUUAGCUGCCAAACUUAAUCCUCCUUAAAUGUUCAUUUGGUUUGUCUUGGGAUUUCUAGUUUUCAAAUCUCUUUUAAGGCCUUGUGCAUUUUAAGUUGCUUUCGUAUUGUUGUUGAUACUUGAGCGUCUUAAAAUGUACGACGCUAUGACGUGACCCCUUUGGGGCGUUACAGAUGAUGUGGGGUGUUUGCAUUUUGUAAUUGGUUUUUAUUUUAGUUGUGUCUGUUUUAUGACAUUUGGAUUUGUUUUAUUCAAUCCACAUCGUAUAUUUAUUAUUUUGGUAAACAGUUUUGGCCUCAUUCAUUCUGCCUCGGAUAUGCCUCGGCUCAUAUCCACCUUGAGGUAUUUAGUUAUGUGUUUUGUGGCUGUAUAAAAUGGAGUAGGAAUUGAUCGAUAACCUUAAUUGACUUAAUCAAUUGAUUGAUGAGAGUUGUAGUUUUGAUAUUGAAAGAAACUUCAAGAAUAUGAUUUAUGUGUUGUUUGUGCGUCCAGCUUUAUUUUUUAUAUUACAUAAGUGGCGAACAUUCUAUUUCACUUAAUUUGGUGAAUUUCAUAUUUCUUUUUGGGUUUGGAAUCUUAUAUGAAUUAUAACAAAUGAGCAUCUACUAUUAAAAAAAUGAAUUUGGUUUGUAACAGUUAGUGCCGUUAUUAUACUUGAUGUCCUUAUAAAUGACCAAUAUACUUUAGGUCUUUAAUUGAGUGUGAUUAUAUAUCUACUUUGUGGAUAAAUAACCAACUAGCCAGCUUAUUAGUAGGAGUAUUGAUCGAGUCAGCUAAUGCAUGAAGGUAGAUUUUACAUGUAGCAAGAAAUUGAACUUUUCACUACAAAAAUGGUAAAGGAAAUUGAAAGGAUAUAGUUGUGAUGAAUUGAUUAUACUAGAGUGAACUACAAUCUUUGUGGUUAAAUUAUCGAAUAACUUUAUUCUUUUUUGUGUAAUUACACAACAGGAAUCUACAGCUACCACUUUGAUUGUAACUGUAAAUUUUAACCUUAAGAAAAUGAAAUUGAAUAGGAAUCUACAACUACCACUUUAAUUGUAACUGUAAAUUUUAACCUUAAGAAAAUGAAAUUGAAUUGUUUUGCUUUAAAGUGCAUUGUACUAUCUUAAAUUCUGAAUGACCCUUUUUGUUUCUUUUUAUCUUUAUGUUUUGUGUAUUGUACAAGUCAGCAUAGUUUUGCAAGCUGGAUUUUCUACAUUUUUGUCAAAGUCUUUUAUCUUAAUUAGAAGUUUCUUGAUAUUAAUAUUUUCUUUUAUCAACCCAUUGGUUUCAUGAUUUAUUGUUUCGUGUUUGUGUAGGAUUUUAAAGUCCACUGAUAUAUUUGAAUUGAGUGCUCAAGGAACACAAAAAGUAUGUGGAAUGUCAAGUCUCAAUUGGGAGCAUUGAUCUCUGUAUCGAGUCCAUAAGAGUUGUUGCAAUGAAAUGUUAUUUUUACUACAUAAGUUAUUGAUGUUUUAGGUUUGACCAUUGUAUUUGAUGUAAUAUAACAAAUGUAUAGACACUAGUGGAAAUAUCGACUUAGCCGACGGAAACAAUUCGUCGCCUAAGACCGCAUAUCCGUUGAUUACAAUCUUGGCCGACGAAUUAUCCGUCGUCUAAGUUCCGUCACCUAGGUGUCGUGAGGUAGACACUUAAGCGACAGAAAUUAAGUUAGUCAUCGACUAAGACCGAUCCAACCCGACGGACCCUUACCUGUCUUGUCGACAAAUGGAAUCGUCGAUAAAACUCCCUAUCGACGGAAAGUUUUUGUCGAAAAUGUUCUUAGCCGACGAAUAUGAUAUUCCUCUUAACCGACGGAAUUGCCGUCGGUAUGUAUGUUUACCGAAGAAUAUAUUAUCGUUCUUAAGCGACAGAAAAUUCGUCGGUAUAGUUUUUGCUCGACGAAUGUGUAACUGUUCUUAGUCGACGAUUGAUCUUUGUAUUCGUCAGACAGGUUGUUUAUCUUAAGCGACGAAUGUUACUAUUUCCGUCGCCUAGAUAUUUUAUCUUAGGAGACGAAUGUUACUGUUCCGUGGCUUCGGUUGUUUAUCUUGGGCAACGAAGAUUACUGUUUCCGUUGUCCAAGACAAAUAUCUUAGGCGACGAAGGUUUCUGGUUCCGUCGCCUAAGAGAUUUUAAUUAGGGUGAAAAAACACUGAAUUUUGUUUUUUUUUUUGGGUUUCACUGUUUCCAAAUAUUACAAAUCAGUAACAAUAAUGAAACACAUACAAAUACAUAUAUACGGAAGCACUAGAUUUGGACCAUUUUUCAUAUAUUGAUCACAGAUGGACAAAUAUUAUUCACAUAUACAAAAUAAUUAAUGAAUUAACUAGGUAGAAAAUUGUUCAUACAAUGUAGCUAAACUAUGAAUCUUCUACAAAAUCAAUAAUUCUAAGGACGUCCGUUGUCCAAUUCUAUAUUAUCGCUUAGAUCAUCAUUGUUUUGUGGGGAAACAUGUGGAGGAGGAGAAGCAUCUAGAGGUGGAAGAGGAAACUGUGGAGGAGGAGGAGGUGGCAUACCUAGGUGCUCAUAUAAGGUUGCAACUUGGGACUGCACAGCACUAUACACAGACUCAGCACGUAGGGCACGCUGCUGGACCUCUUGGAAUUGCUGUUGGGCACGCUGCUGGACCUCUGUUAACUACUGCUGGGCACGAUCCUCUGAUUCCUUUAGUCUCUGCUCAUAGCGCUGCUGCACCUCUUGGAGUUGCUGCUCAUCAACUCUAGGAGGACGACUACGUGAAGUGGAACCAUUUGAAGAAUGGCUCAAGUCUCGCUCGCCUCCUCGUCCCAUCCCUCUGAUCUCCUUUCCUUUAAGAGUUUUGAGCACCGUACCCAACACCUCAAUUUGUUGGGACUGAACACUUUCAAUAAUCUGCUCCUCCGUCGCGUCAGGGUGUUGUUUCUUAAAUGCAUCCUUUUGUUUAUUGACCUCAUCAACCAUGUCAUUCUGCAUUCAUUUAAAAUACAUCAAUAAAGUUUCCAUAAUAAAGUUUACUGGUUGCAUAAUAAACAGAGAAGCUAAUGGGGGUCAGUAGAAGUUUACUGCCUCCCAGUAAACUUCUACUGGGGGUCAGUAAACAUGCAAUUCAUUAUCUCCCUUUCAGUUUCAUGGCCACAACACACAACAGAUACCCUAAUAAACAACUUUAUUGCUCCCUAGAAAACCUAGUAGAAGUUUACUGCCCCCCAGUAAACGUCUACUGGGGGUCAGUAAACUUGCAAUUCAUUAUCUUCCUUUCAGUUUCAUGGCCACAACACACAACAAAUACCUUAAUAAACAACUUUAUUGCUCCCUAGUAAACCUAGUAGAAGUUUACUGCCCCCCAGUAAACUUCUACGGCAGUAAACUUCUACUGGGGGUCAGUAAACUUGCAAUUCAUUAUCUCCCUUUUAGUUUCAUGGCCACAACACACAACAGAUACCCUAAUAAACAUCUUUAUUAAUUGCUCCGUAGUAAACAACUUUAUUGCUCCUUAAAACUAUACAUAUUAAUUAAUGACAGUGAUAAUAACACUUCUAAACAUGACAUUGUAAUUGGACAGUGCCUAGAUUCAACUUAAUGGUCUCAUAUAUAUACCAAUAGCUGGAUUUACAGAUGCUUGAAGCAUUUGCUAAGCUUACAUAAAGUAAAAGGAAAGACACUUACAUAUUUCUUGGUCAUAUCUUCAAAACCUUUGAUAAUUGGAAGCUGCUCCCCUUGUAUUCUGAGUUCCUCCAUUGUGUAGAUGAUAGGAGAAGACCCCAUGUGGUGGUGCAUAGUCUUCUCCCCACGGUUUGGCUUGUUUGCCAAGGAGAGUCUCUAAUAUAUACACGAAAAAAUGUUAAAUAGAUUAAUAAAAUACAAGGGAAACAAUGAAUGUAAUUUAAAAAUAAAAAUAAAAAACAAUGAAGGUAAUUUAAAAAAUCACCUUGAACACAUCUAACUCGAAGUGCUGGCAUAGAAAGUCCCACUGGUCCUCUCUCCCAAUGAAAUCGGAAGGCAUGCCAGAGGACCCUUCCUUCAGAUAAGCUUUGUGGCACUGGUACUUCCAGUCCUUGUACCUCUCCUGUGCUCUCAUCAGUAUCCAAUUGAACAUUGCCUCAUCAUUUUCAUCGCACUCGUACUUCGGCUAAGUAAGAAAUAAAUGAAAAAUUCCCAUGUUAAGCACUAAAAAAUAAAAAAUAAAAAAUUAACACACCUAAUUAUUAUCACAAAACACAUCUUUCAAUUCAUAUCAGCACACAAUACUUUACACAUAUUCAAUCAUACUUUACACAUAUCUAUAACAUUUUCACUUUAUAAGAAAACUCCUUAUGCAAACAUAUGCUUAGACAUGAAAUUUUAUCAACAGAGAGAUGUCAAUUCAGUCAGUUCAUACCUUCCAAUUACAUAAGCAAUCAUAUAUAUGUUAUCACACAAAUGUAAUUAAGUAAAUUUACUUUUCAUAUACUUUUCAGUUACUUACCGACAUUGCAUUCCACACCUUCCACUUCUCAGUCUGAUCAAGGUCGUAGAACAUGCUUGCCCUCAUUCCCACUAGACUUCGUAUGGCGCAACCGAUAUCAUGUGCCACCAAGCUGUUUAUCCCCCUGACGCUAGGGCCUUUUACACGGGGGUAAUACUCCAGCUUGAUCUUCUGCCCCAUUUGUUGAACGAUAUCCUCCGCCUUCUUUCUAGAACAAAAACCCCGCCUCUUUUUCAGGGCCGGAGCUACAAUUAACAUGUGAAAAUACAUUAUGAUACUUAAUAUACAAGAGAAUAUCUGUUGUAAGUGGCAUGAAAAUAAAAGAGACAUGUUGUACUGCAAGUUUACUGACCCCCAGUAUGCGUUUACUGACCUCCAGUAGAAGUUUACUUACCCUAGUAGAAGUUUACUGACCCCCAGUGAAAAUACAUUAUGAUACUUAAUAUACAAGAGGAUAUAUGUUGUGUGUAAGUGGCAUGAAAAUGAAAGAGACAUAUUGUACUGUAAGUUUACUGACCCCCAUUAUAAAUUUACUGACCCCCAGUAUGCGUUUACUGACCUCCAGUAGAAGUUGACUGACCCCAGUAGAAGUUUACUGACCCCCAGUGAAAAUACAUUAUCGAUACUUAUAUACAAGAGGAUAUCUGUUGUAUGAAAGAGACAUAUUGUAUUGCAAGUUUACUGACCCUCAUUAUAACGUUUGCGGACCCCCAAAAGAAGUUUACUGAGCCCCAGUAAAAGUUUAUACUGACCCCAGUAGAAGUUUACUGACCCCUAGUAGAAGUUUACUAGGGGCAGUAAAUUAAUACACAUACCUGUUUGGCUUCUAACUUUGAUUCGAGCGCUGCCGACGAUGCGUUUUGCAGAUUCGGGUGCGGUUGUAGUCUCGGAUGCGGUUACAGACGCCGAUUGAGAUCCCGUUGAACAACUGUCAACCGUAGGGCGCUGCACGAUCAAGGGGGGAGCCCCUGGUGGUACUGUCUCAGCCGACAUGGGGUUACGAUGGCUGCUACUGGUAGCUGAGCCGACGCUCUACCAUAUUGACUUCAUCAAAGCAAUGGCCUUAGUGGCUCGGCCCUUCUUCUUCCCCAUGAUCACCAUAUCUUGCACAUGAAUAACACACAAUUGUUAGUAAAUGAGUGAAUAAUAGAUAAAGAUUAUGAAAAAUAGUCCAUAGAAAAGCAUACAGGUUGAUCAAACCACUUGUAUUUCCUCACUUUUUUUUUUUUUUUUAGUACUUUAUGCAUUGGUGAUACAGAAAACACUAACAAAAACUGUGAGCCACUUAAGCAGAAAAUACAAUGUGAUGUUGGUUUUUUUUUUUGGAUAAUUAAAUAAUAAUAAUAAUAAUAAUAAUAAUAAUAAUGAAACACGAUUAACGAAUUCGUUUACGAUUCAGAAGUAACAAACAAUAUCAAUAUGAGAAGAGAGAGAAUACGGACCUGCAAAAGGAGCAGCGGUGAGAAGGUGAGAGCAGAGAGAUCGGAGUGGCGGGUGGAUGCGGUGGCGAUGAGCGGAGGAGGUGGGUGGAUGCGCGCACUUUAAUCGGUGGCCGAUGCGUGGAUGGGGUCUGGUGGCGCAGCUCUGGUGGCGCGACUCUGGUGGGAUUUGGGAAUUGUGGGUGUGAAUUUAAUUAGGGAUUGUGGAUUGCGCGAGGGAGUUAGUAUAUGUUUUAAAUUAGGUUUCGUCGCCUAAGACAUUUAUUCGUGUCCUAAGUAAUACGAAAUUUCGGGGAAAAAAAAGGCACAAAAUUCACCCGCCUAAUAUUUUGGGAUCCUAGACGACGGAAAAUGUAUUUUCCGUCACAUUGUUUUACCAAGCCGACGUCUUAUACAAUUUCCGUCUCCUAAGUACAAUAAAAUUUUAAAAAUGUGACUAAUAUUUUGGGUAUCCGUCGCCUUAGGAGUAUUAGGUGAUGAAUUAUUCAAAUUCCGUCGACUAAGUAUAUUAUUAAAAAUUUCCACAAUUUUAUUAUAUUUGCAUCUGAGCAUUUUCGUGUAACUUUUCAAACUAAACCCAAUUAUAACUCUGCAUAAGUAUUCGUACUUAAACAAGCAUACAUAUAUAUGCAUUUUAAAAAUUACAAUGAAAAUUUGCAUGAAUAUUAUAUAAUUAAUGGUUUGACGUACGUACGUUCGUGGUUAAUUAUAAAUUUAAAAAUACAUAUGACAAUCAAAGUCGUCCGAAUAAUCAUACUAUAUAUUAAUCGUACAAUAAUCGUAAUAUAUACUAAUCGUACUCAUGAUAAUAUGAGUCGUCUGAAUCAUCAUCCUCCUCAGUUUGGUCAAAAUACUCAUCAUCCUUUAUGUAUUCGUCAUCUAUGAAGCCGUCGUUAUCAUGAUUGGGGAUGCGAGGUUGUAGCAAGUUCAGUUCAGAUGGUGUAACUGGAAGGUAACCUAUGAUAGCCGGAACGUGUUGGUUGUUGACACGAAUAUCCUCAGUAUCAGGGACUACAUGUGGAGAAUCCUCUUGAUAUGGUUCAUUCGGUUGAUUAGUUGUUAUUGGUUCACUGGGCCCACUCUCAUCAUCCCCUCCCAGUGUAGCUGCACUCCAAAUAUUCCUAUGUGACAUCACCUGCACCACUUUCCAACCCUCACCCAUAGCCGGAUCAUCAAGAUAAAACACUUGUUUCGCCAUAUGGCAAGAAUAAACGGCUCAUUCUCAUACCAUAUACUGUUUGAGUCCACUGAUAACAAGCCACGAUCCAAAAUUGUACUCCUUCGUCUAGUUGGGUCAGUAUUGAACCAUUUGCACUUGAACAACACGACUGGCAUACGGUUGCCGUAGAUUAGUUCGAUGACACUGACAAGAACCCCGUAGUAGUUGAAACCCAGACCCUCAACCAUGACUCCAUUGUUUUGGGUGCCAUGGCCUCCAUCUCGUUCUGACGUCACAAACUUAACACCGUUCACAAAACAUCCAUCACGAACUCUGUGGCUUUGGUGUCAUCUAGCCAACAAGUGCAACUCCGGGUCGUAAGAAGCAGGAAAAUGCUGUUGAAUGUGUAUCAUCUGUAACAAUUUUAAUAGCAACAUUGUUAUAUUAUGUAACAUCAAAAAACAACAUAUCUUUAAUUUAUGUAACAUCAUAUAUACAUACCCAAAUAGGGAAAUAAUCAGGAAAAUCUCUCUUGUGUAUGACUUCGUUACCAUACUGCCUUUCCAAAUGGGACUUGAAGUAUCGCUCGGCUUCUUCGCAAUGUUGAAGGACACACCAAUGAGCCUCUUUGAUCUCAUCAUUACUUAAUCUUUCAGAAUUACUUAACCUGCCGUACGGUUCAACAUCGUUGGAAACAACUGAUAGAUUGAAUUGCCGGCUACUACCCGCUCCAGAUGAUUCCCCCACUGUGUCUUCAUCAUUGAGAUAUGCGUUGCAGUAAGUUACGCACUCAGCCUGAAUGUAUGCCGCCGUGAUCGACAUUCAGGGAAACGUUUGUUUUUGUUCUUCUUCUUGAAAUCCCCCAGUUGCCUGCGAAACAAAUAUAUAUGCAAUUCUUAUAAUAAAUAUUUAAAAUACCAUUUAUCUUAAUUUGAAAGAAUGAUUAAUUAGAAUAAAUAUGAGUGCAUACCUCUCAUUUGGAUAGCACCAGGUAUACUGUACCAGACCAGUAAGCAACACUUGUUCGGGAAGGUGGAUCAUGAGGUGAAUCAUGAUGUCAAAGAAAGUGGGGGGAAAGAUCUUCUCCAGCUUGCACAUGAUGUACACAAUGUCUUCUGGCAAUGACCGAACAUCAGACUUUUUAAGCUCUUUAGCGCNNNNNNNNNNNNNNNNNNNNCUCUACUAGCCAUAACUGGGGGCGUAUACCCAUCAUCUUAAGAUCAACACAGGCUUUGGGGGUAUCUUUGUUCUUAUGUUUGAGAUUCAGAAUUGUUCCAAGAAUGCUGUCACAAACAUUCUUCUCUAUGUGCAUGACGUCCAAGUUGUGUCUGCUUUUCAAGGUCGACCAGUAAGGCAAUUCAAAUAAUACACUUUUGUGCGUCCAAUACUUAAACUCAUCAGGCGUGGGAGGAUUCAAGUCAGUUACUUCUUUACUCGUGCUCAAAUAUCCGAACCAAUGCUGGUUAAGCCUUUCCAAAAUCCACUCACCAGACCUCCCUGAGGGUUUCAGAUUAUGCUCCUCAGUCCCAUCAAAUGCAUCAGCAUUCCACCGCCACUCGUGAUCCUCGGGAAGAUGUCUACGAGAUCCCAAGAAACAAAUUUUGUCGGCGUGCCGACUAGAAUUGACAUCAUCUAUGCAUACCGGGCAAGCCUUGUACCCCUUAGUUUGUUGGCCAGACAACAUUCCGUAAGCUGGAAAAUCACUGAUGGUCCAAAUAACAGCUGCUUUCAUCAUGAAUGAAGUUUGACCAUGCCUGUCAAAAGUUGGGAGUCCAUUUUCCCAUAACUCCUCCAACUCGUCAAUUAAUGGUCUCAUGUACACAUCAAAGCACUUUCCUGGAAAACACGGCCUUGGAACCAUAAGCGUAAGGAAAUUGUACUCUUUCCUCAUACACAUACUAUCACAGGCCAAAUGCUGUAACACAAAUUCAUGUUUCCAGUAAGAUUGAAUCCGUUUGUUGCAAGUCCGAGUCUGACAUUUCGACACUCUCUAGCAAAUUCGGGAAAAGAACGGUCAAAGUGCUUCCAAGCUUCCCCGUCUGCGGGGUGUGUGAGAUUAUCUAGAUCUAUCCUCUCCUCUCCCUGGUGUCUUGCCUGGUGCCAUCUCAUAUGUUUGGCCGUAUGUGAAGAUACGAGAACCUAACGGGAAGUAACGAAGAACCUUCCUAGGAAUGGGCUUUUUCUGCUUAGAUGAAGUGGAAGCUUCAUACCUUGGCUCGUAGCAGUGUGGGCACUCAACUUCAUCCUUGUUGUCUUUGUAAUACAAGAAGCAGUUAUUGACGCAAGCGUCUAUCUUUUGGUGAUCAAGACUGAGGCCAGCCAACAUCCUUUUUACCUGGUCGAAAUUUUCCGGACAACUGUUACCUUUGGGAAACACUUUCUUCAUAAGUGCAAUAUCCUCAUCAAAACAUGUCUUAGUCUUUCCCCGCUUGUUUUUUAUCUGCAUGUGUUCCAUGACGGUACCCAACACAGUAUGCUUACUACCAGGAUACAAUGGGGUUUGUACUUCCCGUACAAGCCUGUUGUACUUAUCAUAAUCAUUGCUGUAGUCAACGUGGGAGACAUUAGGGAAGGUGUCAGGGGCGUUGUCAUAAACAACAUUUUGCUGAUAUCCUGAGGUGGCGAACGGGAAGGCAUCGUUUAAGUGGUUCAUCACAGCAGGGUCCCCGUAACUAGCAUUGGAAGAUAUCCUGCUUGCUGAUUAUGUUGUGCUUGAAUUUCUGCAAGUGUUGGCAUUUGAACUUGAAUUUCGUCGUGCCAUGUCCAUGUGGUAUAACUAGGACAAAUACCGUUUAGUGCCAAGUGAGAAUACAUGUCUUCAUAUGUUACUGAUGUCCGAUUGAGACAUUUGUUGCAUGGACAUAUGUGAAUAACUUUGUCUGGAGGCCGGACUAUGUUGACGCACUAACUCAAGAAAACCAAAAAUGCCUCUCAUAUAAACUGGGGACCCCCUCCCUAAUUGCAUCCAGCUCUUUUCCAUGUUGUACAUUAUAAUAACAGGAAACAAAAAUAUAUAAUAAAAAAAUCGUGAAUAAAAUAAAGCAAGAGAAAUACACACACACACACACACACACACACUUUGUUGGGAAAAUAAACAUUUAACUAAAAAAAAAGUAAAUUUUAAAGCCCAUUUCAAUAGAAAAAACUGUUAAGUAACCCAUAUUAAUGUUUUAACGCCUCUAACAAUUAAUAUUAUACCCUUAUUGCAUUAAUUAAUUACACGUUCUCUCUGAUAGUUCAAAAAAAAAAAAAUUAACCACGUUCUCCCAGACUCCCACUCUCUACGAUCAAUCGAACUCUCACCUCUUCCACUCUCUUUAUCUCUCUCUAACACUCGAUAACGAUCUCUGGUUUAGGGUUCUUCACGAUUCUCCGUGAUUCCAUCGAUCAGGCCACGUCGUUCUCUCGUUAAAUAUCUGUCGACUCCGUCGCUCUCUGCAUGGAGAUAAAUCCCAGUUGAGCAGGAAAUCGCUCUCUGCCCUAAUCUCAGUCGAUCGAAGUUGAUCUGUGGUUCAAUCUCGACGUCGCUGUCACGUUCAAUCGCUCACGCUCGGCGUCACUCUCAGGUUGAAUAUCGGCGUCGAUAUCUGCUUCAAUCGCUCUCACUCGACCUCGCUCGGGAAAACCAUAAAAAAGGUACAUUUUGAAUUUUAUUGAAUUUAGACUUAUUUUGGACUUAUCUGAUGAUAUUGAAGCUUCAUUCAAGGGAUUAAAGGCCAUGAAUAUGAAAACAUGAAAAUUAUAGGGUUUCUCUGGUCAUAACUGUUACAGAUUGAAAUUAGUUUUGUUUAAGAUUUUCUUUCAAAGAUUUACUGUGUAUAAUUGGCAUGACAAUGAAAAGGAGAUACUGUAUUGUUGUUUACUCUUGUCAAGUAGAAGUUUACUAGGGGGCAGUAAACUUCCAGUUGGUUUACUAGGGUUCAAUGAAGUUGUUUAUUAGAGUAAGAAUGAGUAUCUGUUGUGUAUAAUUGGCAUGAUUAUAAAAGGGACAUAGUGUAUUGAAGUUUACUGACCCCCAGUAGAAGUUUACUGGGGGCCCACCAGGUUUACUAGGGUUCAAUGAAGUUGUUUAUUAGGGUAAGAUCGGGUAUCUGUUGUGUAUAAUUGGCAUGAUUGUCAAAGAGAGAUACUGUAUUCAAGUUUACUGACCUCCAGUAGAAGUUUACUGGGCAGCAGUAAACUUCCACUGGGUUUACUAAGGUUCAGUGAAGUUGUUUAUUAGGGUAAGAAUGGGUAUCUGUUGUGUAUAAUUGACAUGAUUAUGAAAGGGAGAUAGUGUAUUGAAGUUUACUGACCCCUAGUAGAAGUCUUAUCGUUUGUGCCUUGUGAAUGUAGUUAAAACUUGUAUGUUAGACUUUCUGUGUGGAAAAUCUUUUGUAACUUGUUUUUCUAUAUGUGAUAGCAUGUUUUAUUUUAUGAUUGGGUUGGUUGAAGUUUGGCUUUAGUGGGAUGGGUGUUUAUGGAAUGGUUGAGCUCUUAAUGAGUGGUGAACUAGUUCGUAUCCUUAGUAACCCAUGUUUCGGUAUAGUUAGCCACGUGGUGGUAGUGACUUUAUGUAGGGGAGUGUGUCAGAAGUCGAUCAAUUACCACUAGGUGUGGUGUGAUUUAAUGGGUUUAAAUUUCGGGGACGAAAUUUCUUUAAGGGGGGUAGAAUGUAAUAUCCCGGAAUUUUAGAUACUAGCUUCUAUUUUUUUUUUUAACUUGGUUGACCUUUUGGGUUGACUUUUUAUUCUUUGGGUUUAUCAAGAAACUUCAUUCACGGAAGUUGUAGAGCAUAACGAUACGAGUUCGUAGACACACGGCAUGCGUAAAACGGAUGUCGUAUAAGAAAGUUAUGGUCAGAGAAAGUUAGGCUCCGUUGUGGAAAAAGUAUAAAUAGAAAAAGUUGUGAGUGUUAUUUUAGAAAACCCUAAUUUUCAGAAAAACCCAACUCUCUCUCUCUCUCUCUCUUCUCUCCCAACCAUCCCGUGCGCCUUCUCUUCUCUGGCUCAGUCCUCCCACUUCCGGCCACCGUUUUGACUGCCGUCGGUCUCCUUUGGAUUGCACAGCCACUCUCUUUCCACUUGUGGUGGUGCGACGCCAUGCUUGGAGCAGGAGGAGGAGCGCUGGGCUGUUGAAACGCCGGUCUACGUCGCCGGAUUUUCUUCUUCCGACGGUGAAAUCAAUGGAGGCUUAGUAAGUCUUGCUCUCCUCUUUUGUCUAGAGAUGAUUUUGCCUCUUUGGUGACCUAAAUAUAGAAGUUGGGUGCCGGUUUUAACAGAUUUGAAGUUUGGAUUUUAGGGUGGUGCUCGAAGCGCUUUCCGGCUGUUUCCGGCUGAACGGGUUGAACCUUCAGGUAUAAAAGAUGCUCCCUUCUCCUCAAUUUUCAAGGUUGAUGUUUUGAGUUUGCCUAAAUUCGGAAGUUUUGGGGUGGCGCGUGGGGCCCACUCGCCGUCGCCUAUGGUGGUUCAUGGCGGCGCGUCUUGUAGUAUUUGUGGUGUUUUGUGGUGCUGGUUAGGUAGUACUCUUCAAUACGAAUAUGUUGAUAUGUGGAAAUUCUAGGUUUGGUGUAAGGUUUGCAUGUUAGGACUUUAAGUUUAAGCUUAAGCUUGUGUGAGGUUUGAGUUUAGGUUUUGAAGAUUGGAGGCAGCCUUAUUUAGUCGUUAAGUUCGACGACUUUGGAAGGUUGUCCUCUUUUGGGCUAAGGUUGGUUUGAGGGUGUUUUGUUAUCCUUUAAUCUGAAGGUGCUAAGGCUAUCAAUUUUGUUAAUUAGGUAGCUUGUGGAUUUGAUUUGAGCUUGGCUCUUGAGUUUAUUGUGAAGACACAGCGGAAAUAUUUAGGUGAGUAAUAUCUCACCAAAGUUCACUUGGAACCAAUUAUUUAUGGAAUUAUGAUGAUGAUGAUGAUUAUUAUUAUAAUGAUAUUGUGAUGAUGAUUAUGAUAAUUAUUGUGUUGUUGAUAAUGAUUAUUAUGAUGAUGAUGGUGAUGAUGAUUAAAUAAUUAUGCUAAUUAUUGUGUUGUUGAUAAUGAUUAUUAUAAUGAUGAUGGUGAUGAUGAUAAAAAUCAUAAAAUGAUGAUGAAUUACGAUGAUGAUUUUUGUUGAUGAUUUUGAUAUUUUUAAUUUAAAAUUUUAAUUUUGGUUGUUUUAAAAUAUAUGAGGUUGAUCGUCAACGGCUCAUAGGUAAGAUAAAACAAGUUUUCCUAUUAUGUGAUUAUUUUUAAGGUUCAUUGAAAUUAUAAUAUCUUUGGCUCUUGUUAGGUUAUUCUUUUGGGAAUAACUGUGUCUUGUGCAUAUAAAUAUAUCUAUGUGGUAAGAUAUAAUUUGAUGAUGUGCUAUUGGGUCGUUGAUGUUGAUUUUAUUAUAUUGUGCUUUGUGGUUUAGAUAGUCAAACCGGGUUUCAAGCCUUUAAUCGGGUGAUUGGUUACGGUUAUGAUGAUUCUACUCUAUUGUGAUAUGUUGUUUAAAUAAUCAAACCGGGUUCUAAGCCUUUAAUCGGGUGAUUGGUUACGGUUAUGAUGCUAUUAUUAUUUUUGAAUUGAUAUUGGACAGUCAAACUGGGUUCCAAGCCUUUGGCCGGGUGAUUGAUUACGGUUAGGAAUAGAGCUCUAGUCCGUCUGUCGGUGUAGGUCAUGGGAUAUACCUUAUGGUAUCUAGGACCCAUGGGUACACAAAUUUUUGUUGUAGGUCAUGAGAGGUAUUUAUUAAUAUCUGGAACUCAUGGGUACAUGUUAUUUGUAAAAGUGUUGAAAAUGUGGGUUUAACUUUGUUCUUAAUUGUUGUCAUUUAACUUGUUUUGAAUAUCUCCUGAACUAUGCUUCAUGCAGGAGAUUUCAUGCAGGAGAUUCCUCAAUUCUUAUUUGUGUGAUUUUUAGUGGAAUUCCUGAACUAUCAUUAAUUGCAGGAUUCUCUUAUGAUUGAGUGUUUUGUGAAUUGUUAUGUUUUCUUAAUUUCUCUCUUUGAAUUUUUAUUGUUGAGGCAAUUCCUGAACUAAGUUCUAAGCAGAAAUUUCCGGUUUUAUUUUGUGUGAUGUUGGGUAGAGAUAUAUUUUGAGAGUUACUCAUACGGGCUUCUUAGCUUACCGGGUUUGUUGUUUGCAACCCGGUGCACCAAUUCAUGAUGUAGGGGUUAGACCUGCAGGUGAUGAUCAGCAGGGUUGAAGCGGUGGCUUAGGAGCUGGGUUUUAGACAAUGUACAAUUAUUUGUAUAUUUUGUUAAUUUGUCUUUAAGGUCAUGUGAGCGACGUUAUUAUAACUAGACUUUUGAAGUUGAUGUAAUUAAGGAGAUAUAAUGUUUAACUCAGUUGUUGAGUUUGUUGACAUUUAAAUUUCUAUUAUUUGUUUUUACUUUGAUAGUUGUUGAGCAGGUUUUGGGAUGUUAAGAUUUUAAGAUAUAUCAUGCCCAAAUUUUUGAAAAUUUAUCCUUCGAAAAUUGGGGCGUGACAAAACAUUUGCAGCAAAAGUGCUUAUUGACAUCAUUUUGUGUGUUAAUGAAUAGAUACAAGGAGAGCAUCCCAGAAGAAUCAUGGGAGUUGAUAAACAGCACUUGUUUUCGAGGAAUAAUUGAAGCAUUCAGAUUGGGCAAGGUUGAGGAGGAUCAAGUGAAGAAGCUUGAAUCUGAUUUUGAGAUCCUAAUGAGGCACUACAACAGUGACAAUAAAAACUUCAUAUAUGGGAACAGGGAGAUUAAAAUUACGGAGCAUGAUGUUCAUUCAAUUUUUGGAAUAACCAAAGAAGGCUCGGAUGUGGAUAUCACAAUAGACCAGAAAUACUGCAAGGGUAGUAAGAAGAAUUUGGCAAAUUCUGCUGUCUUUGGAAAUCAAACAAGAAGAACAAUCACCAGAAAGGUUAUUGAUGACACAUUAAUGGAAGAGCUUAAGAAGAUUAAGAAGAAGAAGGGGGAUCCAAGGAAGAUAGCCUAUUUGGUUAUAAUGUACCUUAUGACAGCUUUAUUUUUCAGCAGAAGAGGGAACCACAUUGAAUAGAAACUGAUACUCAAGUGUAAAGACCUUGAAGGCAUCGACAAAUACAACUGGUCACAUAUGGUAUUAGAAUUCUUGCACCAAGGACUUCACAAGCACUUAAGGGGAGAGCCAAGAGUUUUGAACGGAUGCCUCCUUUUGGUUCUAUACUGGUUCCUUGAGAAAACAAAAAUAAAGAAGCGGAUUAUCGGGAAAGAGAAAGAGACUCCCAGAUUUAUAAGAUGGUCAAUACAAGAGAUCAUCAAAGAAAAUGAGUAUUUGAGAAGACCUAAAUUGCUAGAGGUAAUGGUAUUUUAUUUAUAUAGCCAUUUAAAAAAAAUUAAAUAUUGCAUUGUAUUUUUUGUUUUUUGAAAAACUAAAGUAAACUGAUUUGUGUCAUAUAAAUGUAAAAACAGGAACUCAAUAAUAGAAGGUCCAUGGAUGGAUGAGGAGGAAAUGAGUUCCGGCAAUGAUGAGCAGCAGCAAGAUGACAAUAGAACACCAAGCAUAAUUGAUUGGGUAAGUUUGAAUGGUUACUAACACCCAGUAAAACUAUUGGCAAUUGAAAUUGAACUUCAAUUGCAAGUUUACUGACCCUUAUUAGAAGUUUACUAGGGGGCAGUAAACUUAUACUGGGUUUACUAGGGAGCAAUAAAGUUGUUUAUUAGGGUAUAUUAAGUGUGUAAUUGUCAUGAAAUAGAAAGGGAGAUAAUGUAUUGUUGUUUACUGACCCCCAGUAAAGUUGUUUAUUUGUAUAUAAUUGUUUAACAGUAACGAUUUCGUUGUUAUAACGUGUACAUGAGCUGCCGAUGGAAGAUAUGAAGAAGAAGCUGACAGAACUUGCCAAAGCAAAUGAAGAACUAGUGAACAAAAACACUGAAUUGCUCGGCAAGUUAAAGAAAGCGGACAGGCAAAUCAUUGAGCUAGAGAAAGAAAGGAGGGCACACAAAAAUGAAAUCAAUGAUCUCAAGAAACAGUUGCACAAGGGGGCAAAACAUGCUCAGACAAAGCAGAUAAUAUGUGUAACUGAGGAGAAGGAGGAGGAGGAGGAUAGGUCAAAGCCGGUUGAAGAGGAAGAAUAUAAGUGCAGAGAGGGGUAACCAGGAACUGAAGAGGUAAGAGUAGAAAUCUGUUUACUGACCCCCAAUAAAUAUUGUGUUUUCUUCAUUUUUUUGAGGAUAACUUGUGUGUUUUCUUUUGUGUAGUUUUUUGAACAAGUAGCAUAACCAAUUCCGUUGCGAAAGAUAUUUCCAGAAGACGAUGAACCUGUGACGACCGAUGUCAACCUGUCUAAACUAGACAAACUUGUUGAUCAAGCUGUGGAAAUGGCCGGAAAAAAAUUGAAUGAAGAAACCAGCUUGAAGAAUAAAGAACAGCAAGCAGGAGGCCUCAAGAAACAUGUCAAGCAGAAGGGCUCAAAACAAACUGUGGAGACUGGUUCGAUUGAAAGAGACGUCAACUUGAAGAAGCGUGGGGCACAAAAGAGGAUAGAAGAAGAAUGGGUGUAUAACACCCCCGAAGGGCUAAAGCCAGCAAAAAGAACAAAGGAGGUGGAGCAUAAAGUCCAAAAUCGUAUUGUUAUUGAUGGAGUGAACUGCAACACUGAUACAUGGAAGCUCUUGGAUGAAAAGGUGGCGAAUCACUAUAAUGUUAUAUAUAUAUAUAUAUAACAUUACAAUUAUUUCCCUGGUUUGACUUGCUUAUGACUUAUUCUUGUCUGCACAGUUUCCGGUAUUGAGAGUGUUGUGAUGGUAUCAUUGACAUUACCAAAGAUGACUUGAAGAGAAUAAUUCAAGAAGGAGAGAUUACAUCUAAUGCGAGAAAAAAUUACUGAUCUUACUAACCGUAAUAAAGUUGAUGUUUGAGUAACCUAAGAUGUAUUCUUUGUUGUAAUUAUUUGUGACUUAUAUAUGUUGUACAUGCAGACCAUCAGGGUGUACCUUGCAAUGUUGAAGGAGGAAAUGGAAAAGAAGAAGGUCUCGGUCGGAUUCCUAGACAUAGAGGCAGCGGUAAGUAGUUUAACCUGAAAUAGCAGCGUGCCGCAGCACCGCGGUCUCCUCGGUUACUUUUUUUCAGUUAACACAAUCUUACUACUUGCUUUUAUAAAUACAGCGCACGGCGGUGGUACAUGAAAAAAAACUGAAGGAGUUCCUAGCUGGAGGAGGAAAACAGGGGGAAUUCAAAUGUAAUGAAUUGGAUAUAAAGCUUUCCAUUAUUAAUCCUCUGUAGUCCAUUUUCAGUAAGGACCUGGUUUUCAUUCCGAUACAUCAUGGGGUCAGCCACCACUAUACCUUGAUCCUGAUUGACAAUGAAGCUCGAUGCUUCUAUCACCUGAACUCAAUGCUACCGCCAAGGAAAGAUCACUCUGCUGACUCCAGCAACCACUUUCAAAAUGCAAUGGUAGUGGUGAGUUGUAACUGAUUUAUUAGGGUAAGAAGUUUACUGGGGGGUAGUAAACUUCUUACCCUGUUUUUUGUUUGUUGCUUAUUCUCUUAGUUUGUUUGAGUUGUAAUUUACUUGUGUGUUAGAACCAACAGGUGAAGCACAUUGUGGUGUUCAUCAAAUGUGUAUAUGAUUCCACCAAAUACCCUCUCAGCCAAGGCUUGGACCCUGAGGAAUGGAGGGAAAACUAUGACAAGCAGGACAGCCAAGGAAUAGUGGUUAACGGUUACUCGAUGAUGAGUGCUGAAGAGAAAAGAACAAGAAGAUGGAUGCUGGACCAAAACGUUUAUCAAGCAAGAUACAAGCUGAAGGAUAUCUUAUCCUGCCUGCAGCAAAAGAAAACAUCGUAAGUACCUUUAAACUUCCUUUAAAGAGUUUAAUUGGGGUCAGAAAUUACUUGUUUGUUUUAUUGGGGUGAAAAAUUUAGUAACACUGUUUCUUAAUACAUUGCAGGUCAGACUGUGGACCAUUUUUGCUCCACUUUAUAAAGAGCCUAUGUCAUAAGGAAAAACCGACAAAAGAUGGUGGUAAUGAAAUGAGGAAAAAGAUCCUGCUAAAGUUUAUGGACAUCAAUAUAACAAAAAGAUUAGUGUCACUUUAGAUGUAGGAUCUUCAAAAUGUGAAAAUAUGUAGUAUUUUGGUAGUGUUGCAAGAACAUAUGAAUGAUCUUGAAUUUCAGUAAAAGAACUUGUUCUUUUAGUAAUUUUGGUCUAUUCCUUUGAUCUUUCUGUCAGUUUCAUUUAUCUUUGGUUGUCAGUUUCUAGUUUUUUUUUUUGUUACAGGGUGGUUAUUAGGGGUCAGUAAACUUUGGUUGCUCUGUUCAGGAAAAUUACUGACCCCCAAUAAUAUUCCAUACUUGAGAGUUUACUACCCUAUUAUGUCAUUAGAGGAUGGUUGAAAGGAAUCUAAGUAAUAACAAUCAUCCAGAAACUUUGGUUGCUUUGGUCAGGAAAAUUACUGACCCCCAAUAAUUUUCCACACUUCGAACAUAUGAGCAUAACAAAAACUGGAAGCAAUCCAGAUAAAAGAAAAGACCUGAAAAAGAGUAAAACAAACAUCCAAGUAUCAAACUGGAAGAAAAUAAAGGAAGGCGGAUGUGUUGUAUCAAGAAAUACAGAAAAUUACUGAACCCCAAUAAUUUUCCAUACUUUAUAUAUAUAUGAGCGUAAUUUUCCAAUCAUUUUCCAUACUUGAGAGUUUAAUUACUACCCCAAUAAUAUUCUUCACCUUAUACUUCCGGUUAGGGCCCUAAUCCCGUUUGAGAGGAUAUGACAUUGUGAUUUCGUUUGUUGUUGGGGCGUUUCGAAUUCGCAUAUGUGAGAAAAUUUCGGCAGCAUCUCCCUACAGUUCCCCAAGUGCACAAAUAUCUAUACCUAGAAUGCACUCGAGGAAUAAUAAUUAAAGGAAGAUCUUGUCGAAAUAUAUAUACCCACAACCGAAAAUGAAACGCACCAACAACAAACGGAAUCUCAAUAUCAUAUGCUCCCAAACUGUCCAAAUAUGGGACAAUUCGAAAACCAUUUUGUUAGACACAGUCGUAACAUAAUGGUUCUCGAACGGGAUUUUUAAGGGUAACAAUAUAUAUUGAUGAAUGUAUAAGAAUAUUAUAAUUCUUAAUUACAUGAUUCAUUAUUUUAUUUUUAAUCAUAUGAUGAUAAUAAUACACAAAUCGAUUUGAAUGAAAACAAAAAUUUGAUAAACAUAUUAUUCACAUAAUCAUUAAUCAUACAUACAAAAGCUAAAGAUAUAUAUAUAUACAUCUUUAAAAAUUAUACACACAAAAGUUAGAUAUAUAUACAAACAUAAUACUAUAUAGUUUUCAUGCAUAUAUAAUAUUAUACGUACGUACAAACAUAUUAUACACACAUAUCCAGUAAUUAUAUUAAGCAUACAAGUAAGCAACAAUCCAUCAAAAUUGGACUGGCAAGUUGCCGAAAGUUCGCAGGAAAAUAUGCCUAAAAAAAGAAAGUAGAUAAAUUAAUUAAAGUAGUCACAUAUAUACCAAUUAGCUAAGAGAUCGAGAUCGAGGCGCGCAGCUCUUAAAAAUCAAUCAACUUCAUGAAGAAAAGCAUCCAAAACUAGAUUUGGAUCGGAUGAAUAUUCCGAUGAGGGGGAGGGGAGCUAGACCAUGCUUUUCUUCUGCGUUCUCUUUUGGGCGAAAGGUGUAUAAAUGGAUGAUGUGUAAAGUUAGCCGACGGAAUGUUCCGUUGCCUAAGAAAAAAGGCUUCAAAAUCUUAGGCGACGGAACAGUUCGUCACCUAAGAAAAGAAUAUUCGUCUCCCAAGUCGAUCUUAACUGAUGGAAACGUCUUCGUCGCCCAAGAAAUUUUCGGACGACGGAACAUUAUUCGUCGCCCUACAAAACGUUAGACGACGGACUAUUUCGACAAUCCAUUUCCGUCGCUUAAGAAGAUCUACGCCAACGAAAUCAUAUUGACGGAAGGUAUUCGUCGCCUAGGUUUACUACGCCGACGGAACCUGGACGACGAAUGGUGUUUCGUCAUUUACGAAAACCCUAGAAGUCGACGGAAGAUGUGUACGGUUAUUUUCCAUCGCCUAAGAUAUCUGAGACGACGGAUGUCGUGUCCUAGACGACGACGUUCCUCUUCCGUCGGUGAGGAGUCACUUAGCCGACGAAAUUAAUAAAAUUCUGUCGGCUAAGUUGAUAUUUCCUGUAGUGAGAUCUAUUAUUGAAAAGCUUAUGUUCUAAGUUGCCUUCUAGUUACUGACUUACUGUUAAUCUAAUUUGCUAUUAACAAUACAUUAUUAAUAACCAUUUUAGUUUGAGUAGCAAGUAUAAUAGAAUCCCUGUUGGAUUAUAAGCCACUACCAGGACAAACACUUUAGCCGACGAAAAAGUUUCAUCAGCCUGUUAGCUUAAUUCGUCGGCUAAGAUCUUGGCUGACGAGCCUUCAUCGGCUAAGAUUUUGUCGGGAAAAGGUCGUCGGUGAUGACUUUAGCCGACGAAACAAGAAGACGUCGUCGGGUAUAGUCCCCAAGUUUAGCUGACGAAAAACAUGUCGUCGGUUUUUUUCCCAGACUUUAGCCGACGAAACAUUUAAGUUAUUCGUCGGCUAAAGUAUGUAAUAAAAAAUUAAAAAAAUAACUAAAGCCGACGAAAUAUGGCGUAUUUCAUCGGCUAUAGAAGGGUUUAGCCGACGAAACAUUCCAUAAUUCGUCGGCUAAACCCUUUCAAAAAAAAUUAAAAAACUAUAGCCGACGAAUUAUGGCGUAUUUUAUCGGCUAUAAGUCCAUUCCAGUAACAAAAAAAAACUCGAAAUUUCUAAAUUACCAUUCCAAGCAAGCUGCAAAAUACACCAAAAGAAUUCCAUAUAACCAACAACAAGCACAUAAAACUAUAUAAUUCAUCAACUACACAAAAUCUAGAUCGUCUAAAUUAAUAUCCUCUUUUGGGGGCUGCUGCGGCUGGGGUAGCUGUAUAGUCGGAGGCAUGGGCGGAGCCGAAAGUCCCUGAAGCUGAGCAGCUGUAAACUCUUGCAUGUACUGGAACAUCUGCUGCUGCUGGGUCUGAUGGUUGGCAUAUAUCUUGGCAGCAUAGGCUGCCUGCGCAGCAUUAUAGGCUGCCUGAGCAGCUUGCUGUUCCCGUAGUCUCUGAACUUCCGACUCUAGCUGAGUCGUCCUGGUGGUCGUGGUCGUGGUCCUGCUGCUGGUCGAGGCUGCCUUUCGUUGAAAUCCUAGAGUGGUCUUCAAGACCCCCUCGCCCUUCUUUCCUAGACCCCGGCAGUAAAAGUUGUUUGCUCGCGGUGGGAAGGCUGUGCUCAUGAUCCUCGCCCCAACUGUCAGAUCGGAAGUGUCGAUCCGGGACAUGGCUUCGAACAUCUCUUCCUCCUGCGUGUCCGGCCAUGUCUCCCUCACUAUAGCACUCAUCACCUCGUCACUAGCCUCCUUCACCUUCGCCUAAUUUGAUAGGAAAAAAAUUAUUAAUUAACAUUUUGACAUAUAUAUAAGUAAAAUUAAAAAUUUAAAAACGUAAGAUGACUUACAAUAUCCUCCUUCUCGUACGUAUAGACGUACCGGUUGACUUCUGGAUGUUCCCUGACCGCCUCGUCCAUGAAGACAGCGAAUGGUCUAGAACCGACACGAUGGUUCCUUGUGUUGUGAUGCUGGUUCUGAGCGUUCGCCCAGGAAACGGCCUUCAAAGAAAAAAAUAAACUAUUAGUAAAAUAUUUAGAAACGCACGUACUUAAUGACAAAUUAACUAAUUAAUUUUUUUAAAUACCUGUUUAUGAGGGUUGUUGAAUUCUGAUGUCAGAAGCCAACGCCACUCGUACUCCCUGUACUGGAACUCAGCAGGGGUACCAGAACGUGCAUUCCCGCGCGUAGUCCAGUGGGUCCGCAACUCGUUCUUUCACUCCUUGUACCUACAGAUACAACAAAAAUAUUAGAAAUAUUAUUAAUAUCACAUACAAUUUUGUUUUUUCAUUAACUUGCCAACGUACCUUCCCCUAUGCACAACGUCCGCCCAGCUGCUCUUCAGGUGCUCAGGAACCUCAAACCAUACCUGCAUUUAACCGUUUACUAGUUUAGUUUUUCGAGAAAUCAACAAUGUAAUACAUAAUAUUAUUGAGGCAUUUUGUAAACUCACCGACAUCGCGUUAUGGACCAUGUCCUUAACCUUAUGCGGGACCUCGCCCCAGUCUGACCACAACAUAGGGACUCUAUCCCUAAUGAGCGCUCCCACACGGCCGAAGUAUGUCCUCGACUUCCCGCCCGAUACUAUGUCGCCAUCCCCGUCAGUACGGAUGACGAUCCUCCCUGAGGUACUGACGAUCUCCUCGAGAGCCUUCCCUGUGACGGGGCCUCUCUUCUUCUUUGCCGGCUUCGCUCCGACGGUGCCUAUCACAUGAUAAACCAAAUUGAUUAUUAAUUAUAAGAAAACAAAUCAUUCAUCUUUCAUUACCUGAGGGCGAUGCGGCGGACGCAACGGAUUCCGUCUCUGUCGCCGAUGAUGAUACCCUCGCAAAAAUAAGAGGCGUAUCAAAAGGCACGAACCGGUACGUCGCUGAUGGAGCCACUAGCGGGGGCAGUGGAUAAAUCGGCGUCCUUGAGCCAUCGACUGCAGGUAAGGCCGGUAUCAUUUGCGGAAGGAACAGAUGAGGCGGCGGCAUCUGUACCCCAGAUGACCCACUAUCCGAAGAAGUAGGACCCGGAGUGGGCGCCCGGUGUAUCUCAGGCAUACGGGGUGCAGACACCUCCGUCUGGGUCUGAGGCCAUAGCUGCCUCGAGAAAUGAGGGACGCCUCGCUGCCUCGAUGAAGGGGCAUCUCCGACUGCCUCUGCGCUGUCUCUAAAAAGGUCGCACGUCUGGCUGUCAUGGGACCCUAAAACGACGUUUGAGGGUUGCUAGAGGUUCCCUCAGACGAUUCGGACCUUUGGCCCUUCAAACUCUUCGUCGAUCUAAAAUAACGGCUCAUCCUGUUUAAAAUAUUAAUUUGAAUCAAGGCUGAGGCAUGGGCGGAUACACUCAUUCAAUGUUGCUCGUUAAUUCAAUCUUAUCCUUCUCAAAUCUAAGGCUCUAGAUUAUUUUGUCUUUAUUCUAUAAAAAAUAUUUUUGAAACCAUUUUUUUUCAUUAUGUUCAUGCUUAAAUUUAAACACUUAAUAUAAUGUGAAAUAUAUAUAUAUAUUUUGGAAAUUAUACUUGUUUAAAAAUAUGAAUUCAAUUAAAUAUAUAUAUAUAUAUUCAUCCGGAUUUGAUAUAGGUUUUUCGAUUUUGUAUUUUGUAUCUUAUGUUUAAAAAUUCGUACCUAGCCCACGAUGAAUGCAGUACCUAGUCAUGGAAUAUACAAGUGCACAGUGCAAGCUUCAAGUGUAUUAUCAACAAAGCGACCAAUUUGGGUGACUAUCAAAUUGAAUAUGGUUCAUUUGCAACCAAUCAUUCAACUGUAAAUAUGGAUAAUUAUGCAAUAAACAUAAAUACGGAGAGAAAUAUUGAAUUACGUACCCAGCCGCCAAAAUAGUUUGCGAACUCCCUGUUAUGGUACUCGAUAUCACCUUGAAUGCUUGGACAAUAUUAAUGGAUGUCUUUCCAGUAUUCAACUUCUGGACAGUUAAUCAAUACCCACCAGUGGGCAAUGACUAGCUCAUGUGGUUGCAACUUGUAGGAGUCUGGUAAAAUUCCAUAAACUUCAACAUCACUGGAGAGUAUGGAAAGAUUAAAUGUCGGUACAUCUACUGGUAUGGUUUGCGGAGUUUCCUUCAACGCUCCUAAAUACAACUUCAUGUAGGUGACGCACUCGUGCGCAAUAUAUGCUUCAGCUAUACAUCCUUCAGGCGCAGAUUUAUUAGCCACAUAACCUUUGUAGUCUCCAAGUUGCCUAUAAAUCAAGUUGCAAAGUGUUAUGAUUAUUGAACAUGUAUAUAUAUUGAGGAAUUCAGGUGUAAAAAACGUACCUUUCCAUGGGAUACAUCCAAGUGUAGUGUACUGGACCGGUAAGCAACAAUUGCUCGGGAAGAUGAAUAAUCAGGUGAGGCAUGAUGUCAAAAAAAUUUGGAGGAAAUAUCCUCUCAAAUUUACACAUGAUAUAAAUGAUGUCCUCUUGCAUUUCCCGGAGGUUAGAUUUUUUCACUUCCCGUGUGCAUAACUUUUGGAAGAAUCUUGCCAACGCUACUAACGACUCCACCACCAGACGGGGAAGGAACGGUCGAAUGAAAACAGGAAAGAGACGUUGUAGCAGGAUAUGACAUUUAUGACUCUUCAACCCGUACAUCUUAUUGUCUCGGAAGUUCACACACCGGGCUAUAUUUCUUGCAUAGCAUGAAGCAUACUUCACACAACUCAUCCACCUGAAAAUUACGUUCUUCUGGUCAGGCUUCACGGUGUAAGGAGCUUGAGGCAUUUUUUUCUUCCCUUCUUUCAACCACAGAUGUCUUCUUAAUUGCUAUUUUUUUUUUAGAUUAAUGCGUGCCUUAGGACCGUCUUUCGUCUUCCCCUCCAAGUUUAGCACUGUGCCCACCACACCGUCGUAAACAUUCUUUUCUAUAUGCAUCACAUCUAGGUAGUGCCUGAUCAACAACUUACUCCAGUAUGAGAGUUCCCAGAAUAUGCUCUUAUGUGUCCAGAAUUUGUACAUGUCGGGUCUUUCAAGUAUUGCCGCCACAAUAUUGGGAUGAUUGUUAAGCUGCCCAAAAUCGUACUCAUUAAGCACUGCUAAAAUUUCUUCCCCCGUCCAUCUUCUGGAAGGCAUACCAUUUUCUACGGUCCCAUCAAAUGCUUGUGCAUCGAACCGCUAUCCAUGAUCAUAUGGAAGGAGAGUACGGUGACCCAAUUUGCUUAUCUUGUUGCAAUGACUGCUGCUCCCUUCAUCGCUAAGGCAUUAUAGACAAGCCUUAUAUCCCCUAACAACGUUGCCCGACAAGAUCCCACGGGCAGGAAAAUCACUGAUGGUACCAACAACCAUGACAUGCAUCUAGAACAUCUUGUGCAUGUACUUGUCAUAAGUGGGAUGACCAACGUCCCACAAGAACUUAAGCUCUUCAAUCAAAGGUCACAAAUACACAUCAAGACACUUCCCUGGAUAAUUGGGCCCCGGAAUCAACAAACUCAACAUAUUGUAUUCCUUCUUCAUGCACAUCCAUGGAGGAAGGUUGUACGGUACCAAAAUCACCGGUCAUACACUGUAUUGAAGACUCAUGUUGCCAAAAGGGUUGAACCCGUCGGAUGAGAGCCCUAGCCUCACAUUUCGAACCUCUGACGCAAAAUGAGGAAAUUCCUUGUCCAUAUGCUUCCAAGCCUCACGGUCAGCAGGGUGUAUAAGGGUAUAUUCGUCAUGCAAUUCCCUAUCAGCGUGCCAUCUCAUAGCUUUGGCCGUGUGUGAAGACAUGUACAACCGCUCCAGCCUAUCCCUCAACGGGAAAUACCGAAGUACCUUCACAAGUUUCCUAUUGCCUACAUGAGUCAGCUUAUACCUGUCAGUGUGACAUACCGGACAUGCGUCAUGGCCACCAAGGUCAUUCCCUUCUGAAUCUUUACCCCAGAAGAGAACGCAGUCAUAUCUGCAUGCAUGGAUCUGGAUGUAGGAAAGCCCAAGAUCUUUCAAGAUACAUCGGACCUUAUGAUGAGUGGUAGGAAGACGAUGACCGUGAGACAGCAUCGAAGCAGUGUACUGUAGAUAAUCAUCAACAGCCUUUACGGUCGAUUUUGUCUCAACUUUAAUCUUUAUUACUGUUGACAACCCUAGGGAAGGGCUGCAUCGGGUUAGACAUAUACUGUCCUUGAGCGCAUACACCGCUCUCAUAAGGAAACAUGUCGUUGAUGAAGGCCGUUGUUGGAUCGUUGGAUGUACUGCCCGUCUCAGAAAAUUGGCCAUGAUCAUGCGGACCCCCUGAUGAUGUUUUACCGUGAUAUAACCAACAUGUGUAUUUCUCACAAAUCGAUGCAUAUCGCUGCGACACUGACAUUUCAUGCACGGGCAAUAGAAAAUUGUAUUCCCGUUAGCAUUAGCCAGCGUAUAUUCUAAAAAACUCAUAACUCCUUUACUAUAUCUUUUGUCCUAUUUUGGAAGCGAAAUCCAACUCUUAUCCAUAUCUUGAAAAUAUAACAAAAUAUAUAUGUAUAACGCUAGCUAAUUAUUAAUUAAAUUUGAUGUCAUAUAUAAAAUCUCAAUUCAUUUAGUAUAUAUUCUACGUACUACAACUAAUUGAUAACAAAUUAAUUAACACACACAUAUAUGUAUAUAUACUUAAUAAUUACAUAACAAUAUUAUAUAUAUCAACAUCAUCACAAAAUCAUCAUCAACAACUUCAUACCAUCAACACAAUAUUAUAAAUUAAUUAACAUAUAUAUAUAUAUAUCUACGUACUACUUAUUAACAACAACAUCAUAUAUAUUAUCAAAUCAUCAACCAAAUCGAUCAAAACAUAUAUAUAUACAUCCAACAUACUCAAAAUCGAUUAACUCAUAACAAUAUUAUAUAUCAACAUCAUCACAAAAUCAUCAUCAACUCAUAUCAUCAACAACUUCAUACCAUCAACACAAUAUUAUAAAUUAAUUAACAUAUAUAUAUCUACUACUUAUUAACAAAAACUUCAUAUAUAUUAUCAAAUCAUCAACCAAAUUGAUCAACAUAUAUAUAUAUAUAUAUACAUCCAACGUACUCAAAAUCUAUCAAUUCAAUUACACUCAAAAUCGAUCAACUCAAAUGAAACUCAAAAUCAACAUAUAUACACAUGUACGUACCUAUAUAUAGCUCCACAAACUAAUUAUGGACAGAUUUCGACAACACCCAAACUUUUUUCCCGUUUUUUCUUCUCCCAUUUUUUUUCCCAGAUGAGCUGCUGUCCAGAUUUGCAAAUAUAAAGCACUUUAGCAGACGACAUUUUAAUUUCGUCGGCUAAAGAAUUUUAAAGUCGUUGGCUAAAGUUCACAAACUAUAGCCAACGAAAAAAAUUCUUUCGCAUUAGCCGACGAAAAAAUGGUUCGUCGGCCUUUUUUUUUAUUUUCGUCAGCUAAAGUGUUUCUUCUGGUAGUGAGCGUUCGUCUAUUACAUAUUCCAGAGAAAAUAAAACCUGCAGCAAAGCCCGCAGCAAAGCGAGGGUACAAAAACUAGUAUAUAUUAUUAAAGGAAUCGAGGCUGAUUAGGAAACUUUGAUAAGGGUUCACACAACACAAACUUGGCGCAAUGCUACAAACCUCCCUCAGAAUUAAAACAAAAACUAGUAUAUAUUAUUAAAGGAGUCGAGGCUGAUUAGGAAACUUUGAUAAGGGUUCACACAACACAAACUUGCGCAAUGCUACAAACAUCCCUCGGAAUUAAAACACUGGAGUAGUCUAAAGUCACCUGAACUUGCGAUCAAACAGUUCACCGUUUGGAGCAUCUCAUCAGCUUACACCUGAACACCAUAUCAACGAGUAACACGACUCACACCCUGCUCAACACUCGGAGCAAUGAGUCGAUCAACAACGUACCAUCCUGGACACUCGGAUCAAAGAGUCGCAGAUAUUGUUAGUUCUGCUAUUUCUCCCAGAUAUUGGACGACUAUGUUGUUUUGGAUUGUAAAAGGUGCAUGAGUGAGCCGAUCAGUCACUUUUGUCGAUUAGGUUUUCGAUUGCGUUGGAACUCAGAAGUAUGAAGUCCUUUCUUAAGGCAACCUAUGGACUUCGCCUGAAGUUGAUACCACUCUAGGUACACAAUCGCUAGGAGAAGAUGUAAAGGAUGUCAAGAGCGGCCAAAAGAGCGAGACAACUGCAUGUCAAAAAAUUUCUUUAUAAAAGUCAGUAAUCUACCAAUCUUCAAUUCUUCCUCGCUUAUAUAUGUAUGUUACAAAUAUCAAUCAUCUCUAUGCAAGGAGUAAAAUAUUGACGAUCAUGGAAAUUUCGAUGGUUCGAAAAAAAGAAAUCUCAAUGGAUAUAUCAAGAUAAUAUCGAACAUCAAUAGAAAUUUUACCAAAUUUUAUCUAAAAGUUGUAUAUUCGACCAAAAAUAGACUAAAUAUAAAAUAUAAAAAAGAUAUAAAAAUUAAUAUCGAUAAUUAUAAAAAUAAAAAUUUCGAAAAAAUAUCUUUAGAUAUUUUACUCCUCGUCUCUAUGUACGUAGUCUCUUGCAAGUUUUCUUCGGAUAACAUCAUUUGUUCUUAUGCUAUGAAGGUAGUACCAUCGGCCUGCCAAGCAUGCAUGCAAGCUCUUGUUGGGCCUUUGUGAAAGGUGGUAGAUACUGUCUGUCGCAGCAAAUUGGGCAUGUAUGAUUUAUAUUAGAUUUAAGACUUUUGUUUUCAAUUGUGGCGCUGAUCAUAUCUCUAAAUAGUAACAAAUUAACCUAGCUACCUUUCUUUCUUUCUUAAUAUCCUCAACACAGUUAUAUAUGUACAUUGCCAGGCCAUUAGCAUACUAAAUUUAAGAAUCUAGCAAAUGAUUGUAUUACUUAUUCAAUGCCAAACCAAUUUAUCCAUAGAUGAGAUAGUAUUUUGGUUUUGUUAAGCCCUAGCUAGUAUUGAACCCAGCUGCACUGACCUACAUGCAUGCCCUAACUGAAUCAUAUAUGUGUGUCUCGAGGUUUUUGAAGAUCGAUUACAUCGUGUAUUGUAUGAAUUAGGCUUCUUCUCACUGAAGAUCGACGUAUAAACUCCUCAGCUGCAAAACCAUAUAUAUUACUCCAUCUACGUACGUAUUUGUGCAAUCUCUUAUUUAACCGAAAUACAAUAGAAACCUACUAGUAGCUAGUGCACAACCAGAUACAUACGAGAAACCAAAUAAAGAGGAAAAAAGAAAAAAGAAAAAGAAGUGCAACUACUAAUAUGCACCAGGAAGUCUUAAAGAAGUCAUACGUAGGAGAUGUUGACUAGAUCAUUGCUUGCCGAUUGUACCGUAUCUUCGACCCAAAAGUUUGUGAAGAAGUCAUGAUCCUCCAAACCAAUAAGACCAGAACACAUUGUUCUAUCAAUGCUCUCUGUACUGUCUUCUGCGAAAUCUUUCCACCAAUCAGUUACAUUUUCUAAUUGUAGAGUCUGUGGUGGUGCUGUUGGUAAAGAACUGGUAUAACUCAUUUCUGAAUGAUUAUGCUCUAUAUUUUCAUAUCUCUCCGUAAAAUUGAACCUUUUGAUGAAGGUUCGUGGUCGAGGUCUUACAAUUGUGGUGGCUUUUGUAUUUUCUUGAGAUUUAACUUUCAGUUGCUUUGCGUAUGAAGCCGUCUUUUGAUCCUUUUUCCUUUGAUAAGUAUUCCAAUAGUUCUUCACAUCAUUGGCAGUUCUUCCUGGCAAUCUUCCGGCAAUUAAAGACCACCUUAUGUCCAUAAAGAAAAGAAACACAUUAGAAACUUAACAGAUGCAAGGCAAUUUCUACAAUAUUAAAUGUAUGUCAUAUAGGGUCCGGUUCAAGGGACAUUAAGGGACAUUAAAUUUGACACAAAUUUUGACACUAAUUGUUAGCCAUUAGAUUUUAAAACAAUGAUUGGUCUAGAUCAAUCCUAAAUAUGAUGUCAACAUAUUACUAAUUGAUGUGCCAAGUGACGUGAUAUUACCUAAUUUAAUAACAAAUCAAAUUAAAAGAAAAGAAAGAAAAAUCACAUUUUAAAAUCUGGAAAACAAAAUCCAAUUUUUACGGAUUACAAGAAGAAGAACAAGAUCAUACAUUUGUCUUCUUUUGUUUUAAUUUAGCGUGCAUCAAACACAGUAGCAAAAUCCUCACUAUAUUAUAUAUUCCAAUAGUUCUUCACAUCACACGUGUAUAUAUAUUAUAUAUAAACAUCUGUCAGUCAGUUAUGAAAUUAUAAAAGAAUCUUUUUAGUUCAAAUAAUUUGUAAUUAAUUCAUGAUAAAUUUCGUUAAAAGGCUAUGUAGACAUUUUGAUGUUUAGUUCAUGGAUAGCUAGCUAGGCAAGCAUAAGCCGUAGCCAUCAGGCAAUAAUAAGCACCAAUACUUCAGCUAAAGGAGUUCCCUACACUGAAAGUAAGUGGGUAUGAUUGUAUGAAGGAAUGUACGCAUGAUAUGAAAGGAGGAUGCAUGGGCUAAUUAAAAGCGUAAAAGUAGCAGAAAUGACCACCACUCUAGAUAUUUAUUAUUCAAGGAAAACAUAUGUAAAUAUAUAUAUAUAUAUAUAUAUAUAUAUAUAGUUAGCUUUGGAAUUCCAGAAGAAAUAACGCAUGCUUUACCUGAGAGAACAGUAACUGAGAAAUUAAGCAGAAACGAACAUAUCAGAUGCUCUAAUUACCUGUUUCCUAGAAGCUUAUGAAGCCUGAUGAUCAAAUCAACUUCAUCCUCUGCAAACUCUCCUCUCUUGAUAUUCGGCUUCAAAUAAUUCAGCCAUCUCAGUCUACAGCUCUUCCUGCAUCUGUUUAAGCCUGCAAGUACAGACGUAAACAUACAUAUAAGCAGCAGUCUAAACUUUCCAGUGAGAGCAUGUACGUAAUCUUAGAUUAACUACCUGAUUUGAGAGGAACAUGAUGCCAUUUGCCUUCUCCAUGAAUUUCGAUGAACUGUUUCAGAAGUUCAUCUUCCUCUUUAGUCGAUGCACCUUUUCUCACACCGAAAUAACCCUCCAUGAAAAUUAAGCAGAUUUCACUGUAUGCUGAGUUGCUGACUAAGAACCGAAGCAAAUUAAUAUAUAGGGUUUCGAAAACAUGUACGUAUCCUAAGACCAUGCAACGUGCAUUUCUGCUAUCCACGAAUAGUGAAAUGUAGUUUGAAUUUACGGUCAUUAGUCAUUAAUUACUUUACGAAAGAGAAAAGAGGGACAAGAUGAUGAGCCUUCCACGGUUCUUUAAAGGUCUUGUCAAUCAAUUUGAGUUUGUUCUACUUUGAACACGUCUUCGAUCUGCAAGUGUAUUUCGAUUCGACAUACAUCAGUACACUAGCUAGUUCUAGUAGUUUUCGCAGACAAAAUUCAACUAAUUAAAGAACAAGGCUCAAGAACAAUUUCGAUCCAUUGCAUGUGGAAGUUAGCUUGUUGCUGUCGAGUCCCCACCCUAAAAGGCUCAAAUGCAAUGCAAGGAUAGUUCGAGACAAACUCUUGAUUUUCUGACUUAAUUACCGAAUAAUAGAAUGAACAUACAAAGAAGGCUCAUAAGUCUCACCAAUGGUUUUCUUUUCUUUUUUUUUCCAACUAUUGAAAAUUCUGACGAAAUUUUUCUGAGUUUUUCUAAUUUGAGUAUUGACGUUACCUAUAUUUGAGCAAUAGUCAAAUAUCGUAACUAUACGUAUUUUGGAAACUAUUAUUGAUCCUGGAAACUAAUAUUGAUCGAUUGAUACUGAAAUUAAAUUUUCACAAAUUUGAAGUACUAGUUUCCAUAAAACCGAAAUGUUUUUUUUUAAACCAUAAAACCGAAAUAUAAACCUUAAUUUGGUGAACCAAGUCUUAAACAAACUGUAAAAGCUUUGGGAUUUCGUUGGAUAAAAGAACUCUCAACUCAUAUGAAAACUUCAAAUGCAGAUUUUGACUAUGUACUUUAUUUUGUUAAACAAUUGUCCCCAAAUAUCAGUGUGAUUUGUCUCUUCGUCUGCUUCAAAAUAGCAUAUGGAUCUUAUAACGGAUUAUGUAACAGAGGUUUAUAACUUAAAUUUUAGGUUUUUCUGGUGAUCUUAAUUGUACCAUUUUUUUCUUUGUCAACAAACUAAAGAAAUAAGUAAUAAAUGUUUAUUGUUCACAAUUAAUAAAUUUUUAAGUCUAGGGGAAUUCAAAUUCAUACUUAAAUAAAUAAUUAUUAGUAUAUAAGUUUAUUGUUCACACUCAAAACUAAGUUUAUUAUUUAUAAAUAUGUUAUCUUCAUAUUAGAAAUGGAAAAAAAAUAUAUAUUUUAUAGUGGGCUGGGCCGUGGGCCUCAAAUUAUCGUGCUCGGGCUGGGCCCAUGGGCUCAUUUUUUUAGGCCCAGCCCGACCCAUUGGAAUAACGUGCUUGGGCUGGGCCAGGCCGUUAACGGACUUGGGCCAUGCCGAGCCGCUUUUAAACGUGCCGUGCUUGUGCUUAGCAGCCCGUUUGCCACCUCUAAUUCAAUAUAUGGAUGUAUCAACUUUUGAUUAUCCCUAUUAAGGUUAAUACAAUGGUUUGGAUGUGUCUCAGCAUAUUUUUGUUUGAAUGUAGUAUAUGCUUUUCAUUUGGUAAAUUAGUGGAAUUCAGCAUACAACAGGUUAAUGACAAUCCAACGUUGUCUGACUAUAUGAUCCUACAACUAAUCUCUUGCACUGCCACUUUGUAUGGGUAUUGAUCACACAAUGCCUAUUAGCAAAAACUAUGUCUACUAUUUACCAAUCAAACAACCAUGAAACUUAAAACCUCGUUGUAUGAAGUUAACCUCACACAAUAGUUUACAGGAAGAAAAUUAUUGUGUGAAUGUCGACAUAUGUUGUCGACUGCAAUGCGGAAUGAUCUCGACAUAUGUCGAUGAAAUCUGUUGAUAUUCACACAACAACUCUUGAAGGAAAACAAUUGUAUGAGUUGACAAUCACACAAGGGUUUUCACUGGAAAAGCUGUUAUGUGAUUCUCGGCAUAGAUCAUCGACAGCUGACGAGAAGCAACUUGACAUGUGUCGGCAUCUGUCGAUAAUAUCUCUACCAAGAAUCACGCAACAAUAUUCUAAAAAAAACUAUUAUGUGAUUCUCGGUAAAAUUCAUCAACAUAUGUCGACAACUGCCGAGAAACAGCUCGACAUGUGUCGGCAGCUACCGAUGAUAUCUGUAGAGAGUCACACAAUUGUUUUUAUUGUAGCAUUGUGUGUAAGUUGGUCAGACAAGCUCUUUUUCGUCGUUGUGUGACAUGUUGAUCAGACAGCGAUCAGAUUAAUAACGGUUUUGACCUCUAUUAGACGAUGCGUUUUCCCCGUCGUAUGAUGCAUUUCUGGCGUAGUGACGCCUCAGGCGCACCUUAAGGCCUAAAAGGUAAUUAAGAGGCGUAAGAGAAAAUGAAUGUGUUUUGCAACCAAGGUGCAGAGGCGUCCAAGGUGUUGAUGAAGGUGCCAAAGGCACAAAAAUGGGUAGUAAGGCGUGAAAAGCUAGCCAAUGCCUAGAAAUUUUUUGGUUUUUUUUNNNNNNNNNNNNNNNNNNNNGUAAGUAUAUAUAUAUAUAUAUAUAUAUAUAUAUAUAUAUAUAUAGAUGGAAGUGUAAAGAAGGUAGUUUAGUUAGAAUAGAACUCAUUCAAUUCACGUUGAAAGAUAUAUAUUUGACUAUUUGAGAGUUAUCCUAUAAGGAAACAAUCUAUUAAGGAAUAAAUAAGGAAUCAUUGAGUUAUUAUUCAUAUAGUGUAAGUUUUAAUGUAAUUAUGCAAUCAAUUUGCAUUUAAAAAAGUUAUGUUGCAAGGCUUACGCCUUAUUGACACGGCCGGUCCUAAAGAAAUCAAGGCCUAGUGCGAGAAAAAGAAAUGUGCCCCGUAUAUGAUUUUUUUAUUAAAAAAUACCAAUUUUCAAGGUUUCAUAUAUCAAUUUCAUAUAUACAUCAAUUUUAUAUAUCUCAUAUGCUUACUUUCAUAUAGAAAAAAAUAAAAAUUGAAGAUUCAAAGCAACCUUGUUCAACAUCCAAAAUGGCAGGAUCAAAAAAGAAGAAUUCGAAGAUGUGAAAUUCAUAGCAACCUUCCGUCCAGUCUUGAAAAAUUGGAUUAUGAGAGAGGAUAUGCGAAAUUGAUAGUGCGAAAUAGAGAGAUGAUGGAAAACUUCGGAGGAUUGUGAGCAAUUUAUAGAGAGCAAAUUGUAUAUGAGAUUGGGUUAUGGUCUUGUAGAGAGCAUCAAUCGUCAAUCGGCAACAGAUCUUUUUCAAAAAUCGAUGCAACGGGUAUAUGAAAUUAUGAAAUUGGGAGAAGAUGAAGGAAUUAGGAGAGAAAAAGAGAGUGAAUGGAAGACAUUUUCUCUAAAAAAAUCAAGAAUGACGCAAAGGAAUGGGGAGAUAAACUGAUAAGAAGCAAUAACUAGAUCAAAGUCUAAAAGAUUGAACGACAAAAAAAAAGUCCAAGACUUUAAUUGUGUUUUUGUUUUUUUUUCUUUCUAUUAUAUUAAAUAUAAUUAUACAUUAAAAUAUAUGAGAAAUUCUAUGUUACCUACCUGUAUGUGAUACCCAUAUUUAUAAAUGUGACAACAUAUUUGUAGUCAAAUUGGUAAUAUGUUAAAUCCUAUUGUUUGUAAUCUUGUUCUAAUAAUUGUAAUUACAAAAUGUACAACCAUAGCUGCCUAUUGGAAAAUAGCAUUUAGAAGACGGAAUUGUGUAGCCUAAGUAGCACUUAGGAGACGGAAAAAUAUUCCGUAGCCUAAGUGACACUUAAGAGACGGAAAAAUUUACUUAGGAGACGGAUUUAAAAAAUAAAAAAAUUAUGAUUUUCUUAGGCGAUGGAAUUGUGUUCUGUAGCCCAAAUAGUUCUUACAAGACGAAAUGUUUCACUUAGGAGAUGAAACAUUUUUAUAAAAAAAAAUGUAGCUAAAUUCUUUAAAAAAUAAAUUAAAAUAACCUAAACGACGAAAAUAUAACAUUCAGUCGCCUAGGUUCCCAAAUUUUAGGCGCUAACAUUUCCGCCAAAAAAUUGGACAAAAGUUUAAAUCAAUUUGUGGUUAUCAUACUGGAAGUCUUAACCGAGAACUUGAUCAAAGUUUGGGUCCAUGUGAUGUUACUGGGCAUACUCUUGAGAAAAGCCAAAAGCAUGGCCAAUUAAUUAUACAUUGGGUUGUUUUCAAUUAAGGUCUCUCUUUUCUUGUUGCUACUGUAUGUUUUCUCAUUCUCUCUUCUUUCUCAAAUAAUACUCUUCUCUCCCUUUGCCUCUCACGCCUCAGGUCCAUGUCCCUCUACCUCACCCUCUGCCGCUGUAACCGCCCACCACCAUCCCUGCAAUCGUUCCAAGUCCGGUGUCCCUAGCCCAGACCGGGGUUCUACCGUUUCCUCGAAAUCCCUAGCCCAGAACAGCGUCCCACCAUCUUUCCAAAUCAUGACCAACGUCGUCGACUUCUCCAAGGCCCAAACUGGCGUCGACGUCGCGCUGGGUUCCCGACACAGAUCCGGCCACAAAGAGUUUCAAACAGGUUCAAAUUUCGAUUGCUGGGUUUGGUUGGAAAUUGGGGUUUUUAUCUAAUUUGAUUUUGGUGUUUAUUGGUCAGAAUGAGCGAUCGGUAGCGACGGCGGUGGUGGUGGUGUUUGGGGCAGAUCGAGAUGGUUUUGGUGGUGGUUUGGGGCAGAUCGAGAUGAUUUUGGUGGUGAUAUUCUGGGCAAAUCGGUGUGGUGGUGGUGGUGGUUUUGGGGCAGAUCGAUAUGGUGGUGGCGAUGGUCGUGGUUUUGCGGCAGAUCGAUAUGGUGUGAUGGUGGUGGUGGUGGUGGUUUAUGGGUAGAUUGACAUGGUGGUGGUUUUGGGGCAUAUGGUAUGACGGUGGUGGUAUUUGGCUGCCGCAACGCAUAUGGAAGUUUUGGUGGCACGUGGUGGCUCUUUUGGGGUGAGAAGACCGAAAGAAAAAAAACAUAAACUAAUUAAUUAGAAAAGGAAUUAAUUAUAUAAAAUAGAAAAGCAAAUAAAAAGAAAAUAUAUUGUAAACUAAAAAGUAAAAUAUUAUUCACUAAUAAAAAUGAAAUAUUUAAUGAUUUUUUAAAAUAUUUUUAGUUCCGUCUCUUAAGAGUUUUGGAGACGGGAAUGAUUCCGUCUCCUAAGUACUUGGAAGACGGAAACCAUUCCGUCGCCUAAAAAGAUCUUAGUAGACGGAACCUAGGCUUCCGUCGUCUAAGUACUUACCUCACGACACUUAGCAGACGGAACUUAUAGUCGACGGACAUUCUGUCUCCUAUGUACUUAGGAGACAGAAUAUGUCACUUAGGAGACGAAAUGGUUCCGUCUCCUAAGGGCUAUUUUCUAGUAGAUGUUAUAAAUUUUUGAACAAAUUGUUCUCAAUGUUGUAAUUUGAUUCAUAUAAUUUGUAAUUUUAUUCAACUACAUAUAAAAUAAAGGUGAGAUAUAUAUCCCUGUACCAUAUAUAUAAUAGAUUGAAGAAAAAAAAAAUGGGCCCCCUUAUGAGUCUGGGGCUGGUGCAAGUGCACUGCUGGCAUUGGCCCAAGACCGGGUCUGCUUACUGAGGCUCUUUGUGGGGAUUGUCUCGGUUAUGCCUUAGUCUUUUAAAACAUUGAUACAUUUUCAGGAGUGACGUAGUAUAUAAUUUGCUGUUAUCGUGGUGACGCAAGUUUUCAUUUUGUGUAAUCAUAAAUAUACUAUAUAUCAGUAGCUCUAAAGAUCAGACGUCGACCACGAAGACUUAAUUCUUAGCAUGAGAUCUUUCUACCAUAUGAAAGAUUCCAUGUAUUAUUGCUUCAUGCUCCAAAUCUUUCCAGGGACUUGAUUGUUUGAUGGAAACACAACGUGGUCUGGUAUAUGCGAGACACCUAGCUAUAGCCUAGCAGAAAAUCAGCUAUACAGUACGCACAGCUUGCAGAAGAUCGCAAAAUAACGAAGUCUGACUCCAUAGAAAUUAGAAAAGAAUCGGACACUACAUGAAUAGAUUCACACAUGCUCCACCAACUACAACAACAAGUCCUGGAGAUCUACGUGCAUCUGUGGUAUCCACGCAAAGAGAAAAACUAAUCAGAGAACGGAAGCUAGCUAGCUAGGUGGCACGAAAUGGAACUUGAAAACAACAAUAAGUUGAAUCCAAUUUGAUGAUCAAAGAUACUGAAGUUAACCAAUGAAAGAGCAUGCUUAAAUUCAAUUCCAAGACUAGAAAAAGAGACAGAAAGAAAUGAAAGAGUUAAAAAUUUGGGUGAUAUAUACUUUGGGACCAAUGCAUUGAUCAUAGAUCUUUAGCAUGACCAAGCCCUACUGGAAUUCUUUCUCCUUCAAUACAUGAGGACAAACUCUUAUGCUUACUUAUCACCAAAAGGAAAAUUAAAUUAGAUUGAACCGGGUACGUAAAGAGAUAUCUUGAUGCUGGUUUGUCAAGUUUUGAGGUGUAUAAACAUGAUAGCUCGGCAUUUCGUACGUUAAAAGGCGAAGGUCAUCAUCCAAUCUCUUUUUCUUUUGCUGAUAGUUUACAUGCAUGCGCUGUUAGACUCUGCUGGAAUUGAUAGUUCUUGAUCGCCAUCGGCCAUCGCUGUUUGUGCUUAUAGCUCCAAUGAUCGAAUGAUAGAUUUCCAGCUGCUUGUGUUGCUGUUACCUUUCAAAACCAAAUGUUUAUUAGUAGUCUAGAUCAGUACACGUUUUGAGUACUGUACGGGUUGGCUGGGUGGCUCGAUAGAAACCGCAAAGAUCGACUUCAUCUUCUUCAAAGUCUUCCUUCUUCGAUCAUGAUUGGCUUCGAUCAGAAAGUUCAACUACCUCUUUGUACUGUUAGAACAUAUAUAUGUAUAUAUAAUUUAAUAUUGCAAAACAAAAUAAAGUAUGCUUUACAUGCAUGGACUAAAAUAUAUAAACACAAUGAUGUUUUGUAGUUUUGCACUUUCUUUCAGUAAUCGAAAAAAAUCUGAAAAAAGAGAACACAAUGAGCAUAAUAUGCGUACGUGUAAAUAUAGUAUGUCAAUAAACUGCUUGGAGAGGAAUCUUGUGCCAUGCAUAUUCCUUUCUUCAUGUUUUAAACGUAGUAAUUCCUGAGAAGAUAAUCAUCUUCUUUGGUCCAUGCACCAUUUGUUAGUUUGUUACCUACUCAAUCACCUUCAUCUCAGUAAGCUGUAAGCAGUAGCUAUAUUGAUAUAAUGAUAUGAUACUCAGAACUUAGAAGCCUCGAUCCAAAUUCCAGAAGCCACUUGUACGUUUGAAUGUGUAUAAUAAAUCUCGAUGGUACUGAAACGGUACAAGGCAAAUUAACGAGGCGUAAUAAACCAAGUGUCCGCAGUACGUAUUUCUGCUGUGGACAGUACGUAUGAACUUACUGUAAAAACUAAUUAAGCCAUCUACGUGCAUUUCUGCUGUCCACAGUAUGAACUUAAUUGAUUACUGUAAAAACUAUGUGUGAUUAAUGAAAUUGCCAUAUAUAGUUACAGAAAAAACGAUCUAAAUGCAUAGUCGGCAGUUUUAUCAAUCUUGAAUCAAUCUAAAUAAAGCGCGGUGGUUCUUACUAAACUUAUAAAGCUUGUUCCUGGUAAACAAAUUGGUCAUAAUAAUCCUAGUAAAUUAUGCAGAAACAGCAAUUAGUAUCUACUUGGUGUCGAAGAACUGGCUGAUCACUAUAGUAAUGUAAGGUACGUAUUAAGGUUUACAAAGCAAAUAUAGCCUCUCACACCUGUUUACAAAGCAAAUCGAUCACAACCAACAGCUAGUGAUAUCAGCUCAUUGCCACUUGAGAAGGGGACACGAAUCAAGAAAUUAUCAGAGGAGAAAGACAGUUAUAGGCAUGCUGUUAGCUAGUACUCUGUACGUUACAACUGAUCGAUAAGGGUCUAUUUUUAUCCUCUUAUUGUAAUCUAAGUCGGCCAUAAAUAUCAAGGGAUUUCUCCUGCUAAUUCUUAAUUCGUGUUUUUCAGUCGAAUUCCUCACUCUUCCUAUUAUAGACAAAAUUAUAUAUAUUUUCGACACAACAGUAUAAGGAAAUUAGGGUUAGGGUUUAGGGUUUUGGUGAGCUUAAAGCUAAGAGAGGCUGACAACUCCACCGGCGAAAAGAAGCUCAAGAUCAUGGCCUCGCCUCCAUCCAGCAAGAGAAUCGCCAUCGUUGACUCCUGAUUGUGAUAAAAUCAUGGACGUCCGCAUUUUAGGGGCACUGGAGAUGUCCUCUUUAUAUCCCUUAUGUGUGUGUUCUAAAUAUUUUAGUAUGAAUAUAUAUUUUUGGUGUAGUUCCCCUAGCUAAAUUUUUAGCAAUGUAUAGGCAAGGAUUUAAAAUUGAUAAGGAUUGACAAGCCUAAAUUCGCAAAGACCCAUGUGUGUGUGUACGAACUGUGAGAUAAACAUUUGCAAGCAAUUGAUCAAACUUCGUUGUCCACAUUACAUUGGCCAAAAUGCUCAAAGUACUUGGGGAAGGUUGGGGGCAAUUACAUUCUUGUUUAAGAUUUUCUGAAGAAAUCAUAGAAACUUCCGAUCCAGAAAAGAAAGAAAAACUUUAACCGAUCAAAACGUAAAACUAAACAGGACCACCUUAAUGAAGCAGCACCAAGGUACGUGGCCGAGCAACUGGUAUCCAUCUGGGUACUGUUGGUAGGUACGCAUAUUAAUAUGAUGAUCAUGCUCAAUUGAAGCCGAGCAACACAGCCGAAUACUUCAAACUAAUACUUCACUGCUCUAUGUCUCUUUUAUCGACAUAUAUGCCAUUACAGCACAAACUGAUCGAAUGAGACUUGGAAAAGAAAGGACGGGGUCAGGUUUGGCUGGUAAGUUUGAAAUAACUAGUUGAAGUCUUUUUAACAGUGGACUCGCAUGUUUUGUAUUCAGUUUCGGCCCUUAUAUCCAGUUGCGGAGGGACAAAAAUUUCACUACGAGGGUACACAAAGAAAACAAACAGGAAAUAACUACUGAUUAACAAGCACAAAAUUUCAGUUUUUUUGUUGUUUUUUCGUAAAAAAAAAUUCAGUUUUAAAUAUCAAAAUUUGUCCAAUUCAAUACGUUUUGUGGUCUCCAUUUGCAAUCACUGCAUUUAAUUAAGGGUAUGAUCGAUCAAACACCAACUCGAGUUGUAGCUCAAAUUCCGCCAAUGCUGCAAUCCGUACAAUGUCGUAAAACCCAAUUGAACGAGAUAAGUAAUAUAGGCAGAGUUGAAAUAUUCAGAUAGAAUGGAGGGUAAUAUGCAGACGAAGAAUCUGAGGAUUUCAUGGGUAAUAGCAAGUUCUUGUCGCAGUCGGAGUUGAAUUUGGGAAUGAAGCUACUAGAAUCAAGUUUUGGACUGGGAAGGAGAUUUAGUUUACUGUAAAAAAUCUGACUGUCUGAGGAGCUGGUCUCCUGUAAUGAUGGGGAUGAAGAAGAAGAAGAAAAAGAGAAGAGAGAUGUUCUCUUUUUUUUUUUUUUUCUAUGAGAAGAGAGAGAUGUUCUUUCAUUAAUUUAUCAAAAUGGCAGUGUGUUAGUCAAAAUGAAUACUUCGACUCAUAUAUGUGGUUUUUGUUGUGUCAUCUCAUAUAUGUGGUUUUUGUUGUGUCAUUAGAAAGUUUUGUUGAUGAAGUGUCAUAAGAAAGUUAGGGAAUCAUAGGGUUACACGGCUAGUUCAAAUAUUUUUGUGGGGGCACAUUUGCAUCAUAAGACCAGAUGUCAAAAUUCCACUAGGGGUACGGGCCCCACUCGUCUUCAAUUGGCUCCACCAAUGCUUACAUCGGACGCGUAGCUCACUAUACACUGUUUAUAUAAUUCAUGUCAGUUCAUGUAGCACACUAAACAGACAAACAGUCAUGGAAGAGCGUGCAUGUUUCUGCAGCCUUUAAUCUCCAUGCAUUAUUAUCACAUUCAUUUUCGAUCGUCCUCCUUUCUAUUUUAAACUUGAGAGUUGAGAGUGGUAACAGUCAGUGACGGACGCAAAAAGUUAUGUAAGUGGGGGUAAAAAAAAAGAGUCGAGGAUAAGGAGCCUCUAGAGAUGGCUCAGUGUCUAUUAAUUUAUACUAAUCUGAAAAAUAUCAAAGUCCUUUUCACCAAUCAUAUGAAAUUCUAAUGAAACACUAUAAAAUUGCAAGUUUUCCAACUUCAAAACUUCAAUAUAUGAAUUUAAGUUCAACCAGACUCCUCAAAAACCAAAAAUUCGAUAAGAAAAAACACCUAAUCUUAUACCCAAAACCAAAAUUCCAGAGAUUCAUUAAUCAUACACGAUGUCUCUGAUAUUUUCCUUUAUAGGGUAAAAGAUUCUUAAACAAUAGAUGUAUAUACUAAGUCGUAAUCGGGGGAAAAAACACAUGAACGACAUUAGCAUAUACAAGAAGCUGGUUAGCAGAAAUGAAAGUUCACUAGGGGCAACUGCCCACAUUGGCUCCCUUUUGCGUCGGCCUAUGGUAGCAGUACAAAUGCACGUCUCUUGCCUCUUUAUGAUUUCAUGUCUUUACGAAUGGUAUGUAUCAUUAUCCUUGAACCGGUCCUUAUCAAAAAAAAAUUAUCUUUCAACUAGCCACAAAUACAUGCAUACCUAAACAACGUGGGUGGUCAUUUACUUUUACUUUUAUUAUAUAUUAUUUGUUGGUUAACUAUUCAUAAGCACUAUUCAUGUGAAUAGUAUGAGGACGUUUUUACCUUUGCUUUUUCAACUGUAAUUCUGCAUUUGCCCUCACCUGUUUCUCUAGCUAUUUAUUUCUUUCUCAUCAGCCGUAUCGCCCUUUCUUUCUUCAUCUUACACAAACUUAAGUGGUCCAAAGGUUUCAGGAGAUGGUGAGAGAGAGAGAGACGUACUUGUCCUUUUUUUAUCAAUUUCUUUUGCUUAUGUAGAAAGUUUGGGCUAGGAAAAGGACGAUUUCAGUCGUUUUUCCUGUUUCCUGCAAUGUUUGAUGUGUUGAUACAAUAGUUUUGUAUAUAGUUUUAUGAAUUGCAAUAACGUAAACUUAAACAAUUUUAGAGAAAAGAAACUAUGUCUUAUUUUAUCAUCUUGGUUAAGAAUAGUCAUUGUCAUUCACAUCUGUCAUUAUCGUAAAACUAUUGUAAAAUAAGGGACGAUUUCAGUUGUUCUCUAUGUUCCCUACAAUGCUUGAUGUGUUGAUACAAUAGUUUUGUAUAUAGUUUUAUGAUCUGUAGUAACGUAAACUCAAACAAUUUUAGAGAAAAGAAACUAUGUCUUAUUUUAUCAUCUUGGUUAACAAUCCAGUCAUUAUCAUUCACAUCUAUCAUUAUUGUAAGACUAUCAUAUAAUAAAAACAAUGCACAAGAAACAUCGGUGGCAAGCCACGGGGACCAUUGCUUGUUUCACAUAAACAUGAAGAAAAUUUUUCCACUUUUCUUUUUCAUUUUCUUUAUGGAAUAAGAAUUGGUGGAUCAAACAUCCCAAGGGCAUAAUAUGGCCGUAAGUAAAAUAUAACAACAAUUAAGCAAAUCAUCAAACACUACAUCACAUCAGUUCAAAGUAUAUCCCAUAUACAACAAAGAACUUAAUUUCACAACUUAUUAUCUUUACAAGCCAGAGAUAUUUCAAAAGCACGAUUAUGUUUUUUUUUUAGAUAGGUGGAUAUAUUCCAUGGGCAAAGAGUCAUUCAAACUUUUUGAAUAACUAUUGCUAGGUUAGGCAAGAGCAAGCUCCGAUACAAGUUCAAGAGAAAAACUCUUUAUUCUUCUACGAAUAAAAUUGAAAGGGAUCAGAAAAACUAAAACGAUGUCCAAAAAAGUAGACGAUUACACUAAAAAGCAAUAACCUAUACAAACAAAACAAAUUAAAGUAUGUGUUUUGUUAUGUAAAAAGAAAAGAGAGAAGAAAAAUAGCUAGCUGAGCAAAAAAGAGCGGCUUUGGUCUCUGCUAGGGUUUUCCUACCGGCGGCCAAAUGACCGAGACAGAGACUAGGAUCUCGAUAGGGGACGCCGAUCCCCACUUCUACCUAUGUGGACGACUACUAGGAAUGAGCAAGGCGGUGGUGAUCCCUAUUUUCUUGUCGGCGCUCUCCGGGGCGUGGAAUCUCAAGGAGAAGCUUCUGAUCCGAGGAGGAGGUCUCUUUGAAUCACUUGGAGGUUUGGGUUUCAGUUGUCGGACUCCGCUUUGCCAUGAGGAACAACAUGGUGCUUAGCUGUGUUGCGAAUGAUUUCGGGGUUUUUGUGAGGGCUGAUCCGGGGCCGGUUCAGUGGAAGGAGAAGGUUCAACGGGUUAGGGUUGUGCUAGAUGUGCGAAACCGGAUUUCGGCCGAAAGUAUCUUUGACUUUUCGCCAGAGAUAUCUGUCAAGCUGGUUUUCAAGAUUGAGAGGGCUCAUGGGAUUUGCAGGGACUGUGGCUUUUUUGGUCAUGGCGGAGGUCCUUGUGACAAGGGGUUGAUCUGUGGGUUACCGGUGGUUGAUGCAGUGGGUGGAGGGGUCAACGACGCUCCCGAGUUCUUGGCGAGUCGGUCACGGGAAGUUGUUGGGUUGUUAGAGGAGUUGGAACUACAAGCAGAGGCGUCGGUGGGACUAGAGGUCGAAUUGGACGACAGCGAGGCGGCGACUGCUCUGACUGUAGUUUCCCUGUCUUUUUCGACAGGAAACCCUAGUUUCAAACUAGGGUUGACCGAGUCAGGGUUGACUGAGGGUGAUGGGUCGGGGGGGACUCAUGGGCUCUCGGUGGUUGGGCCAGUAAACUCUGGGCUGAAAAGGAAAAUUGAGAAUGGGGCUGAGCUUGCUUUUUCUGAUGUUAUUGGGCCGUCUGGUUCUAUUUUGGGGAAAAGGCAUAAGCCCAAUCUCCAAAGUGGGAAGCUAGUAGAGGUUUUGGUGUUGUUUGGGAAGGUUCUAAAGAAAAGAUCUCUAAAGAAGAGAGGUCGUCCGAGAGGUAGUCGCAACAAGAAGAAUUAUGGUGGUGGGGUUUCUGAGGUAUCUGAUUUCAUGGGUCCUAGCUUGGUAAGUGCUGAGGACAUAGACCUCGAGUCCAAGGCUGAGAAAGACUAGGCUCGUGGGGCAGCAGGUCAGAUCCCUAUCACAUUCUCACAACCUCUCUCUUUCUGUUCAAUCGACGAAAAGUACACCAUUGGGUCUUAGGCCUUAAUCGAUUGAAAGUUUAGUGGUUGUCUAAGUUUGGUAGGUUAUAUGCUUUUCUUUUUGUUUUCGCAACACCUUUUGGUUGCACCUUUAGGCUAGUUAAUAAUUCGGUUGCGUUAGCAAUGGUUGGUAGGUUAGGGGAGCUUGCUUUCGCAGUUCCUUGUUUGUUUUCCCUUUUGUAGUUGGUAGCUGCUUGUAUGGUCUUCGGACUAUUCAUGCUUGACCGUUUGGUCGUCAUGAUCUUUGAUCAAUGGAACUAUCUCCUUUCUUCAAAAAAAAAAACAAAUUAAAGUAUACCUAAUCAUUGACUUGAGGCCUAAACACCCAACGGUGUACCAGUCCACCAAUGAGUAGGAGAAUCUCAUGUUAAGUUUGCGUAAGGAUCUUUGUUUCUCACCAUGGGGAAUUACUUCCCACCUUAUUAUGAAGCUACUCCAAUCUCAAAUGUUUCAGAACUAGAUGCUGCAAAGUCUGAGCCCAGGGUUUGUAGUAACUUCUUGUUCCUGCCACCACGAGGUCUACCCCUUUUCUUAGGAGAUUUCUUCAUCUUUUCCAAAGCACCAUCAGUGUCAACCAUGAACACUAAGUCAUCUAGUUCAAGUUAGAAGGUAAUGACUACCGAGCUAUGUUUGGAACGUUUACCAGUACCGGAUUACGCCUCCUCUCGAGGGUGACGAUCUCUCACAAUCUUAAUCACUAGUGAAGGGAAUUCUGACACUUCACGAAUUUGCAUAGUGUGCUUCUUCCUUGGGUGGGAAAAGAGUAGAAAGUGCAAUAGUGAAGGAGAAACCGAUGUUGGUUGGGAUUUGGCCUUGAAGACCAUUAAGUCGGAGCUGGAGUUUGAGUUGCCUCAGUAGGGGUUGCCACCGCUGUGUCUUCUUCUUCUUUUUGUUCACGGAGAAGAGAAAUCUUUCCAUCAUUAAUCAUCAUGCACACCCUACAUCAACUUAGCUAGGAACCUCUCGUACAUAUAGUUCACCAACAUAAUGAACGUCCAUUGGAGCGGCUACAUAGCCCUGUUCUAAAUAAAUUUUCUCCAAUUUACCAUCGACCAUGAGGAGAGAAAAAAAAUGGCAUCAUGGGUAGUGAGCUGCCUGGUCAGAUUAUCAAUCCAAAUUACCACCUGGCAUCCGACGUCUUUUAAAGGUAACUGAAUAUUGGAUAUCCUGGCUUCAAUAUCUGGAAACUGCAAUAUCUGGAAAGAAAAAAAAAUAAACAAUGGAGAUAAGAACCAUUGCUUAUUACCUCUGACCUUAACUGGCAUUUGGGAUCUUGAUAUGGAAGAGAUGGGAUGAAGACUCGAAAUGGGAGCUCCAAGCAUAUUAUCCAUGUAGAAAUCAAUGUUGUUUCCAUCCCUCACCAGCCAAUAUAACUUUGAGUAGAAUAUGUUCCAAAACUUUUAUUCCCAAGCCAUACCGAAGAUCUCUUGCAAUAAUUUAAGACUUGCAUGUUGCCAUUGAAGAAACGGUUCCAAAUAAAAACUGCUGAAGGGAAGAAGUAUCAACAAUUCGCCAACAAUUCUUCAGAAGCAGAGCUUGAUUUAACUCAAUUACAUUUUUUAGUCCUAAACCACCUUGAUGCAACGGAAGACAACAAGUAUCCCAGGCAACAAGAGCAGAGUCUCUCUUUAAAGGGUCUCCAGAUCAGAAAAAAUUACGAGUCCAACGUUGCACUUUCAGUGAUAAAGAGCACGGCCAAACACACACCUGGAAACUAUGAAUAAGCUGAUUUUUGAAUAAAUGAGGAAAUCAAUUGCAACCUUGCAGCUUGAGACAAUUGUUUACCUUUCUAAGAAGAGAGCUUAAUUACAUCUAAUUUUUUUAGUAAUAGAUUGAAAAUGAGCCAGCCUUAGACGUCCCUCGGAAAUAACUUAGUUGACCAGCCAUAUAUAUAUGGUCAGCUAUGGCUGACCAACACCAAUAAGAAAUGGACAAGUGUCCAUUAAAAUUGUUAAUUAAAUAUGUCAGAUACCAAAUACCCUCUGUUAUGUCCUCCAAAUAACACCAGACUUCUUCCAAAUGGACACUUGUCCAUUUCUCAUUGGCGCCGGUGUUGUUCAACCAUAACUGACCAUGGCUGAUUAGCUAAGUCCCUUCCCUUGAAAAAUAGGGAUAUAUGUGAAAGGAAAUGAAGAUUCUCGAAUGUCCAAUACAUUAUUUUUUAAAAGGAACAUGAAUUUCAUUUCUCCUAGCAGCGAUCCCAGCCAAUGCACCAUGAUUGAGAGUAUUUCUCUCGUCUCAUACACAGAAGUUUAUAUCUUGUGAUUUUUCUUUUGGUCAGAUUGUGAAUUGUGAUUCAACACAAAUCUCACCAGGUAUCGAAGGUAGUAUGGGUAUAAUUAUCAAUUAACUUUAUAAUUAAUCAUGGUUCCACAUCUGUAUUCCAAUUAAUCAUAGUCCCAUAUGCGUAUUCCAAAAUCCAAAUAAUCAUUCCAGAUGCAUAUUUGAUAUUUCAAGCAGAUUGUUUGUUUUCGGGUUGCAAUGUUUUAUGACUUCUUUGGUGUCUUUGAUUUGAGACAAAUAUAAUGAUUGAGAAGUUUUAAUUUGCUUCUUUUGUUUUUAAACUCAACUGUUUUUUUUUUUUUGUACAUGAGAGAUGACUGUAUUAAGAUAAUGAGGGCAAAUUAGCCACUCAUGUGUAGUACAUCAUAGUUUAAAACAUCCAAAAUAUGAUGGAGCCAAAUAAGAUGCUCAGGUGACUCGUCUGCAGUAGCAGCUAACCGAUGUGCCACUCCAUUGCAGUUUCGAGGUGUACGUUGCAAAAAGACAUUUUGCAAUGCUGCUAAAGAGCUUCUGAUAUCAUGCAGUAGACCUUCUAGGCCAGUAUAGGUACCAUGCAUAUCUGAAAUGCAUGCUAUUGCUUCACUACAGUCUGUUUCUAUUACCACAUUAGAAGUGUGCAAAGUGUUGAGCAAGAUCAAACCUUUCUUGAUGGCAUACAGUUCAGUCUGUUUUGCAGAUGCUGUUGCUGGUACCGGUUUUGCAAAAGCACCUCUGAAUGCUCCAUUUUCAUCUCGCAAAACACCACCAAUUCCUCCCUGAGAUAUUGUCUGAAUACAACUACCAUCCACAUUCAGCUUAAAAUGACCGACUGCAGGUGGUUUCCAUGUUUGUUUUUUUUUUGUUCCAGGCACGUCUAUGUUGUAUUUUCCGAGCCUCCUGAAAUGUCCUCAACCACUCAAGAGCGCUCAACAUCAGACUUUGGGGAGUUUGAGCUUUCUCGUUCCACAACAUGUUAUUUCGAUUUCUCCACAUUGCCCAUAUAACCAUCAGUAGCUGUGCAAAAAUCUCCUUAUGCAUUACAUUAGCAUGUUCAAAAAGUCAUUCUUUAAAAGGCAUUGAGGGCAGUAUGUUAUGCUAAAUUUGGAAAGGAGGAGCUACAAGAAUAUUGGUGGCUAUGGGGCAUUUACAGAACAGGUGUGUUGUGUCUUCAUACGGACAAUCACAUAGCAAACAAGCAGUGUCUCCAAUAUAGCCCUUGCUGAGGAGCUUAGCUCUAGUAGGUAAAAUGUUUGAGCAUGCCUUCCAGACGCAUAUAUGUACCUUACCAGGUAUUUUUGCUGACCAAAUGCUUUUCCAUAACUUCCCAUAAGGAUCACCAUUUGAAGUGGAAGUGAGGACACUAUCCAAUAUCUUUGCUCUGGCUAUCCAAUAUGCAGUUUUAACCGUGUAAAAACCUCUCCUAUUUGGACUCCAUGUGAGUUUGCCAGGCAUAUCUCUUGCACUUAAGGGGAUGCACAGGACUUUUUGUGCAAUUUCAAGAGAAAAGAUAGUAUGCAAAGCUUCUGGUAUCCAUUGCUUGGUUGAGCUAUCAAUUAAAUCUGCCACUUUCUCAAACACACAAUUGCGAGGCUUCUAUAACAUAUACCUGGGACAUUCAAGGAUCCAACUGCUGUGCCAUAUAUCGAUUUGGCUGCCAUUUCCAACACUCCAUUGUAAACCUGCCUUUAAGACCGGUCUACCAUUCAUAAUGCUUCUCCAUGAGAAAGAUGGCGACUCCCUAAGUGCAGCUUUAAGGAAAGAAGUAUAGGGGUGGUAUUUCGCCUUAAACAAGCGUGCAAUAAGUGAUUGAGGGUUAGAAAUCAACCUCCAUCCUUGUUUGGCAAGCAUUGCAAGGUUGUAAGCAUGCAAGUUCUUGAAACCCAAACCACCCUCUUGUUUUGUCAAACAAAACUUCUCCCAAAUUACGCGAGUGAAUUUUCUUCUUCUCAUCUGUAUCUCCCCAAAAGAAAGAUGCACAGAGUUGAUGCAGAUUAUCACAUAAAAUUUUUGGCAGCAUAUAACAGUUCAUGGUGUAUAAAGGCAUGGUUUGUACAAUUGCUUUGAUUAAAACCUCAUUUCCAGCAGCACUCAGAAUUUUUGUCUUCCAACUAACCAACUUCUUCGACAUUCUCUCCUUCAAAUAUUCAAAAUUUGCAGUUUUGGAUCGUCCAACUCGCAUAGGUAGUCCCAAGUACUUGUCAUGCUCUUGUUUACAUUGCACUUCAAGAAUACUUGCAAGCUAUGUUUGGGUUUCUAAAGCAACAUUCUUACUGAACACCACACUGCUCUUUUGAAAGUUGACAUGAUGUCCCGAUGCUCUUUCAUAAAUAUCCAGAAUAGCUCUAUACUGAACACAUUCUUCACUUGUUGCCGAACCAUACAAAAUGCUAUCAUUUGCAAAAAACAGGUGAUGAAGUGUAGGAGCUUGAGAACACAUAGUGAGGCCCUGGAUGUUUCCCUGCUGCACUGCAUGAGAGAUUAGAACAGAAAGACCCUCGCUACAUAAAAUAAAUAUGUAUGAAGAAAGAGGAUCCCUUGUCUGAUACCCCGAGUUGGGGUAAUGGUCUGUGAGGGCUCUCCUUGAAUCAAGAUUGAAUAAGACACUGAGGUGAUGCAACUCAUUACAAUUUGGAUCCAUGAAGGAGGAAAGCCAAGCUUAGUGAGAAUUGCAUGUAUAAAACUCCAAUCGAGCCUAUCAUAGGCUUUACUGAUGUCAAGCUUCAAAGAGAAGAAACCCGCUUCUUGAUGUCUCAACUUAUGCAUGAAGUGAGCUGCCUCAUUUGCUACCAAUGUGUUAUCUGAGAUCAACCGGCCCAUAGGCACUUUGCAAUGGAGAUAUGAUUUUUGAUAAAAUUUGUUUCAACCUGUUUGCCACCACCUUGGAGCCGAUUCUGCAGACUACAUUACACAGUGCAAUCGGUUGAAAGUGCAUGGCCUUAGUAGGGUUUUGAAUUUUUGGGAUGAGACACAAGUAUGUGUAGUUUGAGUCACUGCAAAUUUCUCCUCUUUCCAAUAGAUUUUUCACUGCUGUGCACACAUCCUCAGAAAUAAUAUUCCAAUAUUUUUGAUAGAAGAACGGGGACAUACCAUCCGGUCCAGGGCUUUUGGAAGGGUGCAUCUGGAAAAGUGCAUGGUGAAUCUCAUCACUGGUAUAAGGUUUCAUCAAGUCACUACACAUGUCUGUCGUGACCUUCACUGGAGUAGCUUCCAUUAAUGUAUUGAUAGCAUCCCUUUCUACUGAUUCAGCAGUAAAAAUUUGUUGGAAGUAGCUUAACAAAAGUCUGUGAAUUUCCUCCGGUGUCACUUGCCAGGUUCCGUGCUCAUCAUUCAGGCCCUUUAUGGUGUUCCUACUUCUGCGGUUUGAUGCUUUUCGAUGAAAGUAAGCAGAGUUUCUAUCACCCUCUUUUAACCAAGUAGCUCGAGACCUUUGCCUCCAAUACUUUUCCCCUUGAGAGAGAAGUUGGCUAUAGUGUGAGUGCAGAAAUUUUUGUUCUGCAUAGUUAUUUGGAGAGAAAGGUUGAGCCAUGAGCACUUGUACCUGAUCCUGAGUUUUCCUCAUUUUUGUUUGUAGCCUAUUAACAUCUGUGUGGUUCCAACUAUCCAGUUUUGCACCAAUAGCCUUACAUUUACUUCCCAGCUGAGCUAAUGCAUUGCCUGUCAAUGGAGUUGCCCAUUCAUGUUGUAUAAUCUUCAAACAGUCAUCUUUGUCGUACCAGUUUUGAUCAAAACGGAAAAGUUUUCGACUUUUCCUCCUUUGUACUCUCUCCUUCAGAAUUUCAAUAAGAAGAGGGCAGUGGUCUGAUUCCGAGAGUGGUAGAGUUAUAACUCUGCUACAAGGAAUUGAAGUUUCCAUGUUUGUGAUUGAAAACCUUGAUCUAAUCUUUCCUUUGUAUAUGGUCCAUACCAUGACAAGACCCGCCCUAAAAACACACAGUAAAACAGGCAAGUCUUGCGGGGUCCACUCUUAAAAGAGAUUAUACCGAAAUUUUGGCAUAAUCUCCCCUAAAAAUGGACAACCCAACCUGCGAGAAAAGAACCAAGAACACUUCAACUAUAAUCAACAAUCACCACUCCUGGAGUCCUUCACUCCCCACAACAAGAACCAAGUUAUAUCAAUACUUAAACAACCAAAUCAAGUAUCCAACUGUAUUAAGUAACAUGAACAUCACCCAAGCUUAAACUCUCUACUUUGAGUCAUAGACCUAAAGCAAACACUUCCACUUAAUUUACAUAAUCUCAUGGUUCUCAGAGCACUAAGAAAGGAAAAUAAAACAACUACGCAUAGGUUAACAUGUAACCUAUGAUCAGCAAAGAGCAGCGGGAAAACUAUGCCUCAACUCCUAGGGAGACCGAACAGGAGCUCUACAGUCUGGGCAGUUGAAAACAAAAAAGCCCAGGGAAAAGCAUUUAAAAACAAACGUUAGCGUGAGUGGACGAAAAAAUAAACUAAUUAAUAAGUAUCUAAGAACAUAAAGAUACUAAAUCAAAUUUUUAUAUGCUUUUCCACUUAUACGUAAUUUAAGAAUUUCCAUGCAUGCAAAUUUUAUGAGCUCAUCAAAAAUUCACGCUAGCCCCGCUAGUCAUAAUUUAAUAAGAAAAAUAAUUAAAUUCCUCACAUACGACACUAACUAAAAUAGUGGACUAACCCCACUAGUCAAAUUAACAACUCAAUAAAUUAACUUAUAUGGCCAUAUAAGUGAGUCUCCCAGACUCGGUUGCCUCCCAGGCAUAGUACUCCCAUACUCCCUGUACCUUCACGUCGAUUUGACGGAUAGGGCACAGGGCUUGCGUGAUGCCACCGGCAACAUCACAUCACCACUAGGGUGGAAAGGGCUUGCAUGACCCCACUUGAAACGUGGUAGCCAUAUCACCUCGAAAAGUGGAACAACAUGCUAGCUUGAUAUCAUAAUUAUUCCAAGAGCAAGAUGAUUACUUAAAUCCAACGUGUCUCACACGUUAACAUGCUUUAAAGAAAAUAACUCAAAUCAUUUUCUUAAGAUCAUUUCAUAGAGGGAAUAAUUUUCUAAACAAACCAUGCAUGCAUAUCCCUUUUUAAAAAUAAAAUAAAAUAUCCACUCACAAUAUUGACGGCUAAGUCUGACGUCGGUCAGAGCCCUCCUCACGUGGUGUCUCCUCUCGUCCUGUACAAAACAAGAUUUAAGGUCCGAGACAAAAAUAAUACAAGAAUAUCAAAUUAACAAAAUAGGGCAAAGCCAUCUACCCUCACUCUACACUCUCCAAAAACUAAAGAGAACUCCAACCAUUUUUACUAACCGUCUCCAAUUUUUCCUCAACGUUCUAACACUUAAGCACAAAUAUGGAAAUUCCCAAGGAUGAGGCUCACCUCUACUCUUUCACCAAAAUCAACUUAAACUUUCCUAAAUUCCUACUAACACUCACCAAAAUUUCCAAUACUUCAAUACCACUCAUCUCUCACCCAUGGAGCCAUCAAAACUAUCCCAAUUUCCAAGCACUCUUCACCAAAAAUCACCAUACAAUACAACAACAUUUAUCCCUUCUAGAAAUCAUCCAAAAUUACUCAAAACCACCACCAAAACCGGCAGCAGUCACCAGCAGUGGCGGUCAACCGCUGGCAGCGGCGGUCAACCACCACCACCUUAAUCAACUUCAACCAAAAUUAACAAGGCGUAAGCCAAACUCUUCCUCUCCAUACGCACAACAACAAACAUAACUAGUAUUAAACCCAGAAACUAAAGAGUUGGCCGGAAAAUACCUCCAAACCUUAAGGACACACUAAAACCGAUUUGCUCUAUACACCCCGAAUUGUUCUAUCACCUUGAAAUGGUUGAAUGGUCUAGAGAAGAGAUACAAAACCCCCCAAGGAUCGUUAGAAUCGGUGGCCGGAGAAAACAGUUCCGGCUCCACAAAACCGGCGGCUUGAGAGCGCUCCCGUGAGCUGCUACCGGAGAGAGGAGGACGGCCACCACCCUAGGAAGGACGAGCAGUGUCCCAGCUGCCGUACGAGACUGGCGCGGCGACGAGGCAUGGCCGGACAACGGCUUUCCGUUGAGGAGAGUCGGACGGCCUCGGGAGGUCGGGGAGAGAGAGAUGAGAGGUUGACUUUUCUGUUUUUCUUUCUCUAUCAAAUAAGACAAGUCCCACUUAAAAACCUAGCCCAAAAAUGGACUCUAUUAUUAUUUUAGCUACCCUCCAAUUACGAACUCCUAUUCGGGUAACUAAAAAAAAUCCAUGAACUCGAAUAAACCACCUCUAUUAAAAAUAACCGGAGUAAAUUUCCGAAUUGAUUAGCUACCACUAAACCGAAAAUCACAAUAUAAAAAAAUAAUAAUAAUUACUAGGUUCGGGGUGUAUCAAUUCUCCCCCCCUUAUAAAAAUUUCGUCCUCGAAAUUUCNNNNNNNNNNNNNNNNNNNNNNNNNNNNNNNNNNNNNNNNNNNNNNNNNNNNNNNNNNNNNNNNNNNNNNNNNNNNNNNNNNNNNNNNNNNNNNNNNNNNNNNNNNNNNNNNNNNNNNNNNNNNNNNNNNNNNNNNNNNNNNNNNNNNNNNNNNNNNNCCUCAACCUAAUGACUUCUCCAAAGGACUUUAACAAGUCGAACCGUCUUAUUUCUCAGCACUUUCUCUUUUUGAUCUAAGAUUUGAACCGGUUCUUCUUCGUAGGUCAAAUCUUUCUUUAAACUAAUGGGUUGCUCUUGCAAGACAUGAGAAGGAUCGGUUACAUACCUACGGAGCAUAGACACAUGGAAAACAUCAUGGAUCCUGGAUAACUCUGGAGAUAAUCUCAAACGAUAAGCUACUGGGCCAACCCGCUCCGUAAUUUCAUAAGGACCGAUGUACCUUGGGCUAAGUUUUCCACGUUUCCCAAACCGAAUCACACCCUUCCAUGGGGAUAACUUCAGGAAUAACCUAAUCGCCAACCUGAAAUUCAAGGUCCCUUCUGCGGUUAUCUACAUAACUUUUCUGCCUACUCUGAGCUGCCUUGAGUCUACCUCUGAUUACCUUGAUGUUCUCAUUAGUAUGGAAUACAAUUUCUAGAGCAGCAAAUUCUCUUUCUCCCACUUCAUUCCAGCAUAAGGGUGUACGACAUUGCCUCCCAUAUAAGGCCUCAAAUGGUGUCAUACCAAUACUAGAAUGAAAACUGUUAUUAUAGGCAAACUCCAUCAAAGCCAAUUUCUUAUCCCAACUCCCUCUAAAUUGCAUCACACAAGACCUCAACAUAUCUGCUAAGGUCUGAAUAGUUCUCUCGGAUUGCCCAUCGGUUUGUGGAUGAAAGGCAGUGCUAAAACAUAAUCGAGUCCCUAAAGCCGCCUGUAACCCUUUCCAAAACUUUGACACAAAACGGGGAUCCCGAUCAGAUACUAUAGAUUCUGGCACCCCAUGAAGUCUAACAAUCUCAUUUACAUACAAUUCCGCCAAUUGCUCCAAUUUAUAGGUUUUAUUAACCGGUAGGAAGUGUGCUGAUUUGGUAAGUCGAUCAACAAUCACCCAAAUGCCAUCAUGACCAUCUCGAGAGCGAGGUAGACCAUAAACAAAGUCCAUAGUGAUAUGAUCCCAUUUCCACACUGGAAUCUCCAGGGGUUGUUGCAACCCUGCUGGUUUCUGCCUUUCAGCUUUCACCUGCUGGCAAACCAAGCAUCUACUCACAAAAGCCGCAAUCUCUCUCUUCAUAUUUGGCCACCAAUAAAAUUCUCUCAAAGUCCGAUACAUCUUAGUACUGCCAGGAUGCAUCGCAUAAGGAGAACUAUGAGCUUCCUCCAAAAUCUCUUGCUUCAGCACUUCAUUCCUUUUCGGCACACAAAGUCUAUUUUUAAAUAAUAAUACCCCAUCUUUUCCAAUGGAGAAUCCCACCGUGGUGCCACCACGUGUUCUUUCAAUCAAGCGGACAAUGGAAGGGUCUUGAUAUUGUGCCUCUCGCACUCUGUCAAUCAGAAUCGGUCUCACAUGGAAACUAGCAACCAAAAUACCAACUCUAUCCACAGACAAAUCAACUCCUGUAGCUCGUAGUUCAUAAAGAAGAGGAAGUCGAACUGUCCUCACAUAGGAUAAGCUACAGGUAGGCUUCCGACUAAGAGCAUCUGCCACCACAUUCGCUCUUCCAGGAUGGUACUCAAUAGUGCAAUCAUAAUCUUUAAUCAACUCCAUCCACCUCCUUUGCCUCAAAUUCAAUUCUUUUUGCGUAAAAAUAUAUCGAAGACUUUUGUGAUCCGUAAAGAUCUGACACUUAGCUCCAUAAAGAUAGUGUCUCCACAACUUCAAUGCAAAAACCACCGCGGCAAGCUCUAAAUCAUGGGUUGGAUAAUUCAACUCAUGCGGCUUAAGUUGCCUAGAAGCAUAAGCAAUUACAUUUUCAUGCUGCAUAAGCACACCACCCAAACCCACUCUUGAUGCAUCACAAUAUAUCACAUAUUCUCCAUUAUCAUCAGGCAAAGCCAAACAGGAGCACUAGUUAACCGAUUCUUGAGUUCCUGAAAACUCUGCUCACAUUUCUUAGACCACUCAAACUUAACUCCUUUCCUCGUCAAUCUUGUAAGUGGAGCGGCGAUCUUAGAGAAAUCUCGUACAAAACGACGAUAAUAGCCUGCUAGACCCAAGAAACUACGAAUCUCCGUUACACUAUUAGGUCUACUCCAAUUAGUCACCGCUUCCACCUUUUGAGGAUCCACACUAACACGUUCAGCUGAAAUAACAUGGCCCAAAAAUCCAACACUAUCAAGCCAAAACUCGCAUUUACUAAACUUGGCAUAUAGCUCUGCACACCUCAAAGUCUGAAGCACCAGACUCAAAUGUUUAGAGUGUAACUUCUCACUCUUUGAAUAGACCAGAAUAUCAUCAAUGAACACAAUGACAAAACGGUCUAGAUAUGGGCGAAACACCCUAUUCAUCAAAUCCAUGAAAGCAGCGGGUGCAUUUGUCAACCCAAACGGCAUCACCACAAACUCAUAGUGACCAUAGCGUGACCGAAAGGCAGUCUUGGCUAUGUCAGAGUCUCUAAUCCGCAACUGGUGAUACCCGGACCUCAAGUCAAUCUUGGAAAAAACUUUAGCACCCCUCAACUGAUCAAACAAAUCAUCUAUGCGGGGCAAAGGAUACUUAUUUUUCACAGUAACUUGAUUCAACUUCCUAUAAUCAACGCACAGUCUCAUACUACCAUCCUUCUUCCUAACGAACAAUAUUGGGGCACCCCAAGGAGACAUACUAGGCCUUAUGAAACCCUUGUCCACUAACUCCUACAAUUGGACCUUCAACUCCUUCAAUUCCGUCGAGGCCAUCCUGUAGGGUGCCUGAGAAAUAAGGGCUGUUCCAAGAAGUAAUUCGAUGGUAAACUCUAUCUCCCUUGCAGGAGGUAAACCAGGUAACUCCUCAGGAAAAACAUCAGAGAACUCUUUAACUACAGGAAUGUCUUCAACCUUAAGAACUCCCAUAUGAGUAUCCACAACAUGAGCCAAAUAUGCCUGACAACCCCUACUCAGCAAUUUUCCUGCUGUUACUGCUGAAAUCAAGCAAGAUGGCAAAACAUUUCGCUCUCCACAAAAUGUAAUCUCUGGCUUCCCCGGACUUCGGAACACUACAGUUUUCUGGAAACAAUCAACCAAAGCCUGAUGUGCCUCUAAGAAAUCCAUCCCCAAAAUCACAUCAAAAUCAACCAUCUCUAACGGAAUUAAAUUUGCCUCCAAGUUAUACCCCUCAACUAGAACUUCACAAGACCUAAAUACCCACUCAAUUUUAAACACAUCACCCAAAGGCAAAGACACGUACCACUCCCCCGGGAGAAGAGAUGAAAGCACAUUAAAAAAAUUAAAAAAUAACUAUAGCCGACGAAAUAUAAUCUGUUUCGUCGACUUUAGAAGUGUUUAGCCGACGAAACAUGCCAUAAUUCGUCGGCUAAACCUUAUAAAAAAAAUUAAAAAAUAUUAUAGCCGAUGACUAUCUUCGGCUAAAGUAUUUAAAUAUUGUCAGCUAAAGUUGCUGGUUUUUGAAAAAAAAAACUGCAAAAACUUUAGGCCACCUCCAAUCACCACCAAAAUUUGAUAGAAUCUUUCUCUCAACAUUUCGAACAACUUUCUAGAAGAAGUCGAAGCCUAAUUCUAAGCCUAAACAGGUCAAUUGAAUCAAAAUAUAAAAAUCCCCAAUUUUAAACCCUAAAAAUUUCAAAUCUUCGAUUCUCCUCACACACAUCGAAUCGAGCUACCAAAUUCUAGGGGAAUGUAGUACUAAUCAAACUCAACUUAUCCAUAUAUAGAACUCACCAAAUGGUGACCUGAGGAAGGAGAAAUUCAAUCGACACCGAAUCCGAACCGGCAGAGUUUUGGAGCUCUAUUUAUCCCUCACGGCGACGCCACUCGAUGCACCACCUGUCCAGCAAUGAAGUAGAGACGACGGCGAAGCUUUUGGGACAAGUGUGGCGGUCUCCGGUGGCUUCACGACGGAGCUAGGCCGAGAAGAAAAUCUGGCAGGCGAAACAGUAACUUUUUCUGAUUUUUUUACUUCUCACCAUCCACCUCCGGUAAAACUCCUAUAUAAAGAACUUUACCCGACGAAAUUCUUUAUUUUCGUCGGCUAAACUCUUUUGAAAAUUUUGGUUGCCCGCCAAAAUUUUUUUGACAAUAGCCGAUGAAAUCAUAUAUUUUCGUCGAUUUAAGUCCUUUGAAAAUUUUCUCUCAAAUUUGGUUUGCCGCCAAAUUUUUUUUCGACUUUAGCCGACGACUUUUCAUAUAUUUUCAUCGGCUAAAGUCCUUUGAAUUUACCGCAAAAAAAUUUGACCUUAGCCGACGACUUUUUUAAUACCUCGUCGGCUAAAGUCUAUAAAUUCACGAAAACGCUCAUAUCUCCCUCUAUAUUACGUAGUUUGGUCAAACCUUCCACACGAAAAACUUUCACGUAGAUGAGACGCAACCGCCUAUAUAAAAAUUUUGAGACAUUUACCUUCCGACGAUAGGGCUCCCCAUAGGGAAUAAUAACGGUAAAUAGGGUUAACCGCUACUAUCGGCACCGAGACGUUACCUGAUUUACGUGAUUUUUGAACCAUAGCCGUAUUUCACCAUUCUGAACACAUCUUAUUUCACGAGAUUUUUGAUAAUUUUGCUUCCUGUGUAGAUUUGGUCCACAAAGUUGUAUAACCUACUAAACAAAUUAUACAACAUUAGUAGACACGUUGUGAUUCCGAUGACUAAAAUUCACAAACCAAAAUUCGACCGUCAGAUAUGAUCAUUAUGACGACAUAUUUCUAUGGUAAAAAAAUUCAACUGGAUCCGACAACGUUAAGGGCUCGAUCGAAACGGUCAACCCUAAUCCAUCGUCAUUUAUCACAUGAAAACGCUCAUAUCUCCCUCUAUAUUACAUAGUUUGGUCAAACCUUCCACAUGAAAAAUUCUCACGUAGAUGAGACGCAACUGCCCAUAUAAAAAUUUUGAGACAUAUACCUUCCGACGAUAGGGCUCUCUAUAGGGAAUAAUAACGGUAAAUAGGGUUGACCGCUACUAUCGGCACCGAGACUUUACCCGGUUUAUGUGAUUUUUGAACCGUAGCUGUAUUUCACCAUUCUGAACACAUCUUAUUUCACAAGAUUCUUGAUAAUUUUGCUUCCUAUGUAGAGUUGGUUCACAAAGUUGUAUAACCUUCUAAACAAGUUAUACAACAUUAGUAGACACGUUGUGACUCCGAUGACUAAAAUUCACAAACCAAAAUUCGACCAUCAGAUAUCAUCAUUAUGACGAAAGAUGUCUAUGGUAAAAAAUUCAACUGGAUUCGACAACGUUAAGGGCUCGAUCGAAACGGUCAACUCUAAUCGGAAAUAAGAAAACUGCAUUUUGAAGCCCUAAAUGGACCCGGAUAGCCAAAAAGGCUCAUAUAUCAUGGCAAAGCAAUGAGUUUGACUCUUAGGGCCGUUACGCUUCCGGAAAGGUAUCACAAUAGUCAAUCGGACACCGAAUGCCAAAUCUGCAGCAUACCGGGUUUCGAUUGCUCUACAUCAGAGACGUUACCUGAUUUACGUGAUUUUUUAACCAUAGCCGUAUUUCACCAUUCUAAACACAUCUUCUUUCACGAGAUUUUUGUUAAUUUUGCUUCUAUGUAGAGUUGGUUCACAAAGUUGUGUAUUUGUUUAAAACCUACUAAGCAAGUUAUACAACAUUUUAUUGUUUUUCUUUUAGCCGACGAGAUUUUUUUUUGUCUACUUAAAUACUUUAGCCGACGAGUAAAAACUUUGGCCAACGAAAGGAAACUUUGGUCGACGAAAAAAAAAAUUUGUCGGCUAAAGUAUAGUAUAGCCGACGAAAUUUUAAAUUAGCCGACGAAGGAAAAUUUCGUCGGCUAACGUGGACUUUAACCGAUGAAAAAAUAAUUUGUCGGCCUGGUUUUUUUAUUUUCGUCGGCUAAAGCUUUUCUUCUGAUAGUGUAACCGAUGCUGCCAAAGAUCGAAUCAGAUUCCAUGUGUGAUCUCGACCUCCUCUUGCUGCUAUUCCAUAUAUACCAGUGAAAUGCCAUAAUGGCAUCCCAGGUUUUCCAAUGACAACAUCAAUAUGAUUUGCUGACCAUCCUUGGAUCUCAACAUGAGUGUCAUCAUUCUAAAGGAUCGCUAAACCCCUCGAAUUUUCAUGAGGUACACGAAAAAAAUCUUUGAAGCCGAGACAUUGCUUGAUAUGGUAGAUGGUAUUUGCUUGGGCUAGGGUUUCUAAGAGGAAGGUGAUACUUGGUUUUCUUGCGCGAACCUGGUCAACUAACGCUCGUUGGGUCUCCUUAUUGAUAAUGCCUUGACAAUUCCAUACUAAGAUGUUACCUUGGAGCAUUGCUAGGGUUUGAUAUCGCCGGUAGUGGAAACGGCAACUUGGUAACAAAUGCACGGGCGGCGCUGCCUUAGGGUUUUAAACUCAGUUGUUUUGGUUCAGUUUCAAAGUGCAAAAUAUGGAGUUAUAACUAUGCUUCCAAGUCAGUGUAAAUUCAGUAAAGUAGUGUUGAACAGUUUGAACAGAAUCACCUUAUAGUUUAUAGUAGUAUUAAACAAACUACAACAUCAGAAUAGACAACUAAACCUAAAAAAAAAUAAAAAAAGUCUCUCUCUCUCUAGGGUUUUCUAGGGUUUCAGAAACUUUUGGCAACCCCAUCUCUCGUUAACGAUGGUUGACGACGUUUCCCGGCUUGCGGAGGCGAUGGCGAUCUCGGAGAACGGGAGGGUCUCGUUCGGGGUAGCGGGGGCAACGGCUUUUUCAGGCCAUUCUUAUGCAGUAGGAAGGCUUCUUUCUUCGAAGAAGAAGGUGGAGCCUAAGGCUUUCAUGGCCACGAUGGGUUCCCUUUGGGGAUUGCGCAAUCAGCUCACCAUCCGGCCACAAGGUGAGAGAUAUAUCCUUCGGUUCACGGAGGCGGCUGACCGGAAGGAGAUGAUGGAGAGCGAACCGUCGUUUUUUGGGAAAACGGUUUUUGCUUUGGCUGAGUAUGAUGGCCGCUUUGAUGCAGCGGCGGUUCCAAUUGUUUCUGUCCCGGUGUGGGUCGAAGUCUUUGGCCUCCCACCGGAUCUGAUGACCAAGCAGGCGCUCUACAUGGUGGGUUCAACGCUCGGCCGUAUCAUCACUCAUGACAACCCUAGGCUGCUCAACGGUUCCAAGGCUAGGGUUCGUAUUGAUCAUCAGAUUUCUGAUCCAGUGAAGCAGGCGUUCCCUCCCAUGCGAUUUGAGUUUGGUGAAGGUGCUGAUCUGACUGUUACAAUGCUCACAUUCAAAUAUGAGUGUAUGUGCGACUUUUGCAGGGUUUGUGGUUUGUUGGAACACAAAGCCGGAGGGUGUCAAGGUCCUCCAAACAUGUCGGCGGCAGCGGGAGAGCAAGGAUAUGGAUGUAGGGUUAUCCGUAACCCGAACCCUAGCAGCAGCUCCUCUAUUGUAAACCCGUUUCCAGCUUCGGGUUUUGUUUUGUCCAAACCGGGUAUGACGGCGGCAGCGCUUACUACCUCCCUCCAACGUCGUCCUAAUCCGGUAUCGGUCGUCGCUCCUCAAGCUCCAGUUCUGGUUUCUCAAGCCAAGUCCAUGCCGCUUGUAUUUUCUGGGAAGAAACGGUCGGCUGCGUCCUUAAUGCUUGAAGACCAAGGUAAGCAUCCGAAAGGCAUGGUGGUGGUUGAGUCAGAGGAGCAUCCUACGCUCGGUCCGGUCCUAGAGCUUUCUCUCCCUCACUUGGCAGGGUCGUUGAUUGUUUCUCCCCCGAAGAAACGUAAAGUUGGGCGUCCGUUAGGCUCUCUGAACAAGAAGAAGGAAGAGGUAAUCCAUCCUUGGCAAUUGGAGGCGAAAGCACAAACUAAGAGCUCCAAGUCUAAGAAGAGGUCCUUCGGUUUUGCAAAAAGGACUCUGAAUUUGGGAGAGGAGGAUUCGGUUAGCAUUACACCGAAGGCCUCGAUUGGUACUGCACCUGAGGAUAUGGCGGUGGAGACGGGUGAAGUCGCCGGAACUACUCCCUCUAUGUAGGGUAGUCCGGUAACUUGGAAUAAUUGGCUAGGGUUGGAGGCUCUAACUCUUUCUGUCAUUUGUUAGUUCUCAGUUUUUCUGGUUUUUUUAGUUUUGAGUACCUUCAUGGUAGUUUCGGUAGGAUGCUCUUGAGCACCCUUGCAUGACAUUCAUUCUCGUGCCCUUGCGGGCAUGUCAUGUUGUAAUUAUCAUUUCUUCUUGGUUUAUCAAAGGCUUGACGUCCAUUCCAUCAAAAAAAAAUACAACAUCAGAAAAUUAUAAGGUAACCCAACAAUGAUAACAUGAUUCGAAUUAUUAAGCAAAUACUACGAAAACGUCAAUUCAACAAAACAUUUUCAAAAUGAAACAAUAAAAAAAAAAUCUAAAUGAGAUUUGUUUAACAAUACAGACUAGCUAGAUUGAAAUUGUUUUAUUCUCUACACCAACACUGAAGAGAACCAAACUGUCUGAAUCUUAUUGCCUUGUUUCUUCUUGUAAAAACUGCCACAGGUCCAUUUCAAAACCUUUCUCAGUAGAAUUGACACCUAUACUUGACAUUGAGGCUGUAUCCUCAACCCAAAAGUUUGUCAGGACAUCUUCAUGUAGUAGAGUUUUCCAGUCAUCAAUUCCAUUCUCCAUAGGUGGUGAUGUUGACGAUGAACUAUUUCCUAAUUCAAUAGGAUUUGAAGUUGUAACUUUAGCAUUCAAAUAAUGUAAACUUUUGGUGAAGGUUCGUGGUCGAGGUCUUAUUACUGUAGUCUUUGUUAUUUCUGGAGGCUUAUAAUUAUGAUUCGUGAUGCCGAAGUUUAUGUUUUUUCUUCGUCGAGCACUCCAAUAGUUUUUCACAUCGUUUGAUGUUCUUCCGGGAAGCCGUCCAGCAAUCAAAGACCACCUUUAAGAAAAGAAGGCAUAAAACAUUAUUCUUAGGGAUGCAUUAAUUUUACUCGAAUGAAUUGAAGAGAAAUAAUAUUAUAAAUAUAACAAGUUACUAAAAUGGAAUGUUAGUUGAACAAUAUAUAUAUAUAUAUAUAUAGGGAUUCUCAGGGGCGGAUUUUCCUCCGUUCGCCACCGUACGGCGCCGGUGAGGGCGCGCCUCCACCCCAACAGAGGCGCGCCCUCCAGCUGCUUCCCCGACCUCUUUCCAUCCCCGGCGAGUNNNNNNNNNNNNNNNNNNNNNNNNNNNNNNNNNNNNNNNNNNNNNNNNNNNNNNNNNNNNNNNNNNNNNNNNNNNNNNNNNNNNNNNNNNNNNNNNNNNNNNNNNNNNNNNNNNNNNNNNNNNNNNNNNNNNNNNNNNNNNNNNNNNNNNNNNNNNNNNNNNNNNNNNNNNNNNNNNNNNNNNNNNNNNNNNNNNNNNNNNNNNNNNNNNNNNNNNNNNNNNNNNNNNNNNNNNNNNNNNNNNNNNNNNNNNNNNNNNNNNNNNNNNNNNNNNNNNNNNNNNNNNNNNNNNNNNNNNNNNNNNNNNNNNNNNNNNNNNNNNNNNNNNNNNNNNNNNNNNNNNNNNNNNNNNNNNNNNNNNNNNNNNNNNNNNNNNNNNNNNNNGACUNUAUAUAUAAUAUUAUAUAUAUAUAUAUAUAUAUAUAUAAAGUAGAGCACGACAGAGCAUUUCUUGCUAACAAAAGAUUAAUUGUAACUAUUAUUCUAUAUUUUUGUAAAAUUUUCUUCUUGCGAUUACGACUUUAAUUAUCAACGCAAAGCCAACACAAGUCAAAUAAUAUUCAAGAAUGAUAAUGUGGUUGGGGAGCAUUCAAGCUUCUUCGGUCAAUAAGUGGGCAAUUUCACUAAUAAGACAACAAAUAUCUACACUCACAAAGAUAUAUAUAUAUAUAUAUAUAUAUAUUAGUUUUGAAUUAAAAAAAAAAAUCCCUUCUGUUUUGGUUUUGUAAUUUUUUUUUCCGGACAGUUUCCUAAGGAUUUCUAGCUUCUUCUUUAUUUGGCGAUUUGUACAGAAAUAGGUAAACUCCAAAAUCGUUAAUUUAUUCAUUUAGAAAAUAAAAAUAGAAAAUGUGGAGGACGAAGACAGUUUUGUGUCAGGUUUCAAAAGCGCAUGCAGCAAAAGAUCGAGUGAAAGAAGUAGUACUUAUUAUCAAAUAAGAUUCAGAUUGCAUGUAAGUUCAUGGAGCUUCCUAUAUGUCAAGGAUAAAUCGAUAGCACUAUAUAUAUAUACUUGCCUGUUUCCCAAAAGCUUCCGAAGCCUGAUCAUUAGAUCGACUUCAUCCUCUUCAAAGUCUCCUCUCUUGAUGUUUGGCUUCAAAUAAUUCAACCACCUCAUCCGGCAGCUCUUUCUGCAUCUGUUUAAGCCUGCAAGCAUAUAUGCAUGCUUAAGUAGUAAUCGUGUACAAAAAAACCAGUUGAUUAAGCUCUAGAUAAUACGCGCGCAGGAGAAUCUGAGAGACCUAAAGCUAGACAUUAUAUAGAAAUAUCUAUCUAUAAACUAAUUACCUGCUUGAAGAGGAACCUUGUGCCAUCUUCCCUCACCAUGUUUCUCAAUGUAGUUCCUCAGAAGAUGAUCUUCCUCUUUGGUCCAUGAACCUUUUCUCACCUCCAUAUUCAAUAGCUACUGAUAUGAGUAUAUGAUGGUCAGAACUGAGAAGCCUCCACAUAUUCCAGAAGCCACCUGUACGAUUAAAUAUAUAUAAUAAUCUCAAGGUUGCCCGGCCAAACAGUACAAGGCAACUUAUGAGGCAUCGCAUCCAUCAAAAAUGAUUUUAACUACAUACAUACCUAACGUGUAGUUCUGCGGUCCACAGAAACACGUUUUGAGUGGUACGUAGGUCUAUUUUUGACAAAACUUAUGAAUGUACGUGCAGAUUAAUGUAAUUAGUAAUCGAAAAAAAAAAAGAUUAAGCUGUAAAUAACAUACUGUUAAAUGUAAACACUGUUGACGGAUCAGUGAGACCCCUCCAGUUAACACUACGUACUAAUAGUGAUAGUCGAAAAAAUUAGUGAAAAAAUAAAUAAAUAAAUAAAAUAAAGAGGAUUCUGAUAGAUUAGGCAUUUCUCUGGCGUGCAGUUAUAAAAGAAAUACUUUAGUCACAGAAAAUUCCUUUCAAAAUGAUUGGCAGAAUUCACAUUAAUUACAAAAGGAAAAUGAUUGCAAACCUUCUUCCUGGACCAUUCUAUUUUUCAUAGUUUUAGUAUACACUGACGAAUCCUUUGAAACUAACACCCGAUGGUUAGUUUUUAUCUCUUAAAAAUAAAAAUAAAUAAAUUUAUAAUGAUAAUAAAGUAUCGAUGUCGAUAUUUUCUUUGUACAAAACUACAAAUAUCGUUUGAAUAUUUUCCCAUUUAGACCUGAGAUUGAAGGAGCGAGAGAAACGUCUUCUGCAAAUGAUUGCAAACAUUUAGUUGCGAACAGUCAUCUUCGCUAUCUUUUCACUUGAAUGCAUAGUGCCCCAAGAAAAUCUACACUCUAUCGAUCGUAUGCAGAAUUUUUCCUGUGGUCCGUUAAACAAUAUGACUAGCUAUAUGAGUGGUUCGAGCAUUUCCAGAAGAAAGGAACAUGCAAGUAUAGUAAAGACAAGGAUAUCCAGCUCGAGGGUGUGACUUGGAGAUCUCAGUUUGAUCCGUUGCUGUCGAUCAUGCAUGUAUCUGAUCAUGUAUGGCAAAGGCUGAACAGCUUUCAAGUCUCUUAAGCGAAAAAGCAUAUUAUUUGCAUGGUAGCCCCUAGCCCCCCAGUCUUCAUCUUGCCACGUUUUGUCUCUGGAGUUGCUGUAGCUAGUAACACUAUUCAGCCAGUGAUCGAGGUCCUCGGUCCCUUGGAUUAAUUUUCUAGCGCGUCUCUUCUCUGGGCAGAAGGGCCAGAAAUGUUAUAAUCAUUGCUAGCCGGUGUGCAGGGGCUGGUGUUUAUGAGCUUAAUAAGCCGGGGCAUGCGUUGAGCACAUAGCCAGCUAUUCUUUCGCCUUUAAAUUUACUAUGUUUAUUGUUUUCACUGUAAGUGUGAGUUAGUGUUUUGCUACUAGUGUAUAAUGAUUUGAUCUGAUUUUUAUCUUGUUUUUUCCCAUGGCACAAGGCUGCUUCCCUAAAACCUAAAUGCUAUCUAACAAGUGCUGGAGUAAAGAAAACACAAAAAAAAAAACUAAGGCAUUCCACCGAUAGUUCCUAGCUACAUCAUUUCUGAUUCUGGAGUAGUGACAAUUAUGAGUCUCCUUGCAGUAUGGGGUAAGCUAAGAGAUCCUCAAAUCUACCUUUAAAAAAAUCUCCCCAUAGAGCUAGCCCUCUCCCUUGUUUGUCAUUCAGAACCUCCAACCUUCUUUCAAACCAUCCAUCGGAUUGAUCGACGUCUCUGCAUUAGGGCUUCAACCCUCUCUCCAACUAGAUAGCUAGCUAGCAGGCCCACAGCCCCACAAUACUGCAGCACCCUUUUGUAGAACAUUUUCAAAACGUGCUCUUCUACAAUGGAAACUGUGGUGGAUCCCCCGUAGAACUCAGCGAUAAUUGGAGUCGACCCAACAAUCCAAUGACAAGAAGACAGGGAGACAACGUGAAUUGAAGUUUGGAGGAAAAACCAAAAGAGGACGCUGUCAACCAGUUGAUCAAUAAUGCUUUAAUGGAUCGGUGAAAGGGACGCUUAAACUGCAAGUCUCUCUUCCUAUAUACCUUCAAAUUUCCGGGCUCCAACUCCUCCAUAUUUCUUAGACAGAAAAGCUUUAGAUAGUUACACGGUUUUUUUCCUAAAAUUAGGUUUGUUUUCUGUUAUGUUCUUCGAUCUGUUUUUUUGUUUUUCUUUACCUGAUUUAGGAGAGUAAAAGAUCGCGAAUAUACAUGGUGUGUGGUAGAAUUUUCAUUCGUGUUUGAGUUCUAAUAAAUAAUUAUUUCCUAAUUAAUUUUGCAAAUGAAUGUUGUGAAAAAUGGUAAAAAGCAAAAAAAUGCAUGAUUCAAUUUGCGAUAAACAUCAGAUUUUGUUGGCUAUAUAUACAUCAGUUACACCAACAAGAAAUCAAGAAUGGACGAGAUGAUAACAAUUACAUUUUCGUUACUAUAAGAAAAAAAAUAAAGUUGACUACGAAUAUAUAUUGAUGGCUGAGAUUGCUUAAUAAAUGUUGAGUCACUUACACCUUGGUUCUCUCAUGCGAAAUAAGCGGCCAACGUUCAUUGGAGACUUUUUGAGAUUGAACAUUUGAACAAUCCUUUUUGUUUCAUUCUUUGAGAUUUUCUUUCGUACUCUAGUCAAGGUUAGGGCGCUGAUGGAUUUAGGCUUGUUAAAAGAUUAUGUUAGGUGGUGAUCUUUGAACUGGUUUUUUACGUACCGGGUUCAGAGUUCCAUGCAUAUAAUAUAGGCGCUUUCAUGGAUCCUAACUCCUACGGUUCUAGUUGCCAUACAUACAAUUUUGAACCCUAAUUCCUCGAGUAUCUUUCUGUGCAGUGAGCUUCCAUGCAGAGGCGUCACAAUAUACGAUCUGUACCAUUUUGUUUUAUACAAGUUCUAUGAGUGGCAGCUUAGGUGAAAUUGCUUCGAUAAUACGUUAUAUUUGUUGUACAAUAUUUCUAUCACGUUCGUUGCAUGCGACUUCACUCCAUAUAAAUUUGUUCUGACUAAGAAGUGUUCUCAUUUCUCAUUGAGUUGCAUAUAAAAUGCAGAAAGAGUGACAAUUCGUUUUGGAUGAUCUUAUAACUAAUUAAGGUCUUUACAAACAUAAACCAAAGUAUAAACAAAAUUUGAAAUUAUCAUCAGUUGAUUAUAUAUACAACCCAGCUAUGUAUUAUCAUCUUAUUUCGAAAUUUUUGUUUUGACAAUUUCCACUUCACUAAUUUCUACAAAUUGUGAUGUGCCUAGUUCCGUGUGAAACAACUGAUCUUCGCAAGUAGGUAGGUCAUCGAUACAGUUAACCUCAGUCACUGACUCACUGCCCGCGCCGUGACACACUGAAAGUAUGUAUGCUUUCCCAAACAUAUAAACCUAGCUGCAGCUCGAUCAUUCUCUAUCAUCCAUUAUACAUACACCUAGCUAUAAUACUUUUUACAAAGAUAAAUAAUUUCUCAUCUACUUCAUUUCUAGUUUCUAGUCACUAAGAUGAAGGCUUUUGGUGGAAUCUUAGUCCUCUCCAUCAUUCUUCUGUCCCUUUCUCAGGGUAAGCACAUAUUCAAUUCUUGCAUGCAGUAAGAUUCUUGAAGUGUGUAUUCAUAUGUAUCUUCUAAAACUCAAGCAAACGCGAUCUCGUUAAUUUGUAAGUGGUGUGUUCUCCCCUGAAGUGGUUAUUAUGUACUUGCAACGACUAUGGAAACUAUAAGGUGCUCGUGUAAUAUAAUUUCCAAAAUCUCAGGGUUUUGGUAACCCUAGCUAGUUGUUUUUUCAUACUAUAGCAUGCAUGCAUGUAUUGUUUUCGGAGAACUAAUUAGUAAUGUGCACGAAAUUAUUCUCCACAGGUGAAAGCCACUUUGUGAAGCCAUGGCUGCACCUCUGCAAGACCAAGGAAGUGACCGAUCCACCGACGCCGUGCAAUGCAUUGGAAUGCAGCGGUUUGUGUGGAAGCUUGUACACUGGAGGAAUUGGGAUAUGCAUUGCCGAAUCAUGCGAGUGUCUCCACUCCUGCUUCAAAGAGGCACCUCCCAGCAGAGACAACAUGCCCGUUUCUGAUGAUAAAACUCCCCAAAGGAUCUGGUCUUCUCCUUCUUCUAAGGACCUCAAGCCUGAUCGUAUCUCGAAAAUGGCAUCAUCUUCUUCUAUGGAGAAUCUCAAGCCUGAGCGACAUUCCGAAGCAGCCUUAUCUUCUUCUAUGGAGCAUCCCAAGCCUGAGAAUAUUUCCAGAGUGGCAGUGUCUUCUUCUUCUGAGGAUCUCAAUAAGCAGCCUGAGAGAAUUUCCAAAGGGGCAUUGUCUUCUUCUAUGGAUCACAAGCAGCAAACUUCCCAAGUGGCCUCGUCUUCUUCGAAGGAUCAACUCACACCUGAUCGGUUUUCCAUGGUGGCCUUGACUUCUCCCGUAAUUCCUAUCAACAAGCCUGAUCGAAUUUCCUAUAUGGGAUGGCCAAUCCAGCCAUAAUCUGACCUUGCUAUGUUCCUCUCAUGAACCAGUCAAUAAGUCUUCCAUGCUAGAAUAAGGAUUAUUGUUUUUCUUUUCUUCUUCAUGGUUUUUUUUUUUUUCUUAUGGUAUUUUCAUUGUACAAGUCAGAUAUUUAGGGCAACGUAUGUUUGACCCUUCUGGUUAAGUAAUAAGGUUGGAAACAAGUUUGAUCGGAUCCACUUUAUUUUCAUCUUUGGUUAAGAACAAAAAUAUUUAGAUCUUCAAGAUGAAUAUUCUUAUAGGAAUCAUUCAAUGGGUUAGGAAGCAACUCUGUUCUCUUUGAAAUUUCUUCAUACGCUUCCACUUCUAAACGGUUCUGAAUAGUCAAACAAGACACUUCGUCCUAUCUUAGGCAACGUUUCUUUUCAAGCUCAGACUAUAACAGAUUUUGCAUUAUGCAAAUGUUUGAUUCCAUCUUUUACGACUGGUGAUUCCUAUACUGCUGCGCGUUUUAGCCGAAGGUCUUGAUUCUUAAUCGUCAGUUCUCUGUUGUCUACUAUAAGAAUCCAAACCAUACUUCUGACUUGAAAUCCAGUGUGGCACAAAGGGAAAAUUCUAGAGUAUCCACCAGUUUUCUAUAUCGUGGUUUUUUUGAAUUUUUUUUACAAAUAUAAGGACAUUUGGUUAAAAAUUUUGUAAUAAAUGUCCAUAUGUUGUAAUUACAAAUUGUGAACCAAAUUUACAUAUUUAUGACCCCUUUUACAAAAUUGAGAACGAAUGUGUGUUGUUAAAUUGUAAAUUUUCAGAUUUGGACCAAAUAGACCAUUUUUCCUCGUUCACGUAAUAUGGUUCUCGGUUUUAUAAUUGAGUUGUAUUUUUUGUAUUAAGAAAAAAAUUACAUCUUUCACAACGCUUUUACAAAUAUAAAGACAUUUGGUUGAAAAUUUUGUAAUAAAAUGUUCAUAUAUUGUAAUUACGAGGUCUGGACUAUAAUUACAGAUUUAUGACCCCUUUUACAAAAUUGAGAACGAAUGUGUUGCAUGUCGAGAUGAUAAAUUUUCAGAUUUAAACCGAAUAAACCAUUUGUCCUCGUUCACGUAAUAUGGUUCUUAGUUUUGUAAUUGAGUUGUGUUUUUUGUAUAUAUUGAGAAAAUAAUUACAUCUUUCAUAACGUUUUUACAAACUUAAGGACAUUUGGUUGAAAAUUUUGUAAUAAAAUGUUCAUAUGUUGUAAUUACGAAGUAUGGAUCAAAAUUACAGAUUUAUGAUCAAUUUUACAAAAUUGAGGACGAAUAUGUUGUCGAGAUAACAAAUUUUCAGAUUUAGACCAAAUAGACCAUAUCUCCUCAUUCAUGUAAUAUGAUUCUCAGUUUUGUAAUUAGAUGUUGGUGUUUUUUAUUUAGAAAAUAAUUACAUUUUUCACAACUCUUUUACAAAGAUAAGGACAUUUGAUUGAAACUUUUAUAAUAAAUGUCUAUAUGUUGUAAUUACGAAGUCUGAACCAAAUUUACGUGUUUUGAACGAAUUUACUUAUUUUUGUGUAAUUGUGUUGUUAAGUUUGUAAAAUAAAAAAAAUAAAGAUGUCACAUGUCAGAAUCUAAAUGGGUAAAUAAAAAUAAGAUUUUUCCAAAGCUUAAUUUGUGCUACAUCGGAUUCCAUGUCAAAUAAUCAUUAAUUUUUGGUGCCAUAGAAAUUUCCGAAAUAUAUCUUUGUGCCGAGACAGGCUAGCAUACCCACCAAUACAAAAGAAUAUUAUUCAAACAAUAUUCUAAUAUGAAACCUGGUGAAGGCGUGUAGCACAGAGCUUUGGAAUAUUUCUGUUUACCUUCCAUUUUCAAAUCAUAUUUUGCUAGCGCAUAUAUAGCUUUGUGACGGAGUUAUCUGUAGUCUUCUACAUUGUUCUUAACAACAGGCUUUGAGCCCGACUUCGAUCAAUUUGGCACAGCAUGCUUGCACAACUAGUCGCUAGCUAGUACUCUACGAUGAUCUCAAUACUAACAGACAUAGUAAUAGCCACAGCAAGCAAGCUCGUUGUGUUUAUCUUCAGAUAUUACGUACAUUGAAAUUAUCACAUGUAUAGUUGUCUCAAAGCGUCCAUCAGUAUUGAUAGAAACACUUUGGUAAACUGGCAUUCAUUUACAAGUAUUCACCACCCCUGCCACCACGCUACUACAACACUCUUCAUUGUUCGAGCCAUUAUUUUGGCCAAAAUUACUCAGACUAUUGUAGGACACAUGCCAGACAGCCUCUUCAACUCUUCGGCGACUUCUUUCAUUAAGGGCCUUUCUGCACUGUUCAUAUGGAGGCAUCUCUUGGCAAGCUCUGCAACUGCUCUAACUUGUUCAUGGUUUCCCUUGUUUACAUGUUGUGGAUCAACCACACGAAAGAACCCAUCUUCUAAUUCAAUGGAUGAAACAAAAUGAGUAGCAAUGAUUCUUUGACUUUCUGGUCUGUCAAAUGAAAUAGGCUUUUCCUGGCUCAAAAUCUCUACCAAAACGACUCCGAAGCUAUAAACAUCACUCUUGUCUGUCAGUUGGCCUGAGCAAAGAUACCCUGGAUCCGUAUAACCUAGUGUCCUUAGAAUACAUUUUCCCAUCUGAGAUUCAUUAGCAGGAACUAACCUUGAAGGCCAAAAACCAGAGACUUUGGCCACAAAAUAAUCAGUUAACAAUAUGCUGGAAGACUUAACAUUGCCAUGGAUAGUGGGUUUUGAGCCGUCUCCUGCGAAGAAGAAUGAAUAUAAGCAAGAGCAGCUGCAGAUUCUGAGGCUAUCUUUAAGAGGACAUUCCAAGGCAAUUUAACUUUCCCAUUGGUGAGAUUGAUGUAGUCGAAAAGGGUUCUGUUAGAGGCGAGUUCAUAAACCAAAAUAGGAGCAUCAGUCUCUAAACAGCAUCCCAUGAACUUCACCAAAUUUUCAUGGUUCAUUUGGGCAAGAGCAAUAAUCUCAUUUAUAAAACUCCCCACUUGGCCCUCCACUACUUUAUCACGUAAUUUUUUUUGGUAACAGUCAGUAGCCAUCUGUAGUUGCUCAGCUGUAUAUAUUCUUGUCAUUCCAUCUCCAUGUGAAGCACUAUGCUGCUCUAACAAUAACCCUCCAUUUUUCUUGAAGAAAUUGGUUUUGAGCUGAAUAAACCAUAGUUUCUUCACACUCAAAUAAACCCAAGAUAUCACAAACAACAUAAUUGAGAAACAAGAGCCAAGACCUGCAGGGUAAGUUUCACAUAUUAAAUUCAAUAUAUACUCCUUAAAAAUACAAAUAUAAUUACUAUCAAUCAAUAUUUUUAGUGGUGCAGGGUACCGUAUGGGUAUGGCUUACCAAGAAUCAGAUUAACCGGAGAGACAGAGAUGUACGGGCUGGGACCUUUACCAUUUAUGAUGUCCUCAAAUUCCCAUCUUGUCUUUGCAAUUCCCUCAUAAGCUUCCAGUUUACUCACUGCAUCAAGUUUAACAAGUCUUCUUGCUUCGCUGCCAAAUGGUGAGUGAUUAAACAAGAUUCUUCGUCCUAUCUUAGGCAGCUUCACUCUUAGACUAUACGUGUUUCUUGUAAUGCUCCUUUCUGCCUCAGUAAAGGAAGACCUGAGGCCUCUGGGAAUAGUCUGAAUGGAAGAACUGCAACAGUCAAUACUACUAGAAAAUAAUGCAUAAAUCAGACUAAUGUUGGUGUUGGUGUUGGUGUUCGGUGGUGCCUUGUUUGUCCCUCUCACAAAAUGAGAGUAUUCACAACCUAUGACUGUAACGUCGUUUGCAGAGCCCAAGAAUGUUAAAUCACUUAGAUGGGUUGACGAAGAUCGUGCCACCUCAAAAUCAUUCUGGUAUGGAAGUGUGAUAUUGAAAUCUCCACAAUCUUCUCGGUAGCUCAGCAUGGUUUUGGCUUCCAGUCCAAUUCCUGUCAAAAGAAACAGUGAAGCUAAGAUACAGUGAGAGAGCAUGUUGUGCUAGAUAAAUUCUUGACCAGAAUUGAUUCAGGAAAUCCUCUCUAGACAAUUUAUCUGAAAGAAUGUUAGUUCUGGACUUCUGGUGUAUAUAUAGAAGAUGGUUCUCUCAGACUUGUUCCUUGCCCACUUUGGAGAAUUAAGAUGCAGCCAAAAUCUUUGAUUAUUAAUAAUAUAAUAAUAGGCAAGUUUUCCUGAGGCCCUUGUUCUAGAAAACUUUUACUCACAAAGACCCUUUUUUAUUCAUUUCAGUCCUGAAACACUAUACUGAGUAUACUCCCAGUCUCUUGCAAGACAACUGUACAAUGGUAUUUAAAAACAUUGUGGAAAUAAGAAAUGUAAAAUAAAUAAAAAACAAGAUGUUCUGGAAUUAAUAAACACUGACCAAUUCUUAGUUGGUCUAUUUGAUGUAUAUCAUACCUUGAUUUCUCUGAGUGCUGCUCUGAAUCUUUUGCUAUAUCCUAGAGAAACCACUCUUUAGACAUCCAUAAUUCAUAACUGAAGUAACUAGAGACUUGAAUCCUCAUGGCUCUGGAUGGAUCCAUAUGAUGUCAGAUAAUUAUUAUCAGGUAACUUUCCAUCAUCAACUGCUUGUGCCAAUUGUCUAUAAUCCAAUUUCCUCCCUUCUGAACCAAAUUGCAUAUAAUAUGAUGUUAAAGGCAAUAUGUCUGUGACUUAGUUCUGGAUUAGAAGAUAUCAAGCUUUCUGAACUUUCACCCGCAAAAAGAACAUUUGAAAAAUGGAGAGUUCUUCAAUACAGCAUCUCUCAAAAUCACCAGCUCCAUUAGUGUCCAGAUUGAGAAGGCUGCACCGUUUGGCUUCUUUACUACAGAAAAUAUCAUUACUUGAAGGAAAUACCGGCUCAUCAAUCAUUGCAUGUUGACCAGAGAAAAUAAUAGUUAUCUUUAAUUAAUCAUGUCACCAACUUCUUGGAGCAUGGCGCGUUCAUCUUUUGACUGCAAAUCCAAACAACCUAUUAUUGCAUAUAUAAGUAAGGCUUCAGGAUGACCCCUAUCUUCUACUGUAAAUACAUGAGGCUUCCCAUUAACAUGAACAAAGCUCUGACCGGGUAAUUUUUUCACUUUGUUAGAUUUCAUCACUUUUCUUAAUGUAGCAACUUCAUCCCACCUUCUCUCUGAUGCAUAUAUGUUUGCCAUCUCCACAUAUGGAACUGCAACCUCGGGCUCUGACUCAAGGAGACGGCUAAAUGCAUAUUCACCAAACUCUAAAUUACUGUGAAUCCUGCAAGCACUAAGUAAUGCACCCCAUAUGCCAGCAUCAGGUUUCAUCGGCAUAUUUUUAACAAGAUCAACUGCUUCUUUUAAUUUUCUUUUACGUCCAAGAAGAUUGACCAUACACGAAUAAUGAUCUACCCCAGGAAUCAUAUAAUAAUCUUGUGUCAUCAUGUUAAAGAACUUCAUUCCUUCCUCAAGCAGACCUGCAUGAGUACAAGCUUGAAGAAUAGCAAGAAAUGUUAAGUGGUUUGGUUUCAUGCCCGUCUCCAGCAUAAGACAGAAAAGGUCCAGAGCUUGCUUGGAUUGACCAUUCAGAGCACACGCUGAGAUUAUAGAUGUCCAGGAAACAACAGUUCUCACUGGCAAAGCAUAGAAGAGCUCCCGAGCAUUGUUUAAAUCUCCACAUUUUGCAUACAUGUCAAUUAGUGCAUUGCAAACUACUACAUUAUCUCUUAACCCAAUUGAUAAGGCAUAGUUAUGGAUCCAUUUUCCAAGCUCAAGUGUUCCUGUAUGACCACAGCCUGAAACCAGAGAAAGAACAGUGACCAGAUCAGGUUUCUCACCUGCUGCUUCCAUAAAAUGAAACAACUCAAGAGCCUCGUUCAUGUUCCCAUUUUCAGCAUAUCCGCUGAUCAUAGCAGUCCAUGAAACACAAGUUCUAUCACACAUGCCAUCGAAUAAAAAUCUAGCAGAAGGUAAAUCACCGCACUUGGAAUACAUGGAUAUAAGGUCAUUAAUAACAUAAAUGUCAGAAUCACAGCCCAGUUGAAUUCCAUGACAAUGAAUCAGCACACCUUGGAACAAUUUAUUGGGUUGAUUGCAUGAAGAAAGGAUGCUUAGAAUAGUGCUUAUAUCAGGUCUGUAUCCAUCAGACAACAUCUGUUUGUAAACAUUUAGAACAUCAACAAAUUUAUCUGAGUUUGAAUAUCCCGCUAUCAUCGAAUUCCAUGAGACAACAGUCCUCAUACCCAUGUCAAUCCUAUCAAAAACAGCCUUGGCUGACCCCAAAUCAUUGCAUUUGGAAUAGGCAGAGAUCCAAGUAUUAGUAACGGAAACAUCACAUUCUAUCCCAAUUUGAAUUCCAAAUGCAUGAAUAGAUUUCACCAAAUCCAAAUUCUUUGUAGUCAAACUCGCCUGAAUCAACCCCAUAACCGUAAUUGUAUCAGGCUGAAUCCCAGCAAACCUCAUGUCAUGGACCAAACAAAACACUUUAUCUAGAAAACCCGACUGCACAAAACCCAUAAGCAUCACGUUGCAAGAAGCAGUGUCUUUCAUGGCGAUUCUCUCAAAUAGGUUGUAAGCAUCACCCAAUCGAUCACACUUGACGUACAUAUCAAGAAUAGCUGUUUGCACAAAAAUAUCAGACUGAAAUGGUGAUUUUACAACAUCAGUGUGAAUGGUUUGGGAUAAUUUGAGGUUGGAGAGCUUGGCACAUGCUUUAGCUAAGAAGGGAAAGGUAAAGUUGUUAGGUUCCAAACCAUUUUGCUUCAUUUGGUGAAAGAGACGUAGAGCUUUUUGAGGAUGGCUUUGGUUUGCAGAUUCUCGUAUAGCGGAAUUCCAUGCAGCAACAGUUGAGAGUUUUGGAAAAUGCACCAUGUCUCAUUGUCUUUGUCAGGGGCAAAGGUGAAAAGAGAGACUCCCAAUCUCUUUUAAUCUUAAUUAACACCUAAACACACCAUCUUUCGAGUAGUAUAUGGCUUACUGUCAUGCUCUUAAAUUGUUGGGAAGAAAUACAGCUGUAUCACUUGAAGCAAUCCAAGACAAGAGACCAAUAUAUUUGCCGUCUCUCUUGCUGCUUCUGGUUGAGGGGACAACCUAUCAAGAAGCAACAAUUAUGAACUUAUUAUCUACAACUAAUUUCAAAACAAUAAUACUAGAUAUCUUAGACCACACAUAAAAUCCACACUAAAAGCAUCAACAUGUGAGCUUUAUCUUCAAUAUAGCAAGAUCCCCAAAGCAAAUUUGAACUAUCCAGAACCCUUGAUCAAAGAUCUAUACUUUUGUUCGAAAUAGAAUACAAAUUGGAAAAACAGACACACGAAAAUCAGAGAUCAAUGUCGCACAAUCAUAAUUAAAAGGAAAAAAAGAGUAUCAAAAAUCCCAAUUUCAACUUUGAUUUUUUUCCAAUGUGAUUCAGAAGUAACUUAGACGAGAACAAGGUCAAUAUAAAAUGAAAAAAUUAGCAAAAAAAACUAGAAGCAGAAUAUUAAAAACAUAAGUAUGAGGUCUGGUCAUAUGCUAGAACUCAAACUUAUGACGAUGUAUAUCCUAAGAUAUAGCUUUUUAUGUAUAAUAUCCUAAGGUAUAGAGAAGUUGUACAAAUUAUUUGAAAUUAAACAUACUUCCCGAAGGAAAAGGUUUUCAUUUGAGUCUGCACAUAUCUAACAGAAGUAUGAAGUAUUUUAAUACAGUUUAACUUAUAUUGUGUAAAUUUCAAUAUGUACUCACUCCUCAGUCCACACCUCUGAAACAGUAUAAGCAAAACAGCUGAUUGCUGAUUCUCAUACAUAAGCUAGAUGUGGUGCAGAUAUUGGGAGCAGAAAGAAACACUUCUCAAUGUUCAAAGCAAAACACAAGACCCCAUAGGAAAGUGCAAGAAAGACUCAUAUAUCCAGCAACUGUAGGUUAGUAAAAAAGUAUGCAAGUUUAUGACAAUUGAUUCCUAAACAGUGGCAUAUUGACCGGUUUAUUUACAAGUGAUGGACUACAGAAACCAUAAUAUCUAAUGAAUAACUUCUUGAAAGUGAAUAUUUCCGCUAGACAGCAAGCAGUCAUUCAUAUGUCCAAGCGGGCAUAUCAGAAGAAAAAUUCCAUAGAAAGCCUGCAAUUGAACUUAGAUAACUACCGGGUAACUACUAAAUUAUGGAAAACAAUUGACAUAUAUCUUCUGAAGUUAUGAAGAGAAACUUAUAAAACCCAGAGCAGUACAAUUCCUAGUCCAAGAAACUUGAGAAACUGGGAAAUAAGCAUUGAACACAGAUGUCAAGAAAGACCAAUUCUGCCUAAGAGACUCAGAGCUUAGUUUGGUAAAACUACUAUCACAGUAAAAACCACCAUAAACCCCAUAAGGCCAUAACCACUGCCCCACUGCAAUAUCUUAAACCCUAAUGACAAUAGUCCAUUCCAAUUACCCAUAUGUCAAAGUUUCAAUGCACAAAACCAUAAAAAGGUGAGAACUUUCAAUGCCAAAAAGGAAACCCAUAUCCAAAUUGAGAUAAUCAUAAUACACAUGCACAAUAAAUCAAAAUACUCAAUAGGUUAUUAGUUCAUUCCAAAAUUAAAGAUCAAAACUUUAGAGUUUGAAAUACCUGAAAAAUUGAAAGCUGAAUUGGCCAAUUGGGGUCUCAGCUCAAGUUCCCAAAUUGGGGUUGAAGAGGCAUAGAAGAAACUGAAAGUGGGGUUGUGUUUCAAACUCCGAAGAGAAAAGAGAGAACCCAGUUUGGAUGGAAGAAUGUUGAAGACGAAUUAGCGUUUUCAAAAGUUAAUGGCGGGAAAUAUGAGAGGAACCCGAAAUGGGAUUUUGAUGAGGAAGAAACUGAAGCAGCUUCAUGAAGGGUUGAGCUUAAUGGGGAACGUCUGCUGUGUACGCAGUACUCGGACUACUGCGGCUGUCUCUGGACGGUGAAAUUACAAAUUGUUACUUUUGAUAAGAAGCCAGGGAGGGGAUGGGGUUUUGCUGACCUUUCAUACUGGUGCGGGGUUAAAGUAAAAUUUUGUUUCACCUUGGUUGUUAUUUUUAAUCCUGCUUCUAAGAGCAACUCUAACCAGAAUGCUAUCUGGAGAUGCUAUUCUCAUUUUAGCACCUUUUUGUGGCACUAUUCAUAUUUCACUCAUUUUCUUUCUCCAACAAUAAGGUGUUAUAUGGAGGUUUUAUUCUCAAUAUUUUUGAUUAAAAUAAAAUUUGAGUAUAAUGUUAAUAAAUAUUAUAUUAAAUAAUAUGUCAAUUUAAUUAAAAAGAGUAAAAAUAAUUUUUUUUAUUUUUUUCUUAAUAUUUUGAAUUAUUCUUAUCAUUUAAUAUAAUAUUUAAAAAAAUUAUAUAUACAUGUUAAGUCUUUUGUGGAGUUUUGUCGGCAUAUAUGACAAACUUGCCACUAUUUUGUAGAUAUUUUGAUGUGUUGUGUCGGCAUAUACAACAAACAACCCAAUUUCAAUGUGAUUUUGGUCGCCACGUUUCAAAAUUCUACUGGGCUAUCCAGAUUACGGGUUGUAUGUGUUUGACACGUGUUUUAUCUUAUCCGUUCAUAUCAUCCCAAAUUGUCCAUAAAUAUAAGGUUAGUGUCAUCCUCAUCUCUCACAAAUUCACAAAUACUUCUCAUAUCCAAAUCCUACAAACCCCCCAUAUUGUUUUCCUAUUUAUUUUGUCAAACUCUUUCUGCAAUGAAUCGUUUGACAAAAUUUUUAUUAAAAGAUCAAGAAGAGGCUGUCCAUAGAAACCGUUGAAAAUCCAACAUGAUGGCCGCUGCUGCUUUGCAAAUUCAAAGCAAUGAAGACGAGGAGAGACAAUGGGGUGGAUCUUCGGAAGGUCGUACUUAUAAUGCUAGAGAUCGAGAGCUCAUGGAUCAACGACUUAAAGCUCAAUACUUCACAGAUCCAUGCAGGUAUGAGCCAAAUAUAUUUCGUAGGCGGUAUCGAAUGCAACCUUGGGUCUUUGACAGGAUGAUGCACAACGUGGCCAACUACGAUUCAUAUUUUGUUCAAAAAAGAGAUGCGACUGGGAGAGUCGGCCUAUCUACUGAACAAAAGCUGACAUGCGCCAUGAGACAACUCGCAUAUGGGAUCACAGCUGACUUCUUUGAUGAUUACAUGGAUAUUGCAAAAUCCACUGCCAUCGAGAUCUUGGAGCACUUCACCAGAGCAAUAUGGAAUAUGUACCACGAGCAAUACCUCCGCCGACCAACACCGACAGAUUUGUGACGCCUGCUCGACAAGGCUGCAGAUAGAGGAUUUCCAGGGAUGAUUGGGAGCCUUGAUUGUAUGCACUGGAGGUGGAAAAACUGUCCCACCGGUUAGGCAGGGCAAUAUACUGGCCACAAGGGGAAACCAACUAUCAUCUUGGAGGCGGUGGCAUCAUACGAUACUUGGAUUUGGCAUACCUUUUUCGGACUUCCAGGUUCUCUAAAUGAUAUUAAUGUACUUGGACGUUCUCCUUUGUUCAAUGAUGUGUGUCUUGAUGAAACCCCUGAAGUUCUUUACCAGGUGGGUAAUAGAUAUUACAACAAAUGUUAUUACCUAGUUGAUGGCAUAUACCCUAAAUGGGGUUCAUUUGUGCAAGCAAUUCGAAAUCCAAGGUCACCACAGACACAACACUUCACAAAGAUGCAAGAAGCGUACAGAAAAGAUGUUGAGAGAGCAUUUGGUAUUCUCCAAGUUCGUUGGGCUGUCAUUAGAGGACCAGCUCGUGGGUGGAGUAAGGAGAAUCUUCAAUACAUCAUGAUGACGUGUAUUAUCUUGCACAAUAUGAUUGUUGAAGAUGAACAUGAUGAAGAUGCAGCAGAACCAUUUGAUCCAAAUGAUAUCCCAACCAAACCAAGGAAGGCAGAAAUAUAUGAAAGGGAUCCAGAAAGAGAAACUGAUGUUCAUCGCAAUCCGGAAAGGUUAAAUCAAUUCUUGCGCCGCUAUAGGGAAGUUAGAUGUCCGGUGAUGAAUAAAAAUCUCCAAGAAGAUCUAGUUGAUCACCUAUGGAGCAUGAAGCUACAAGGUGAUGAGAACAAUGAAGAAUGAGUGCUUAUCUCUUGUUUUUACUUAGUGUGGUGUGCUUUUACUUUGUGUGGUGUUGCUUUGUUAUAAAAUAAAAGUUUUGAUGUGUUUUUUUUUUUUUUGCUUUUACUUUGUAAUAAUAAAUAUCACAACCUUUAUAUAAUAAUAAAGACAACAACCUUUAUUUCAUAAUAAAAAUAACUAACAAUUAUUUCAUAAUAAAAAACAACUAACAAUUAAACCCAAUGUGUCUCAUGAACCGGAAAAUAACCGACCAAACUAUCAUUGUCUCCUUCGAGGGGUGCUUGAUCUUGAUGGUGUAUAGGGAUGUUUGAGGUUCCUUGCUCCCUAUCUAUUAUCGCUUGUUGCUUCCUUUCCCAAUAACCCCUCUUUCUAGGGGUAUUGAAUGUUGAUGGAUCAACCAUCAUCGUGCGAGCAUCAUCGGCGCGUUGCUCAAUUAGCCUUGCUUCCUCAAAAAGUUGUUGUCUUUGAUGGUACUCUCGCUCAUGUUGUUCAUUAACCUUUUGCAUUUGAAUAUGUAAGGCCUCCGAGUUAUUUUGCUUGCCUUUUUUCUUUGCUUGUUUUUGAGCUUUUUGUCCUUGAGGGCGUGCUUGCCUUGUCAGGGGUGUCUCGACCUCAUUUGUGGAUAUUCCUUCUUCACCCAAGUUGAUAGAAGUAGGAAUCCUUGAGGUUGGAGUUGUAGGUGGCGCCGUUUCCCCAAACUUUUGAGUAUCUUUCAAGACACUCCAACAAUGGUCAAAAACAAAAUCUUUUCCUUCCUUGUCGUAGUAGAUUGACUUAGCUCUCAUGAGCUACAUACAAUGUUAAGUAAAUAAAUAUUAUGACUAAAAAAUUAAACAUUUAUAUAAGAUAGAAAAUAUAAAUUAAAUAUGACUUAAUAUAAACAAAAAUUUGAGCACAACAUUAAUAAUAUAAUUACCUCGUCAAGUUCAUUUUCACCGCUUCGGUGAAGAGUUUUGGCUUUGUCAAGAGAUUCGCGCCACUUCCCACAAGCUUGAUUUAUCACCUUCCAAUGAGAGUUAACACUAGAAGAUGUUCUUUCCAUACAACUUGCCGGCUUGUUCUUGUUGUACUCCACCGCAACACGCUCCCACAAUUAAUGUGUCCGCACUUUGAUUUAUUCCGGUGGCACCAUCACCACCGACGGUGAUCCAAACUUCACAAAGAAUAACUUCUUCAUUAUGCCUCCAUGAAUCUCCCCUCUUACCCAUUUCUUUCUCUUCAAACCUUUGAACAACAAAAAGAGUGAAGGAAUGAAAUAUUUAGAAGGAAAUAUGAUGUUUGGUGUGAGGAAUUAUGAAAGAAUGGGUUGGUAUUUAUAGAGUUUUCUCCAAAACACUGUUCCAACGGGUAUAUUUUUUUAAUAUAUUUUUAUGGUAAUUUUUUGGAUAAAAAUCGAAUUUUUAAUGCAAGUUUUAUCCACAGCCGUCCAUCUUUUCUUUUUUUGAUAAAUUCAUAGCCUUUGGAUCAUGUAUAUAUCCAUUGGAGUCACACAAAAAAAAGUUGAAUCAUCUCAGCCGUUGAAUUUAAACGGAUAAUUAAUCACAUCCGUUGAUUUCUUGACCGUUGGAGACUUUUGACUGCGUCACAUGGUCCAAUUGUGUCAUGUAGGGCCACUUCCAUCAGACUUUGUCUUCAUUUUCCAUUCCAAAGAAGAAUAAUGGCGCGUCCUGCACAGCCCAACAAGGAAAUUGGAGCGUCAGUAUCUUAAACUCCUCCAGGCGUGUUAGUCCAUCUCUAAUAAAUAUAUAUCUGCUGCCUGUGGGGCCCACAGGGGCUGGUCUUGGAAAAUUUCAUAAUAUAGCACUUCAGAUGGCACUCGGGGUUAAAAUUCCAACUCCAGCUCCUUGUUAUUUUGCCGUUGGAGAUGGGGUUUUUUUUUGUCAAGGGGUGGUCUUUGUUUUUAACUCCACCAUUGGAGUUGCCCUAAGGGGUCGAGUUUACUGAGCUAUUGUGCUAUAAAUUGUUUCAGAAGGUGGAUGUACUUUUGAUUGUUAGGGAGCUAGUGGUCACCAGGUGUUUUAGUAGUCAUAACUUAUAAGAGAGUAAUUCUUAUUGUCGGCCCUGAUGUGUGAUUAUUCUUUGUAUUGUUCACUGGGUAAUAUAUGAGGAUACAAAAAUAAAUGAGCUUACGCAGCACCUUAUUUUUCAUUUUGGUCUCCUUAGAUGGUGUUUUUGUGGGUACUCAAAUAGGUCAUCUUUAGAUAACAUCAUCCUUUUAAACCAUAAACCAAGUAAACUACCUUCUAAUCCUACAUGGGUUAAUAUUAUAUUAAUACAACUUAAGGCACCUCAUAUGAGUCCAGGACAAUCUUAAAAAUAAGAAGGUGUAAUGUAGUCCUGAGUACCAAAAGUUGUUGUAGCCCUAAAUUUGGGGAUUUAGGUGCUGCUAGUUUGUCAACUCAAGCUAAUUUGGCCAGAAAAGUCUUGCACACAAAUUCACAAUGAGAAAUGGCGGAUUCAAUAGAUACGAGAUUGAUUGUUGUGAAGUAGGUAAGAAGCAAUCAAAUUCUUUACCCAAAGACACCAGAUUGAUUGUUGGAAACAGGAUGUCAAAAUGUCAUGGUAAAAACAUUUUUCGCUUUAUUUAUUUGUUUGAUGCAAUGUAUAUAUAAAGCGGGAGAGGUUCUAAUGAGAACCUUCUUGUUGAGGACUAGUAGAAGACUUCUUCAUUUCAUCUCUUUUUCGAUCGCAUAUUCACAUCUCGGCCAUCUAGUUUAUAAAAUAUAUAUGAGUAGAUCCAUUCUUACAAAUUUUCAUUCAAAUUAAAAAUCAUUAAAGCAUUCAUAAAUGUGAUUUACCGAUUAUAAACUUGAACGGCUCCUGUUUAACAUAUUUGGAUCGUCCAUUGACAUCUCGGUCGUCUAGUUUGUAGAUAUAUAUACCCUACAAAUUUUCAUGCAAAUUGAAAAUUGUUAAGACAUUCAUAAGUGUGAUUUACCGAUUAUAAACUUGAACGGCUCAUGUUUGACAUAUUUGGAUCGUCCAUUGAUUUGAUCUAAUUCAAAUCCUUAACGAUCACCAAUUUGGCUAAAAAUUUGUAUAAGUGAUCUACUUAUAUAGACCUAAAAACUUAACGGUUAAAAUAGAAAAAUGUGAUUGUAAAAUGAGUGUAAUAAACCAUUAAAAGGAAAAGUCCUCAGCUAGUCAUCAACAAAAAUGUCCUUUUUUUUUGUUGAAAUUGUCAACAAAAAUGUCCUUGUUAGAACCCCUUUUGGUCAAUUUUUUGUGGUGAUAGUUCUUAGAAGUGUAACUUGGAAUAUGAGUAGUACACGACAGAGAAUAAAAAGAUUUUGUACAAACUCAUCUACAUUAUUUACUCAUAUAGAUGAUUUUGUACAAACUCAUGUAGACCGGUGUAUAUUACUAAGUUUUUGGACUCCUUUAGGUCCUAACAGAUAUAUAACGAAAUAAUUGAUUAAAUAAAUAUUUAAAAAUAUCACAAAAAAUAUUAAUAAUUGAUAAAAUACUUAAAAAAGAAGUAAAUAAUGUUCACAAUAUAAAUUAAGGAAACUCAUAACAAAUUUAAUUUCUCAAUUUAAUUGGACAAACUCAUCUAGAUCAGUGAAAUGGACAACUUCAGCAAGAGAACCACCCAAGCUAUAUCAUGUAUGCAUCUAUUGCAAUGGCCAAUUGUAAGUUGGAUGUUGGAGUACUCAAUUUGUAGCACAAAAUGUAAUCUACUGUUUCUCCACAACUUAAAUUUAAAGAGUGACAUUGUAACAUUUUCCUUCUCUUAAUUUCGGCGGGUACACAGAACAGAAAAUGAUAUCUGUACUGUUCACCAAAACGUAGAACACAAAGAAGGGCAAUCGUUGUUAAUUUAAUAUCAAUCUCAAAACAGUCAACUAGACAAUGGAUGGGUCAUCCCUUUACAAGAAAAAAUUCCACAAAAAAAUGUGACAAUUAGCCCCAAAUCAGAAGGCUAGAAACCAAUUGAAGAAGGAAAAAAUAAUAAUAAUGAACAAAAAAUUGGGUCAAGGAACAAAAAAAAACCUAAUUCCAAGACGCAUUUACAAAAUUUUUAAAGGGAUAUUGAACAGAGGUUGUCAAAUACUUGUCUGAUGUUAGGCCUCUCAUUUACAGGGAGAAUACACCUGAGUGAUAUUGCAAGCAAUUCAUCCAUUGCUUUUGAGGGUUCUUCCCCACCAGCAAUGUCUCUGUCGAUACAAUCCAUUCCUCGUCCUUCUUGAUCACAAAGCCGAACCCAGUCUGUGAGAUCAACCGCCCCUGACUGACCCGAUAUAAUGUCACCGGCACUCCUUCUGGUUAACAUUUCCAUCAAAAUCACCCCAAACGAAUAAACAUCAGCUUUGAAAGAAGGGACUGGUUUGGCCGCAGUAGCAAAUUCUGGAGCACGGUAACCAAGAGCUCCCAUAUUUAAAAACUGCUCUGCAACACCAGCUGGUGUCAUUAGACGGUGAAGACUGUAAUCAGUAAGGCGAGGAUGGUACUCAGGACCUGCCAGAAUUACAUUAGUUGGCUUUAGGUUCCCAUGGGGCAGGCCUCUAUCAUGUAGGUAGAGCAAACAUCGAGCAACCUCCACAGCUACUUUUAGCCUUUGGUUGAAUGAUAAUGGGGAGUACCUCCGAGGUGUGCUCUCUGCCAACAAUAUACACCCAUGAUACUUAGAAAAAUAUAAAUGGAUGGAUACUUAAAAGCUAACAGAAAAGAGCACAUUGUACAUAAAAUCAUUAAGUACAUGUAAUUUAAGAUUGAAAGAUCACGGUGUCUAUGAAACCAUAAGUACCGUCAUGUUAAAAGAAAUAAUUGUUUUAUGCCAACAAAAUGACAAAGUACCACCAUUCAGAACAAACAAACAAGUUACACUCGGUCCUCGUAUCUAACUUUCCAUUUAUAUGCGGAGAUAGAACAAAAGGCGGCAUAACACAGACACAGUGAUUAUCACACCACCGCAACUUUCAUGGAUCCCAUGUCCACACAAACACAAAACCAGUGAUCCGAAUAAUGAUGAUCAUCAACCCAAUUACAGUUUCAAAAUUUCAAAGACCCCUUUCUCAUACUGUCAAGGCAGCAGAUUAUGGCGCGUAUAUACUUUUUUUUUUUUGUAUUCCUAAAUUUUAUACCAUUACUCAGCAAAUUGUUCCUAUAUAAUUUCUCUGAUUGUAUCGAGCAUAAUGGUAUAUAUAACCUAUUAAGACUCAAAAGAUGAAUUGCCAAGAUAUCCAAACCCCAAGACAUGGGAAUUUGAAUGGGUCAGAUUGAUGUGGAGUUCAUGCCAUUAACCAAAAGUACAAAAGGAUCAGCUACCAUUAAUAUAUUCAAGACACGACAACUAAGCAGCACAACUAUGCCAAUAUUCACAAUUAAUAAUCCCCAUAACACACAGUAAAAGGAGACUGGGAGUUUCAUCCCUUCUUUCUGCUUCCACUCUUCAUUUAACUCGAUUUGCAUGGUAAAUCUUUAUGUGAGACAUGUCAAUCUGUUCUUACAGUCAAUUUAAGUCCCUCGGAGACACAUCUACAUAUUAAGAGUUUAUACUUACUUCCGAGAUAAAUUACACUAAAAGACUGUAACUAUGUCCAUAUUAACAUGCCAAUUUAUUUAAAUUAAUAGGUUGACUGAAAAGACAAAGGAGUAAUCUAAACCAAUCUUCUUAACAGAUUAUUCACACUCGUAUUAGGAAAUGGACCAUGAGAAAUAUUAUCACUUUAGAACCUAAUCCGACUUAGGUACCAAUUUCAGCUUCCCCUGUUGACUGAUGAAAAUAUCAUUUACUGGGAAAAAAUAGUGCCUGCUGCCAUACCUAACCACAGCCUCGCUAUUCGUGCGCAAUGAUUCCAUUGUAAGAAUAUUCUUUAUAUCCUAACUAAAAAGCAAUUUUCUACGACCAUUAAGAGAUCAACUAUGAACUUCUCUACAACAUGCUUUUUAGUUUGAAUGUAACUCAAAGAAUGACAUGGAAAGUGAUCAUGACCAGCACCAAACACUACAAUUAAAUGAAGCAAAGAGCAGUAGACAAAGUGACAAACAAACCACAUCACAUGAUCAUGUUCAUCUUCAUAAUAAGGAAAGAGAGUUGUGCAUCUAAGUAGGUAAUACACUACUAUACCUUCAAUGUUGCUAAUCAGCAUGCUAUGACAUUGAUUUCACAAUUUAUUAUGAUUUAGUGAAUCACUACGGUUGAAGUGGCUAAAUAUCUUAUCAUGUCCAUGUUCAUGUUCAUAAAUUCAUAACAAGGAAGGAGAGUUGUGUAUCAAAGUAGGUAGCACACUACUAUACCUUCAAUGUUGCUCAUCAGUAGGCUAUGACAUUGAUUUCACAAUUUACUAUGAUACACUACUGCCAAAGAGGUUAAUUAUCUUAUCACGACUUACCUACACCUGUAAAGUGGAACUAAACUCUAAGUUCUAUGGCCUGAGCUUCAUCAAGUUUAGUUUAAUUAUAAAAUGGUCACACCAACCAUAUAGUAUUCAUGAGUAUAAAUGAGCAUGUAGUUAAUAGGUUGAAGGGAGCAAUUAAGUUUACUACUACUAGGUACUUUAAAAAGGUAAUAGAAGUCUUACCAUAAAGAUGUAGGGCCAAGCUAUCUCCCUGGACAUAGUCUGCUAAAAGAAGCCUCUCUUGUUCCCUAGGCCCCCAAUAGUAUGCCCGUAAAGGAACAAUGUUUGGAUGCCUUACAGAGCCAAUCCUUUUGACUUCCUUGGCAAAAUCUUUCUUGUGCUUGACCAGCCCGACCCGUAACCAUUUCACAGUCAACAUAUGCCCACUAUCUAAAGUAGCUUUGUACAGAGUUCCAUGGCUGCUUCUGCCUAGAACUUCUGCAGGAGCUCGAGAUAAUUCCUCAGCUGUAAAUUGUAAUGAAGCAUCUAGGAAGAACAGUUCUCCAGCCAACCGAUCUGGUGAGUACACAUCCAGUAUUACAGGCUGCUCAUAUGCCUCUAUAAAACGAGGUGAGGAAGAUAGUGGAGAACCAGGGGAGGACUUCCUUCCAGAUGUUGUAGGCUGGUUAUCAAGAAGAUUCAUAGGUGUAGAACUUGUUGCUGCUUCCCCAGGUAAGACAGGCUUCCCAAUUUCUGGUACAAACUCUGCCUGCCCUGACAAUGACCUGGAUUGUGAAGUUAGCAAGUGAUCAUUUGAAAAGCUCAAUGAAGUUGGUGGAGGCUGAACGUUCGUAUGGAAAUUCAAAAAUGAAGGACGUGUGAAUCUGCCAAUCUUAACAUCUGUCCCUGUAUUUUCACCACCAAACCCACUUCUUCCAUGAAAUCCUUUAUGGUGUGUUUGAUGAUAAACCAAUAAAACAAAAACUAUCAUCAAAGUAACUCCAACUGAAGCAACAAUGAUUGCUAUCCUAAUAUGAGCCUUUGAAGUAUGACUUUUUCCUUGUCCCGGAAUAUGAUCUGGAACUGAAGGUCUUCCCCGACCAUUAUUUGGCAAGUUUAGCAACUCGUUUCCAGGAUGAAAUGAAGACAUGGGGAAGCUUUUUAAAUUCUCCGGUAUAGAACCAGAUAGAUCAUUAUUGGAGACAUUAAAUACAGUUAAGCUGGAUGGAAGCUUCUCAGGAAUUGCGCCCUUGAAUUUGUUUCCUGAUAAAUCAAGGUACUCCAAUCUAUCAAGUUUACUCAAUUCACUAGGUAGCUCUCCUGAAAACUGAUUCUUUGCAACGUUUAGCAAUUUGAGUUCAACCAUGUUACCAAUGGCCCGAGGAAGGGUACCCGAUAAAGAAUUAUUGGAGAGAUCGACACUCUCAAUUGGCAAAUCUGGAGGAAGAGCUAAGAAUUCACUUACACGUCCGCCUUGGAGAGGAAUUGGCCCAUUCAAGUGAUUUUGUGAAAGAUUCAACCUUGUCAACGUCAGUGAAGAGAAGAAACUGCCAGGAAUGGUACCACUGAACUCAUUUUGACUCAAGUCAACUGUAGAGAGUCUGGGGCAAGCCUUCAGUAUCGAAGGCAAUGACCCUAAUAAUAAAUUAUCUCUUAGACUAAGUGAAGUUAAUCUCUCGAACUGCAAAGUCAAGUUUGUGAAGCUUCCAGAAAAAUUGUUUGAACUCAAAUCAAGAACCUCUAAAUCAGCACCCAUUUUCUGCAACAUUGAUAUAUCACCUGAAAUCUUAUUUCUGCUCAAGUCAACCACUACACAACUCCUCAUAUCCACGUUCUGCAAUGUGCCCGACAUACCAUUUGAUGAAAGAUUCAAGACUUUCAUAGUUGUAGAGUUAAUUCCAGUGAUAGAACCUGAGCAUAUAAAUAAUGACAAUAUUAGAUAGUACUUUAGCAUUGUAUUCAUAACUUUCACGCAAAGGAACCCAGUGUGCAACGUUAUUUUAUAACUCGUAGAUUUAAGGAAAAUUGGUUUGGACUAAAUUUGCAUGCAAAGCCCAAUGACUUCUAAUCUCUUUGAAGACAUCCAAAUAAUCAACAGAGAGUAAAUGGUAAAGAUUAAAAAACAUUGAAGAUUAUGGCAGAAAGACGAGAGUAGUUUUUGAUUCACCAUUUUCUACCAAGUAGGAACCAAUGAACUAAACCAGAAUUCUUCAAUUUGUCAAGGCAUAUGAUACGCGCCUUGGUUCACGUUGAAAAGUCAGAGGCGGUUUUGGGUAGACACAAGACUUUAGACUAAACUUCAGAUCUCCAUCUUCAGUGUAUAUUCAAGAGUAAUUGCUCUACCACAUAUAACUUAAACGCAUACGAAAACAAGCACUGAUCUAUGCCUGGAAGAUUAAAGCUUCAUACCAACUUUACACAAUGGAAAUGGAGUAAAAGUCCAUACCUGUAAAAGCAUUUCCACUAAGAUCCAACUCCUCCAUCGGAAUCGAACUCCCAAGCAACUCCUCCGGUAUUCCCCCAAACAACUGAUUAUUAGCCAGCCUCAAAACUCGCAAAUUCGACAACGACCCAAACGAAGGAAGCUCCCCUGUGAUCUGAUUACCACCCAAGUCCAAAACUUGCAAGUUCCUAAACAAACCAAUGGAAUCACCCUUAAAGAAUCCGCCAGUCAGAUUAUUAUGGCUGAAGUUCAAGUGACGCACAGUGUUUGAUAAGCUGGAAACAUUGUCCGAACCAAGCCCAAUCCCUCCGAAAAACUCAUUGUUACUCAAAUCCACAUACUCCACAUUGCGAAACUCCUGCAACAACUCCGAAACGUCCCCCCAGAGCUGAUUGGAAUGCACAUCAAACACCUUGAGCUGAUUCAGAUUCGACACCCGACCCGGAAACCCGCCUUUGAAUAGAUUCCGAGACAAGUUGAGAUAAUUCAAUCCCCACAGGUCGGUUAUCCGGGCCGGGAUCGGGCCGUAAAACCGGUUCUGGGAUAGAUCCAAGUACUUGAGAGAGGACAUUGCUCCCAGCCCCGGCGGGACCCGACCGGAGAAGUCAUUGUUAGCAAGACUGAGAUUCUGCAACGCAUUUAGACCAGUGAGAGUGUUCAGCUUAAGCUCGCCGCCGAGGCCGAAGCCGUCGAGUGUGACGGCGACGACAUUGCCGGCGUCGUUGCAGUAGACGCCGGUCCACGGAGGGCAAGACUGAGAAAGAGUGAGUGAAGAGUCGGUCCAUGUGUCCAGAACCUUCCGGAGCGGGUCGGUCUGGAUCCCUUUCUUGAACUCGUAGAGAGAUCGGAGCUCGGAGUCGGUGGCGGAGAAGGCGGAGGCCGCCAGAAGAGAGAGGAAGUAGAGAAGAGUGAGGAUGUGAUUGUUCAUCGAAAACGGAAGGGGGCUAAUCAUUCAUUUCAUUGAUGGGUUGAAGAGGAAGAGAGCGGAGUGGUCUCUCUGUGAGGACAGAGAGAGAGAGAGAGAGAGAGAGAGGAGGGAGGGAGGUAGACGGAACCGUAGUAGUUGGUAGUUGGAGGAAGUAGAGAGGAGAAGAAGAAGAAGAGAGAGAGAGAGAGUGGUGGGUGGGUGUGAGAGGGGGGUAGGGUUUUUAAUUGUUAGGGUUAAAAAUGGAGAGAGAGAAAAAGAGAGGGGAAAAUGCCGUUAAAAAUGGCGGUUUUCGGGUCAGGUGGAGAGUGUUGGUUGGUGAAGGUGAGUAACUACAGACUGGAAAGGAAGGACAAAGGAGGAGGAGGAGGGUGAUGACCCUUAAGGGCUAGGGACACUGUCCCCACCACAUCACAUGCUUCCUAACGCCGUUAACAGACUCAGCUUCGGGAGGACGGGUGCUAACAAACACAUUUUCAUAAUGGAAUAUUUUCUCUUCGAAGCUUUUUUUUUUUAGGUCAUUUUGUCUUUUUAAGUCAGUGUAAACAAUUUUUUUUAUAUAAAAGGAGUCACGAAGAACACAACUUGGGUCAACAUACAGUAAAACUUUGAUAAAUAAUUUUUUUUGAGAGGAAUAAAUAAAUAUUUCAUAAAUUAAUAAUAUCGGUUAAAUAAUAAAUUUCUCCUAUCCCAAAUCGGGACCAGUGUAUAUUACUAAGUUUUUCGACUCCUUUUAGGUCCUACCAGAUAUAUAACGAAAUAAUUGAUUAAAUAAAUAUUUAAAAAUAUUACAAAAAAUAUUAAUAAUUGAUAAAAUACUUAAAAGAAAGAGUAAAUAACGUUCAUAAUAAAAAUUAAGGAAACUCAUAACAAAUUAACUUCUCAAUUUAAUUAUCCCAAAAUAUCCUUAUAUAUUUUUUCCUUAUAUUACGAAAAAAUAAGGAAACUCUUAACAACAAACCCUCAAUAAAGUAAUAAUUUAUUAUUUAUCGAUAAAUGAAUAAAUCAAUAUUAUAAUAACUCCUCUAAAUUAAUAAUUUUUCACAGUCCCGACUUUAUUCAUUUAUAGAGGUUUUACUGUAACACAAGUGAAAAAACAAACAAAUUCAACAAAAUUCAACACAAAAGCAAACUCAUCAGAAGAGAAAAUCGAUCGUGUCGUCAUCACCAACAGUUGAGUCAUCAUAUGACACAUAACGUUAUCGAGCUGCUACCAAUUAAGAGCUUAGAAAAUGAUCAAUAAAGCUUAGAAAACAAUCAAAUCAUCUCGGUUAUGAACACCAAACUAGACCUCAAAACCAUUACCUAAGAAUUUAAAACCCAAAACCAUACAAAUUAAACAUCGACAAAACUCAUCAGCAGAAGACGAGUCAAGAGAUUGCCAAGUUAAGAGGUAAUCAAGUAAAUGAGAAAAAAGGUAAUCCAGAAUCAGUGGCGUAGCUAGAAACUCGAUUUAGAAGGGUCAAGACUUAAGUGACUAAUAAGUUAAAGAUUAAAUUCAGUUUGCCCUCUCGUGCUUUAGGUCAAUAAUCAGUUUGGUCUCAUAUUUUUUUUUUUAAUAACGUUGGUCCUUGUACUCUCAAAUGACAUCAUCUAAGUCCAAAAUUUGAAUUUUAAUGCAAAAAUGGGUGAGUUUGGUCCUUGAAAAAUGACUUUUUUUCAUCGUUAGAAUGUUUAUUUGUCCUAUUUGUAGGUUAAAAAACUCAAAUGUGGAUCUCUAUGUCAGUUUCAAGUCAGCAAAUAAUAUUAUUUUUGAAGCCAUAUUAAAAUUUUAGACUUAGUUGAUGAUGUUUGAGAGUACAAGGACCAACGUUAUUAAAAAAAAAGAUAAUGGGACAAAACUAAUUAUUGACCUAAUACGAGAGGCAAACUUAAUUUAAUCCUUAAAUUAAUUAAGACAAAAUAUCAAUACGUAGUCGUUUCAUAGAAAAUCUUUUAAUCGUUGGUUUAUACCUAACAUUAUAAAUUACCUCAUUAGAUUGAUUCAUGAGAGAAAUAUCGAUUAUGAAUUCCUUUUUUCUUUGUAUUUAUAGAAACUGUGAAAAAAUUUAUCAAACAUUACCAUUAGAAAUGAAAGUAAUGUCAUUUGUAGAAACUUAAUAGGAGGGUCAUUUCUAUUUUUCUAUACAGACCACUUAACUAAUUAACCAAAAAUUAUGUAUGAGAAAGAUCAACUGACCCUUCUCGCCCCCCUCUCCCUACGCCCAUGCCCAGAAUUGUCUUCAAGUCGAUU